UUCCCAGUUGUUCUGUGUUCUUAGGCUAUGGCGAAAAGUAGCAUCUUCCGAGUGAUCAUAGUUUUUCUCAUGGUGCAAGUCUGCUUGCUCAUGAUGAUGGCAGCACCGGUAGCACAUGCAGCUGCUAGACCAGUGGGGUACAAUCCAGUGUGCUGCCCUAGGAACAUUUACUGUUGCGGGUUCGGUGGCACAUUGGCCAAUGCACCCGCGCCAUCCAUUGAGCCUUGAUGUGUGGUUUUAUUCUCCUCAAGGUAGUAAGCUCAUCAUAUAAAUGAUAUAUGUAGUUUUAUUGUCUCAUGUGUUACCUAUUCUCGAAUAUUUGUGAUGGUAUUUUCAAGAAGAUAUUGUACUAGCUACUUACCUAAUAAAAUGAGAGGAGAUUAUUAUAUAUAUAUUGUGUUAAAAAACUACAAAGAGAUUCAAAUUUAUGUUUUUAUUCCUUUUGGAAACAAGAUACUUGGACACAUUCAUUUAUGGCAAAAAGCCAGUGGUGAGGUGUGUGCCUUUGGGAAUUUCCGUUUUAUCAUUCCGUUGGUCCUCCAUUUGUCGAGAUUGUCUGGGUCGUGGCAACACGCUUUAUUUUUCACAGAGGUCAUUACUUUUUGUAGCAUUUAUUGAGUGAUGGAGUACAUCACCAAUUAGUAGAAACCAACUACUGUUGGCGAUGCUUGUUUACGAAUCAAGGGAUCCGCACUCUCUUCCUUUUUUGCAAGAAGGCCAAGGCCAUGUAUUAAAAUUGUCCAACCCUUACAACACCAUCCUUACAAAAGAAGAAAAAUAGUAAACAUAUUCUGGGUUAUAUCAAGGGCGUCUUCCUUCUGGACUUGUACGGCGUGAGCAAAGCUCGAUGUUGCCUUUGGAUUUCCAGAACAACCUUAGAGCCAUGGUAAAUCAUUCUCUACAUUUUUCAAGUGAGUGCUCAAUUCCUCAAAAAAAAAAGUCAAAUAAAUAGUAUGUGAAUACAACAUUUUAUUCUUUGAUGGAGCACGAAGGGAUUGUUUGCCGUGGAUCCUAUAUGUGUAAUCUAUCUAUUAACCUAUUACUAUACUGAUUAGAGACUCCUUCGAAAUUCUCAUGAUUAAUUAGAAAAUACGAACUGCUCAUCUGAUGGGACCGAAUUAUUAUGAUGUAGAUAUUUUAAUUUUUUCUGACAUUAGUAAAUAUUAAACAGUAAUUAUAAGCCACCCAUCUAGUGGGACUAAGUUAUUACCGUGUAGAUCAACCCAAAUAGUCCUUGGCCAGAAUUUUGCUCCAUUCUAGUAAACCCAAAUAAUAAUCACUCAAAAUUCUGUUGUAAAAAUAGAACCCUAAAAAAUUAUGAUUCAUUCCCUAGUAUCAACAAUUCAAAAGAAAAAAAACUCCCAUCUCAAUAUAGGCACUACACAUUCUCUACUUCUCCCAGUUAAAAAGAUCAUCAACCGAAAGCAAUCUCCAUAUAUUCCAUGGUCAUGCAUAGCACUGUCCAUUGGAUCUGCGACCGAUGGUCUUGGUCGUUGGCAGAGGCCUACCUUAAUGGUGUGGCCAAACUCAAUCUGUGGAUGAGGUCAAGAUAACGGCUCAGUCCUAGGAAUUUGGUAUAGGGUCUUACGUAAGGAAACUGGACCAAAAAUGAAGUGAAGGCAGAGAACCCAUAGACAAAGAGAAGCGAAGUGUGUGCCCCAAGCCGCUCAGUAUGCGCACGCGGUUUCAAUACUAGGUGCUGAUUGUUAUUACCAACCGUUCCUAGGCGGUUGGAUUGUUCUAACUCUACCUGGGCAAACGGUGGGCGGGCUUGUAAAAGCCUGAUCUUCGUUUCUCAAGCCCUACCUGAAGCUAAAAAUACUCUCUGUUUUCAAGCCUGAGCCUAGCCCGAAAGCCCGGCUCGAACGCAGUUUUUAGUGUACGCACGUGCAAGCCUGGGCCAAAGCCCAAAAGCCCGGCUCAAAAUACAGAUAAAGAGAAGCCCGAGCCCGGACCGAACUAUCUCCCGGGCUACAAAACAAGGCCUGAGCCCAGCUUGAAUGUCAAGCCCGGCCGGGCCCGGCCUGUCCAUGCCCAGGUUUAGUUCUAACCACCACUAGUGUCGGCCUCUGCAUCAAGCGAUGCACAACGUUAUUUAUUGAAAAGUAUCAUGUCUCAAAGUAUGAGUAACAACUCAAGUUACCAAACAAGAACAAGAAAUCAAACAAAUAGCCACAACUGGCAAAAUAGGAUUGUGCCUAAACACCUAUCUUAUUCAUGGACCACCUUCUAAUCAGGUUGUACGUAGCCCGUGCUACUGUCUCCCAUCGGUUGCACCCAAAAGCCAUAAGCCCCCUCUCUACCGCACAGUGCAGUAAUGACCACUUAGGGAUCCAGCUAGUCGCCCUGGUAGAUAACCUACAAAAAGCUUGUGAUAUUUGUCCAGUUAAAAACACAAUCAUUCCAAUAGUCCCACAUAGCACAAAUUAAUGCACAAACUAAUUUGUGCCGUAGUAUUGGGCUCAACCACACCUAGCCAGUUACCAAACAAAUUGGAGAUAAUAUUAAGAGGAGGUACGUUCAAUGACACUUGAAUUGUUCAUCACCAUAAGUUGGAUAUGGGGCAAGUGAGAGACAAAUGUUGACUCGUUUCAUCAUGAUCGCAAAACUACACCGUUUACUCCCCUCCCACUUAUGUUUUAAGACAACUCUAACCGAUCCCCUACAAAGUAGCGCAGGAUCCGGCCGAGCAAAGCUUGGUGGAGUAUAUUUACUCCACUAACUUUUGGCCGGACAUAGUCGAUCCCCUAAAUAUAACAGAGUAAAACUUAUAAUUGGCUUAUGCAAUUCGUCGAACACUUGGUGUAGUCUGCUUGGGGACUCCGGCAUGGUGAGCAUCCCGGCGGCGUGGAACCUGGGUUAAACACGUAGCUGACCAGGAUGCAGACGUUGACACAUAGCUGCCACCGAGAUGGCAAGCUAGACAUUGCCAAUCACCGCCCAGCACCGCUUGCUACUCACAUGAUCCUUCUCGGCCUGCACCCCGCCUCGUCCCCCAUCGCAUGCUGCAGCUCCUACUGCUUGCCCCUGACGGAGCACUACACCCCACCAUCGGGCUCGACCAUGUAGCGCCUGAAGAUCCUGAACUCCUCCAUUGGACAUGCCAAAGGAAAGCUCAAACUGGAUGGCGUCCUCGGAUGCCUGCGAGAUGGGCGUCAGCAGUGAGUGUGGUGCUGCGUGGCAUGAUGGCAGCAUGAGCUGUAGCUUGAGGUCGUGCCGAAAGUUCAUGUCACAGGCGCUCGUGAUACUGCAGCUCGAGGUCGCCUUCGGCUAUGUCACAUGCGCUGAUGCAACGGACGUGUCCCCAUCCGAGCCCCGCAAGGAGAGGUCGUUGUCGCUAUUGAACCCACCCAUGAUGAUUUCGAUGACCACGCCGAGGAGGAGCGACGGGACGUGGCACUGGGCGGCGACCCGGGGAGAAGCCAGUGGUGGCGGCGAGGUCGCUGGGGGUUGGUUUUGGAGUAUUGACGACAAACCUAGUUGAGGGACUAAUGUGUUUGUGAGAAUUGCAGGAUAACACAAGUAGAAGUCCCUCAUUGAUUCGGUUUUCCUACCAGAGAUGACCCCUAAAAAUGUGGUAUAUGAAGAUAUUCUCAUUGAAGACUAUGACAAGAGAAGACAUCGCAUGAAGCCUAUGGAACUCGAAGACUUAGAUCUUUCGUAGUUCUUUUUUCUUCUUUGUUGAGUCAUAGGAACCACCAUACUGUUAAGUGGGGUCCAAGUGAACCAGUCAGAAUGACUGAACACUACUAGGGAAAAGCCUAUACACAGAAUCUUACCAGCAGCGCGCUUGAAAAUCAGGCGCUGCUGCUAAGUAGCAGUAGCGCGGGUUUUUAACCCUCGCUGCUACUAAGUUGAUAGCAGUAGCGCUGGUUUUUUACCCUCGCUACUACUAAGCGGUCUCUAUCGUGCCCCCCGGGACAUGCCAUAGUAGUAGCGCGGGUUUUUAACCCUCGCUACUACUAAGUUGAUAGCAGUAGCGCUGGUUUUUUCCCCUUGCUACUACUAAGCGGUCUCUACCGUGCCCCUAGGCCAUGCCAUAGUAGUAGUGAGGGUUAUAAACCCGCGCUACUACUAAGUUUUUACCCCUCGAUACUACUAAGAGGUCUCAACCGUGCCCCUCCGGGACAUGCCAUAGUAGUAGCGAGGGGUAAAAUCCCUCGCUACUACUAAAGGUCCCAUUUUGAAACUCUACCCCCCUGUGGAUCGCCUUUUCGGUUUUGUAAAAAGCAAAAGAAAAUGAUAAAAACUUCAAAAACUAAAAUCCUUCGAGAUGUAGUUAUGUUAGUACAUCUACUAGUUAGGAAAAUUUAAAAACUUAAAUUUGGACAUGUUUUGCAAAAAGUGUAGGGAAAAUGUAAAACGGCUAUAACUUUUGCAUACGAUGUUAGAAAAAAAACGUAUAAUAUAUCAAAAUGUUUCAAAAUUAAAAUCCUUCGAGAUGUAGUUAUGUUACUACAUCUACUAGUUAGGAAAAUUUAAAAAAUUAAAUUUGGACAUGUUUUGCAAAAAGUGUAGGGAAAAUGUAAAACGGCUAUAACUUUUGCAUACGAUGUCAGAAAAAAAACGUAUAAUAUAUCAAAAUGUUCAGCACGAAAAUCCGCAUACGAUGGAGACCACCUAUGGCCUGUUUGCAAAUUUUUAGAAUCCUCAAAUUCUAAAAGGAAAAAAAGUUAUGCUCAAAUUUUAGUUUUUUUUUAAAUUUUGGUCAAAUCUAGUCAAACUGUGGUCAAACUACUUAUUCAAGAAGUAUUAGUGUUACUAAAUAAUUAUUCAAGAAUAUUAGUGUUACUAAAUAAUUAUUUCAGUUUUUUGGAAUUUUGGUCAAAUCUGGUCAAACUGUGGUUAAACUUUGGUCAAAAUGUGGUCAAACUCCUUAUUCAAGAAAUAUUAGUGUUACUAAAUAAUUAUUGUUUUUUAGAGCAAUAUUUUUAAACUCAAACAGCGAAAUGUGUGACUUCAUGCUCAAGCUAAACUCCCAAGGGUUAAUAGGAUUGACAUCUUACUAUUGCCAGGAAAACAACAAGUGCAGACUUGGAAUCGAGGGAGAAUAGAACCCGGAAGUUAAGCGUGCUCAGGUUGGAGUAGUGAGAGGAUGGUGACCGUCCGGGAAGUUAGAUGAUUUGGAAUGAUGAGGGGUGAUUAGAGAUUAAAUUGAGCAGCGAUGAGGGUGAUUAGAGAUUAGAGGUUAAAAUAAUUCAGAAAUUUGAAAAUUCACGUAAAAAAUUCGGAAAAAAAAAUCCGCGGGUUAGUAGUAGCGCAGGUUUUUACCCACGCUACUACUAAUGGACGUAGUAGUAGAGCGGGUGGCACCCGCGCUGCUGCUAUACGUUAGCUGUAGCGCCUUAUUAGUAGCGCCGGCCCCCGCGCUGCUAAUAGGCCCAAAACCCGCGCUGCUGCUAGGCUUUUCCCUAGUAGUGGAAGUGAUGCUUAACCAAAACCUAUGUCUUCAAGUGAAGACUAUGAGAGCGAAUCUUGUCCAGACUCGGACAAGUCAGCUUUGCUUGUAGCCCAUGUAAAGUUGUCGUGUGUGUUUGAAAUCUAACCGUUUGAACACGUGUCAGUUCCUUAGUGACCCAGAGUCAUUUCGGACAAAUCAGGUCGGGUUGCCUAGUGGCUAUAAAUAGCCCACCCCCUACAACCAUAAACGAUUGGCUGCUCAGAGUUAGAGUACGGCUUUUGUCGUUUGAGAGCAACCCACCUCGAAGCCUUUGAGAGAGAAUUCCUUGCGAGGAUAAAGCCUAGGUUUUGAAGACUUUCAUAAAAAUCGCCUAUUCACCCCCCUCUAGUCGAUAUAACACACUUUCAAUUGGUAUCAGAGCGAGGUACUCCCUUGUUCGAUGUGAUUCGGUUUAACCACCUGGAGUUUUAGCUAUGUCGACUGGAGGGAUAAUCAAAGUCUCCGCUGCGUGCCCCGUCUUCGAUGGAACUGAAUAUCCCUAAUGGAAGAAUAAGAUGCGCAUGCAUCUUGAAGCCAUUGACGUCGACCUAUGGUAUGUCGUCAAGAACGACGUUCCCAAGGCUGGAGAAGGUGUCACUGCUGCUGACGUCAAGAAGUUUGUUCAACUAGACUCUACUGCCAAGAAUAUCAUCUAUGGUCAUCUGACCAAAGGAAAGUAUGGCCGCGUGAGUGCUUUGGAAACAUCUAAGCUAGUCUGGGACUGGCUCUUCAAGGUCAACGAAGGCGUCUCAACUCAGAGAGAUCAAAGAAUCAGUGUCCUUCGCAACCUCCUCAACCGCUUCAAGUGAAAUGACAAUGAGAAUGUCCCGCUCACGUUUGAUCGACUCACUGACAUCACAAAUGAGCUUUAAGCCCUCGGCGCUACUGAGAUCACCAAGCAUGAAGUCGCCAAGACACUACUGAGAUCACUUGACAGUUCGUUUGACACCCUAGCCCUGAUGAUUCAAGAACGUCCUGAUUUCAAGACACUCGAUCCAUUUGACAUACUUGAGAGGCUCAACACACAUGAGUUUCAGCUUUAUGAGAAAAGAGAUAUCUACGGUCCCAACUAUGGGCGAACUCGUGCCUUGAAGGCAAAAGCGGUCUCCUCAUCUGAAGAAGAAUCUGACAGCAGUUCUGAUGAUCCUGAAGACAUUGGAAAGGAACUUGCUAUGCUUGAAGAAGUUCCAAAAAUUCACCAAGAAGAAAGGCUUCAAAAAGUCUUCACGAUCAAUCUCAAGGAAUGAUGAAGCUUCUGCUCAUGACUACAAGAAGAAAACAUGCCACAAGUGCAAGAAACCUGGCCACUUCAUCUCUGAGUGUCCGCAGUGGGACAAUGAGAACAAAAAGAAGAAGAAGAGCAAGGAAUAUGACUCUGACGACAAGAAGAAGAAGAAAUACUCAAAGUCUUCUUCCAAGUCUUCAUCACACAAGAAGAGCUCAUCUGGCAAGGCACGUGCGUUUGUUGGCAAGUAAAUGGAUUCAAAGGAGGAGUCCGCUUCUGAGGAGCCAGAGGUGGAGUCUGAGGAGGAGUCCGAUUCUGGCGUUGCAAGUCUGGCUACAACAUACGUUGCCAAGUCCAUCUUCAACACUGAAGACAAUGACUUCAUCGCCGGCACCGAUGCAAAUGGCAAGGACUACUCUACUCCUACCUACUGCUUCAUGGCAUGCGGUGCCAAGGUAAACACACGCACUACUCACUAUCAAACAUCUAGUGAAGAUGACUCUGAUUGUGGUUCAAGACCCAGCUAUAAAACACUUGCUAAAAUUGCAACUGAACAACAGAAAGCUAUGGAACAUAUUCAAAAACUGUUGGACAAAAGCGAUGAUCUAUUAGGCGCUGAAAUGACUUGAUCUGAGUCCUUAAUUGAAGACAUAAAAAAUCUUCACGUUAAGUAUGAGGAACUUGAAAGUCGUCAUGAAACGCUCUCAACAACUAAUGAAAAGCUUUCUUAUGAUUAUCUUCAAAGGAAGCAAGAUCUUGAGAAAUUGAGAGCGGCUCAUGAAGAUCUUCAAAAGGAAAACGAGUCACUUCGCGCCGAACAGAUCAGUUCCGCUCAGGAAGGAUUUGAACCACCAUGUCUUAAAUGCAUUGAGCGUGAUAAUGCUACUUCUGUUGUUGAAUGUUCUACUGCUGCUACUGUUGCAAUAUCUUCAACUGUUGAUGUGGGAACUAACCCCUCUGCUGAGGAUACCACUACUAUUGCUGAUGAGAAUGCUAGGUUGAAGACAUUGCUUGAAACAGGGAUGUACAAAAGUCUUAAAGGGCAUAAGACACUAUGUGAUGUCCUCAAAAGGCAGAUCCUGAACCGAAACCCGAGGAAAGAGGGUGUUGGGUUCGUAAGGAAAAUGAAUGCUGAUGGCUCUUACUGGAAACCUGAGCAGUACCCCAAAACCACAUGGGUUGCUGCAAAGGAAUCUUCAGCAGAUCCAUCCACUCUAUUAGGCUUCACUUGUGCUAACCCCAUUGUCAUUGAUGAAUCCUUUGAUGCAAACUAUAAACAGUUUAAGAAUCAGAAUGUUGAAGUGUUUGCCAGUACAUUGGUACUAACUGCAGGAAUGGACCGCCUAUGAAGAAGAUCUGGGUACCAAAAAAGUGUCUGGAGAAUUUUCCUAUGAAUGUCAUCAUGACACCACAGGUGAAGAAGACAAACCCCAGACCACAGGCUUCAUACGGUCCAAAGGCUUCAUACAGACAGAGGACUCACCUGAGUCGCACUAACAUAAAUGUUUUGCAGGAAAACCAUACUCAGGCCUAUGAAUAUGAGCGCGGUUCAUCGAACCGCCUUGUUCAUAAGACCAAGAACUAUUCUGCUUAUUCUUAUGAGUAGUAUUGUCCGCCUGCAAGACUUUUUGCUAGGGUGCCAAAGCCAAAGUUCUCAGACGCUGCACUUAGACUUAUUGCUUCUAAGCCACCCUUGAAGAUGUGGGUGGCUAAGAAAGCUUAACUCUCUUUUGCAGGGAAAGGUCUCCAGCAGAAAACCAAACUCGUCUGACGAUAUUGCUGGGGACCUUAAACAUCUUGUAGGGCGCAAGAUCAAAUGCCCGAAUGGUCUUACUAUGUAAUUCGUUCCUGAAUCGCUUGCUACUCUCCCUAUCAGUCCUAAUCUGGAUCUAAGCUUUCAUAACCCACUGGUUCGUCAAAUGUUUUUGCUUCACAAUUCUCUUCGUGAAGCCUAUCCCCCUAACUGCACUGUAGGGUACGACACCAACAUCUUCAGAAUGGAUUAUUGAUAGUGGGUGUACCAAUCACAUGACUGGCAAAAGAAGCCUUCUUAUGGACUCAACCUUACGUCCAUCCGACAAGAGUCACAUCAUAUUUGCUGACACUGGUAAAAGUAAGGUAUUGGGUCUAGGUAGAGUUGCAAUCUCAAAGGAUCAACACAUGGAUAAAGUCAUGCUUGUUGAAUCCCUUGGCUUCAACUUAAUGUCUGUCUCAAUGCUUUGCGAUUUGAACAUGAUCAUAAUGUUUGGAAAAUAUUGUUGCCUUGUUCUAAUGGAAUCUGACAAGUCUCUAGUGUUUGAAGGGUAUCCGAAAGAUGAUUUGUACGUGGUAGAUUUCUCAGCAGGACCACAGCUUGCCGUAUGUCUUCUAGCAAUAGCUUCAGAAUGCUGGCUCUGGCAUCGGAGGCUAGGGCAUGCUGGCAUGAGGAACCUCCACACCCUUGCAAAGAAGAAGCAUGUCAUAGGCAUCGAGGGCGUCAAGUUCAAGAAAGAUCACUUAUGCGGUGCCUGUGAAGCAGGAAAGAUGACGAGGGCCAAACAUCCCUCGAAGACAAUCAUGACAACAAAUCAACCCUUCGAACUGCUCCACAUGGAUCUUUUCGGUCCCACUCAUUACUCAACUCUUACUACUACUGCUUGUCUCUAUGGCUUCGUCAUUGUUGAUGAUUAUUCUAGAUAUACUUGGGUGCACAUAAUCCUCUACAAGACUGAAGUGCAGGAUGUCUUCAGACGCUUCGCCAAUCGAGCAAUGAACAACUAUGGAGCCAAGAUAAAGCACAUCAGAAGUGACAAUGGCACUGAAUUCAAGAACACUGGCCUUGAUACAUAUCUUGAUACUUUGGGCAUCACACAUGAAUUCUCAGCCCCGUACACGCCACAGCAGAAUGGCGUCGUCGAACGCAAGAACAGAACACUCAUUGAGAUGGCCCGAACGAUGCUUGAUGAAUACAAGACUCCAAGAAAAUUCUGUUCUGAAGCCAUUGAUACUGCAUGCCAUACAAUCAAUCGUGUUUAUCUUCACAAGCUUCUGAACAAGACAUCUUAUGAGCUCCUUACUAGCAAGAAGCCAAAUGUCAGUUACUUCAGAGUAUUUGGAGCCAGGUGCUGGAUCAAGGACCCACAUCACACUUCAAAAUUUGCACCAAAAGCACAUGAGUGUUUUAUGCUUGGAUAUGGAAAGGAUUCGCACUCCUACAGAGUCUUCAAUCUCUUUCAUUAUAAAGUGGUUGAAACAGUGGAUGUGCGGUUCGAUGAGACUAACGGUUCACAAAGAGAGCACCUGCCAAACGUGCUAGAUGAAAUUCCAUCCAGUGAAUCAAUCAAACUAAUGGGAACUGGAGAAAUCAUACCCUCUGAAGCUCAACCUGAAGAGGAACUUAUCAUCUCCGCACCUGAUCAACCUGAAGACAAUGCUCAGCCUGAAGACAAUCCCACUAACAAUGACAAUGAUCGACAAGAACAAAAUCUUCGCCCUGUACAUCCUCGUGUUGCCAAUGAAGUGCAGAUUGAGAGAACAAUUGAUAGCAUCAAUGCACCCGUUCCGCUCACUCGUUCAAGGGCAACACAGCUAGCAAAUUUCUGUGGGCACUUCGCAUUCGUUUCAAUAACAGAACCCAAGAAAGUUGAAGAAGCCUUCAUGGAACUUGAAUGGAUUCAAGCUAUGCAAGAAGAGCUUCAACAGUUUGAGCUGAAUAAUGUAUGGGAACUGGUUAAGCGUCCUGACCCUCGGAAGCACAAUAUAAUAGGAAGAAAAUGGAUAUACCGCAACAAGUAAGAUGAGAAUGGUCAAGUUGUCAGAAACAAAGCUCGUCUCGUUGCUCAAGGAUAUACUCAAGUGGAAGGAAUUGACUUCGAUGAAACAUUAUUUGCUCCUGUGGCUCGACUUGAAGCCAUACGCAUACUGCUGGCCUAUGCAAAUCAUCAUAACAUACUUCUAUAUCAAAUGGAUGUGAAGAGAGCCUUUCUCAAUGGCAAGAUUGAAGAAGAAGUGUAUGUUGCACAACUGACUGGCUUUGAAGAUCCAAAACAUCCUGACAUGGUAUACAAGCUCAACAAGGCACUGUAUGGCCUCAAACAAGCCCCUCGGGCUUAGUAUGACACACUCAAAUAUUUCCUGAAGAUCAAAGGCUUCAUACCUGGUUCCCUCGACCCCACUCUCUUCACGAAGACAUAUGAUGGUGAAUUGUUUGUAUGCCAAAUAUAUGUGGAUGACAUUAUCUUCUGCUGCACCAAUCAAAAGUACAGUGAAGAGUUUGAAUAUAUGAUGCAAGAGCAAUAUCAGAUUUCCAUUAUGGGAGAGCUGAAGUUCUUCCUCGGUCUUCAAAUAUGACAGCAACGCAAUGGCAUCUUCAUAUCUCAAGAGAAGUAUCUCAAAUAUUGCCUGAAGAAGUUCGGUAUGCAAGACUGCAAAGGCUUCACGACGCCAAUGCCAGCCAAACAUCAUCUGGGUCCCGACGACAAUAGUAAAGAGUUCGAUCAAAAGGUAUACUGCUCCAUGAUUGGUUCUUUACUUUAUGUAUGUGCAUCUAGGCCAGAUAUUAUGCUUAGUGUUUGCAUGUGUGCUCGAUUCCAAGCGGCACCAAAGGAGUCGCACCACUUAGCUGUGAAGCGAAUUCUUCGAUAUUUCGCUCACACCCCAACUCUAGGAUUAUGGUAUCCAAAGGGCUCAGAGUUUGAUCUGGUUGGAUUCUCGGAUGCUGAUUAUGCCGGUGAAAAGGUUGUCAUUUUCGGAUGCUGGUCUGGUUGGAUUCUCGCAAGUCUACAUCAGGCACAUGUCAUUUUCUGGGACGAUCACUUGUAUGUUGGUCUUCAAAGAAGCAGAACUGUGUAUCUCUCUCCACUGCUGAAUCUGAAUACAUUGCUGCUGGAUCUUGCUGCGCUCAGCUUCUGUGGAUGAAGCAAACACUCAAGGACUAUGGCAUUCAUCUGAAGCAAGUGCCACUCUACUGCGACAACGAAAGCUCCUUCUAGAUUGCCAACAACCCAGUUCAACACUCGAAGACAAAGCACAUUGAAAUUCGUCAUCACUUUCUCAGAGAUCAUGUUGUGAGGGAAGAUAUUGAUAUCAUACACGUCAACACUGAAGAGCAAUUGGCAGAUAUCUUCACCAAGCCCUUGGAUGAGAAGAGAUUUUGCAAGUUAUGGUGUGAGCUAAAUAUCUUGGAAUCCUCAAAUGUCCUGUGAUCAGGCACACAUCCUAACACUUAUGCAUAUUGAUGACUUAGAUGUGCAACACACGAAGUAAAGUAUAUCUUCAAUCAAUGAAGACAUACAUUCUAAGUGUGAAUACAUUAAUGUGGAAUUUGACUUCGGAGCGCCACGAUAAUUGUGCACUGUGUCUGGGUCUAAUACUUCCUAUACGGUGGGUAACACCACCACCAAAGAUUCUGUUUGAAGUGUUUCACUCAUGGCGUUACAUUUGCUAUGUCUUCACAUUUGGUUUGACUUCAAUCUCAACAUGUCUUCAUGAUUAUCUUCACUAUGUUGAUUAUAUAUAUAUACUAGUGUUCUGUCCUCUACAACAUUCACUUAUAGCUAUGUCUUCGUGUUGAAUCUUUUGAACUAAGUGAAUGUGAUCGGACCCUAACCUCUCUAUGCUUUUUAUCUCAAACUCUAUCUCUCCAAGUCAUAUGCAUUCUAUUGAAACUGUCGAAUGUCUUCUCUGCGUCCUUGUCAGCAGAAGAUACAGAGACAAACAUUAAGUCCGUUUUCAAUGCUCAUUCCUUCACCUGAAACCCAGAGAAGUGGGAACGACCACCCGACAAUCCAGGCGUGCGUGGGAUGUGGAACAACCCCCGAUAUGCUGCAUGAUGGCCACGUGUUCCUCAGAUGUGAAUCGCCAGGGGCACCUGUGUAAUAACACUGAGCCGCCCCUGUCCCUAUAAAUACACGCCUCACCACAGUCAUUAUCUCUUCUUCCACUCUCGCACGAACCCUAGUGCCACCGCUAGCUCUCGACGACGCCGGCGACGAAGCGCUUCGCUGCCGCAACCUCUCCGACGCCGUCUUCACGCCGACCGUGGACAUCUUCUUCUCCGCCGUCGCCGUAGGUGUCCUCCGUCGCCAAGUUAGGGCACGGACGAUCGAACUGCUCAGCCUCCUCUUCCACUCCGUCUAGCAGUUCUUCGUGUGGUAAAUAAAACUUCCUUUUUAUGGCCCCUUUGAUCCCAUAGCUUCGUCACUUUCUACCACAAGUAGUUUCUGUUCACACAAGUUGAAUCUCUUUCAUACUGCAUCUCAUAAAAUGCAUAGUAUAUUCACUUGUACUUCACAAAGUAGUUAGAUUCCUCACUUGUACUGAUUCAUGGAUUCGUACAAAUCUGGAACCAACUCCUUAUCUAUGAGUGAAUGUCUUCGCACGAUGAGGUCAAUGUCUUCUAAACUGAUUUAUUUUCAAAAUCUUCUGAGAAUGCAUAUGACCUCUUCCCCUUCCCUCGCAUCUUAAUGCUGUCACAGGUACAUGUCCGUGGGAGAAUCCCUUGGUUCUCAUAGUCUGCAUUCAUUUGCAGAAUUCUUACAGCAUCAUAUAAAUUCUCCCGAAGCCAGUUCCUGUUUGUCCAGCAAGCGAAAGCCUUUGAAGCCUUUGAACGUAUUGAAGCCUUUCAGUUUAAAAUUCAUGGCUUCAGAGAAAUCUGCAAGGAAGGGAGGCAGACAGCGUCGUGGGGGAACAUCAAGAGAUCUUCCUGAUGACCUCUCAAAACUUUACAAGACAGAUCCUUAAGAGGAUUAUAAUCAGCGCAAGACCCGAAUCUAGUGGAUUCGAAGAUAUUGGGCAGAACAAUGGUUCAAAUACCGGUUUGUGACCCAAGAAUAUGCUGAGAAAAAUGCCAUCAAGCGACCGUGGGGAGACAUCCUAUACAAGAAUCUUCAACCCAGGUCCAGAGAAGCCAUUGAACAAGGCUUCUAUCCCUGCAUGGUCCGUGGGCCACAGCCUGCAGAUGCACACCCAUCGUCACUACUAUGGUGCCGUGACGAUAAUCUGUUCAAGCACAACUUCCAGUUUGCCAAGAACUCAGCGAAGCAGAACAAGAAGUCUUUGGGAUUAGACUUCAACCCUGGUCCCUCUGCUCCCCGUGCCGAUGGAACUCGCGAAGCUGAACCCAAUCUUCUUGGGCCCUUCUACAACUUGGAAGGUCUCAUCACUCAUAUUGUGGUUCAAGGGACAGCUGUGAAUGAGCCUGCAGAUGAUGCUGAAUCAGAUGAAGCACCUGCAGCACCGAAGCCAAAGAAACUGAAGCAGCCAAAAGCUUCAAAGCCUGCCUCUGCACCAAAAAUCUCACGGGCGAAGCCACUAGCCACUGCACCUCCUGAAGACAGUGUGCAGUCUGAAGACUUGUCACGCAUCUCCAAGCCCCAGAAGGUCAAGAUGCCUCUACCACACACCGGCCAAGAACUGACAGCUGAUGCUAUUCUGCGCAACGAUGCCAUUGAUCUGUCCAGUGAUGAAGAUCUUGCAGAUGACGCUCUUGAGCAGCUGAUCAAGAGCAAAGAAGAAGCAGAAAUCUUCAACAAUUUGCCUCUCUUUGACGUGGCAAUCAUCCACGACUCCAUUGAUGAGUGGUUUGAAACGCCCAACCUCAGCUUCGAAGACCUGCAACUUCCCAUUGGUCUCAGUGUCGCCUUCCAUGGCGCCAUUGCUUCAGAGCUAGCUCUAGCUCAGGGCAUCGUCGAACUGAAGCAGAAGAUUGACUUUGAGAAAGCUCAGUUCAAGAAGCAUAUGGCCAAGCUCAGUGUACAAGAGGUCAAGAACUUGAAGAUCAUGCUGCACGAGCUUAAAGAAGCCUUUUUCAAGAAGCGAGAAGAAGCUCAAGGUUCUCGUGAGCGCAUGAAGAGCCUGGCUGGCAAGUGUGUGCAAGCCUACAAUGAGGCUGAGAAGCGCAAGGCCUUUGGGCGUCCUGGCAUCGACCCUAGGAUGGCUGCAAAGAAGAAGAAGAAGCCCGCUAUGGCCGAACCCGACGCACCAAGGCAGGAAGCAGAUCCCAUUGUCUUCCCAACUAGCAUGACUGGCUCGAAGCCAAAGGCCCGGUCAACCGCUUCAGAGCUGAAGAAGACGAGGACUGCUGAGGCUGAAGCCAGGAAGAGGAAACAUCCUGAAGCCUCUGCUACUGCCCCCUCCAAGAAGAAGCGGAAGACCAAGAAGGAACGGGCUGCUCCCAUGGAGCCCUUGAUUGUUGAACCCAUCUCCAUGGUUCGCCCUGACGCUGAACAUCAAGAGCGUCAACUGGCUGUCCAUGAGCCUGCUUUCAUAGAGGCUCAUGAGGCUGACGACUUUCCAGCAGCUGAUCCCAUUGCUGCUGAAGACAUUGGUCACCAUGACCUUGUUGAAGAUGAUGCAGUUCUUCCUCAGCUCGAGCACCAACAAGUAUCAUUGCCUGUGCUAAUGCACAGCGAGCUCAUCAGCAUUGGUCGUCCUCUAACGACAAUUGCUCAGGAUGCAUCAUGGGCUGAUCGCCCACAAGCACAGGAAGAAGAAGACUUUGAGGCCCAGCCAACUCCAACUCCACAGGCGUCGCGAGCGUUACGCAGGCUUCGCAAAGGACCAAGGCCUCCAGUCUCUGAGUCUGGAGCUAAAGCUGCUGAAGACAUUCCGGCUGCAUCAGCCGAUGAAGAAGAAACCCCAAGCGCUGCUACACCCCCAUCUCACCAAGAAGCUGUUCUCGAGGAGAACGUGACUGUGACCGACCCUCCAGCUCGUCAAGUGGAGGUUGAGAAUUCUGAGGCUGCCACCGACGCCACUGACACUGUCAUGACUGAAGCCAAUGUGGAGCUUUCACCAACCCAAGCACCAGAAGUCAGCGAAGCCACUGAUCCCAUUGCUUCUGUUCCUGCGCCUGCUGCUAGUCCUCAGUUCAACUAUUAUGUUGAGCACAGGCCUCAGGUACAGAAGCCAAUCCCAAGAUUGCCCAGAUUUCCAGGUCCUGCAUCAGCACCUGGAUCCUUCAAUGUCAAUGGCUUCAAAGCAGACAACACUUUCUUCAAUAGCUCCAGGAACCCCUACUCAAGGGAAAGAAUAUCUUCUGAUCGGUUUUGGAGCUAUCCGCAGCGAAGCUAUUACUCCUGCAUUCUAUACAAUCAAGGUCGCAUCUUCCCACAUAAGUGUCUUGACAUUGAAGUAAUAGUAGGUCUGCCCUGUCUGGAAGAAGCUCUGGAUUGCUUCAAAGAGGUUGGAUUGCUGCCGUUUUUCACCGACCAAGAGCACUGGAAUGAAGAGUUGCUGCUCCAAUUCUAUGCCACACUUCACAUCCGUGGGUACAACAGAGAUCCGAAGACUUGGGUCCUGGAGUGGAUGACAGGAAAUGUUCAUCACGAAGCCAAAGUCUUGGAUAUCAUUGAGCUCACUGGUCUCCCCACUCCCGGCGAUCUCUACGAACAUGGCUGUCAGCUUCACAGUGAAGCUAUGGAGAGCAUUUCUCAAAAGCUUAAACCAAACAUGAGUCAGAUGCUCAGUAUGAUGAAGUCAUUGCCCCAAGAUGCUGCAUAUCCCAAGGAGUUCUUCGUUGAAGACCUUGAGUAUCUGCCAAGAACUAUUUAUCACAUCAUAAGGCGAACUCUCUGGCCCAUCAAAGGACAUUCUCCACAUGCCAAGCUGGAAGGUGCAAUGAAGACUUUGGUCUUCUAUAUUCUUCAUGGCAAAUGCUUCAAUGCACAGGACUUCUUCAUCCACCAACUUGCUGCAUCAGGCUCUGAUCUUUUUGGCUUGAAGUUCUACGCUCCAUGGAUAAUGCGGCUGAUCAAACUCCACUCCGCUAUCUCAUAUCAGCCAUCUGCUCGCAAUCAUCGGAUCUUUAUGCCUGAUGUGGAUAUGUCCGUUGAAGCCAUUUAUCCUGAGCCUGCCAAGGAACCUCUAAGUCUUCAGAAUGCGGAGCAUCAAAGUUUUUCUCAGAACAUUGAAGGAGUUGAAGCAGUCACUCAUGUUUAUCCUUUGGCUGGCACUACACGUGCACCACAUCCUGCCCUUACUGAAGCCACCGAUAGCACAAUUGCGCAAUGACCCAAGAAGAGCACUCGUGUUCUCAAUGACUGAGAGCUUCCGAUGGCUCUUCAUCAGAAACAUGAUAGGCAUCAUGACUGGCUGAAGCGCCAAAUGCAAAGCCUCUUGGUGGAUGUCAACUGCAUUCGCAAUCUUGCCACCAAGAAUGCCUUUGUUGCACAUGAAACCUCUUGACGCACAUGGAAAGGGCUGACGCUUAUGUGCUCUGAAGAUGAUCUUCAACAGGAUAGCUUUUCUGGACCAUUCAAGUUUGACUCCACACCUCCUCGAAGGGCAGUGCUGCGACGAACUCCAUCUCUUGAAGACUCUGAGUUCUCUUCCUCUGCUGCAACUGUGAAUGCCAGAGUGAUCGAGGAUGAAGACGAUGCUACUUCACCGCCACCUCCUUCAGCACACUUCGACACUGCUCCAAGUUCUUCUGCACCGCCGAACACCACCGACGACCCUGCUGCUUCACCUACUCUUCAUGGGAACGAGUAGAUGCUCUAUGUCUUCAAACCUUUUUGGUCCUUACUGACAAAAGGGGGAGAAGCAUAUGAGUUUGAUAGUCUUCAAGCGGGUCCAUAUGGGCGGGUGUUUUAUAUUUUGCUUCGUGUUUACAACUCUCGUUUUGAUACAUUUGGUUCUUUGAGUUGUAACACUUAAACUCGAUGGUCGUCUGCUACUUAUUUGCCACUUUGUGAUGCGAUGAUAAAUUCCGCAUGUGCGAUGAUAAAUUCCGCACUUAGAUCAUUUUGCAGACGUCCAUUUUCCAUUAUGCAUGUCAUUAUCUUCACAUACCUUCACAUGCAUAGUGGAUUGUCAUCAUAAGUUGAAGAGGAUCUCCACAAGCACAACCUGCCAUGUGCAUUUGCAUUCCAAAAGCAAAUUACUUACAUGCACAUCUUCAGGGGGAGCCCUUGCAACCUAUGAAGACAAUUCAUUAUCCUUUACAAUUUCACAUAUUAUAUUCCCUAUUGAAAACUUCAACUACUUUGUCAUCAAUUACCAAAAAGGGGGAGAUUGUAAGUGCAUCUAGUGCCACCCCUAGUUGGUUUUGGAGUAUUGACGACAAACCUAGUUGAGGGACUAAUGUGUUUGUGAGAAUUGCAGGAUAACACAGGUAGAAGUCCCUCAUUGAUUCGGUUUUCCUACCAGAGAUGACCCCUAAAAAUGUAUGAAGACAUUGAUGUCAAAGGUGGUAUAUGAAGAUAUUCUCAUUGAAGACUAUGACAAGAGAAGACAUCGCAUGAAGCCUAUGGAGCUCGAAGACUUAGAUCUUUCGUAGUUCUUUUUUCUUCUUUGUUGAGUCAUAGGAACCACCGUACUGUUAAGUGGGGUCCAAGUGAACCAGUCAGAAUGACUGAAGUGAUGCUUAACCAAAACCUAUGUCUUCGAGUGAAGACUAUGAGAGCGAAUCUUGUCCAGAGUCGGACAAGUCAGCUUUGAUUGUAGCCCAAGUAAAGUUGUCGUGUGUGUUUGAAACCUGACCGUUGGAACACGUGUCAGUUCCUUAGUGACCCAGGGUCAUUUCGGACAAAUCAGGUCGGGUUGCCUAGUGGCUAUAAAUAGCCCACCCCCUACAACCAUAAACGGUUGGCUGCUCAGAGUUAGAGUACGGCUUUUGUCGUUUGAGAGCAACCCACCUCGAAGCCUUUGAGAGAGAAUUCCUUGCGAGGAUAAAGCCCUAACCAACCAGAGCCAAAGAGUGUUAGGCAUCACUUAAGUCCUCUUGUCUGUGUGAUCUAAAGACUUAUUACACUUUAGGACUGUGAAUCCUCCAGCCGGUUAGGUGUCGCGUUCUGAGCAUCCAAGAGACAUUGUGGAUCGGCAGUGAACGAAGUCUGUGAAGGUUUGGGAGUCUACCUUGAAGACUUACCAGAGUGAUUGGGCGAGGUCUGUGUGACCUUAGCUCAAGGGGAAUACGGUGAGGACUGGGUGUCCUGAGCUGCGUGUUCAGAACUGGGUGUCCGGGACUGUGUGUCCUCAGGUUUAAAUACCUAGCCGCCCUAACCAGAUGUACAGUUGUCACAGCAACUGGAACUGGUCCAACAAAUCAUUGUAUUCAACGAGUCACUGGUUUCAUCCUUCCCAUUCCCUUUACUUACUGUUUGUCCUUGUGAAGUCAUUGUAUGAUUGCACUAUCUUUUGUCUUCACUGAGUGACUGCGUGUUCUGUUUGGCUUCAUAAUAUCUUCCUACCUGAUCCUCACUACAUUGCUGCUAUUAGUCAUUGUGCUUUCACUUCAUUGAAUACUUGACUAUGGUUUGUCCAGUGUAGUCUACCUUCCACUGCAUGGUAAUAGGUUUAUUUCUAUCGUUUGUCUUCGAAACUUGCACGUUUUGAAGACGUUCAUAAAAAUCGCCUAUUCACCCCCCCUCUAGUCGAUAUAACACACUUUCAGAGGGGGUGACUGAGGCUGCAGGUGGUCACCAGGUAGCCACAAAGUGGGGACAGACGGUCUUAGGGAGAGGCCACAUAUUUUACUCGGGCGCUUUUAGGAGGAGUAAUUUUAGUGGUUGGAUAGGUGAAGGGGUAAAAUUUAGCCUUCCAUAUAAGUUUUAGUGCUUCGGCUAGGUGCGACACAAAGGAGAAAAACCANNNNNNNNNNNNNNNNNNNNNNNNNNNNNNNNNNNNNNNNNNNNNNNNNNNNNNNNNNNNNNNNNNNNNNNNNNNNNNNNNNNNNNNNNNNNNNNNNNNNNNNNNNNNNNNNNNNNNNNNNNNNNNNNNNNNNNNNNNNNNNNNNNNNNNNNNNNNNNNNNNNNNNNNNNNNNNNNNNNNNNNNNNNNNNNNNNNNNNNNNNNNNNNNNNNNNNNNNNNNNNNNNNNNNNNNNNNNNNNNNNNNNNNNNNNNNNNNNNNNNNNNNNNNNNNNNNNNNNNNNNNNNNNNNNNNNNNNNNNNNNNNNNNNNNNNNNNNNNNNNNNNNUUAUAGCCGAAUAGGGGAUCAGUUAGAGUUGGGUUUACCUAGUCGUCCAUUGUUAAAAUCACUCCCUUAUGCACGAAUCACGUAAAAAUCUUGAUUUUAAUGGGGUAUUUGAUUUUUAAACUUGAUUUCAGCACAUCGAAAGACCAGUGUGGGUAUUAUGGACACAACCUCUUUUGAUGGCCGCUUCUAAUGUCCUCUUUUGUACUAGUGAAUAUUGGUUUCAUGCAUCGAUAUAUGAUGAUUGCUAUGCUCAUGGUCUCCUUGACGAAGUCGGGGUCGCUGGACGUCUGUGUGCAGCUAUGAAGUUAUUGGCGUAAUUUUUUCUUAAUUAAUGAAAAUGACAAGUCUUUUAACUGGGAUUUUGCACCGAGCCGCCCGUGGAUUGGCCUGAUCGAUUCGAUUGCCGACGCAGCUAGCCGAGCUAGAUAGGCGAAAAACUAGGAGCGCCCACACAGACAGAAAUGGAGUGCACGCUAACAGACACUGCACUCACGCAUAUGGUCUACCGACGUGUUAUCCUGCGCAUGCUCCCUGCCAUCGUCUUAUCCGGUGCAGAAUCUAGUGGAGCGCCCUCCCAUUACGGUCUCCCAUUUUAUUAUGACCAACGAGGUGGCGCCAUUGUACCUGUGCUCUGCCCCGUCGCACCGCUUGCCGGUACUAGCAAAACCACGAUCUUGCUUCCCAUCGUAUCAAGUCGCCUUCCAUUGGUUGAGCGGUUUCCAGCAACCUAUAAAUCCCAUGUCUCAUCUCAUCUCACUCACACUGCUAACUGACCUCUGCUACUUGACUCCACUUGCUACUGGUUCACUUCCUUCAGAUCUCGUGCCACCAAUCUGUCAUCCACGGCCAUGAAGAUCUCGACCAGAGGCUUGCCGCCGCCAAGCGCUACUUCAGAGGUACUAACCAAAACGGGGGCCGUGUUGGAAAUUCUCCCACAUGAUCGAUCACAUAAAAUGCGAUGAACACAUGCCCACACAAAACUGAUAGUCAAGGGUCCUUGUCGUCAAGGUUGUCAGAAUCGCGAUUCUGUUAUACGAUUCUACGACUUUACGAUCCAAACUAACCUCUAUGAUUCUACGAUUUUAGUUCAUAGAAUCUACGUUUCUACGAUCCUGAUAGUGAAGAUUCUACGAUUUGCGAUCUUACCAUCGGAGCUCCGAUCCGAUUCAAAAUCGCGAUUCUGACAACCUUGCUUGUCGUGCCCUCUUUUCUUCCUCUUUAUUUCUUUUGCUAUUUUCUCACGGUGUUACAGAACUCACACAUCACUGCAUAUAUAUAUGCAUAGACCUGGCUGGCUAGCAAGCUGACUCGAAAACAGCACUCCUAAGCCUAACACAACGUACUACACCAAAUCUAUUACCAACCAGACACGAAGUCCUACUACAACUCCAAAUACCAUACUUCAGAGCUUGCUCUAAUCGGACUGGCAAGGACUCACACUUUCCUAAUUACCGGCCACGCUGAUCGCACUUUACUAAUCCUAAAACGACUCAAACACAACUAGCAACACAUAUGUGUCCACCUCCUAUUAGAACUACCAAAACUAAACUAGAUUUUGUUUGGAUUACCUAACAAUCACCCCCUAAUCCAAACAAUCGACUCUUUACUCGGCGAGACACGUACACGACCUCCUGUUCAUCUUGUCUCGCAGGUUGUCUCUGAUGACGCGACUUACCGGACCGCAACUUCUCUCUUUUUGCAACAAUGAUCAUCACUUCAUCAUCAUCUUUUUUUUUCAUGCCGAGUUGUAGACUGAACCAACGAUUAUCCGGACUACCAACCACACUGCCACAUCUUAGCGUGCUACAUACAGACUAAACGCAUAGCCUCAUGCAGGAACUCAACUUAACUGACGCACGUCCAUCUACACGUUGAUCUUCAUCUUCUUAUGGGUCGCUUGUACACGGGGAGACACAUCUCUUCACCCGCCUCAUAUUCACUUCUUCUCUUUGUCGUUGGUGCCACAACUUACCAAACGACACCUCCUGUCCAGAGGCAACGCAACUCGCUAUAUACGUGCAACUCAACUUCACCGUAUAUGAACUCGCCGGAACUCCUUGAUCACGAACGGAAACGCAAGGCACAAUUUCCUUUUUCCAUCCGCUCUCAUUCUCAAUUCUCCUCUGCCAGUGACGCAUCUCAACUGCAGCAGAAGAUUCACACGCCCGAACUCUUGGACGCACCUUACAAGAACUCAUGUGCACACCUUGACGACAGCUCACAACUUUGUCGCCUCUUCCUCGCUCCCCCCGAACGACGAUCUUGACGAGAUCUUCUAGCACCGCACCUCGGCACAACCGCUCCUGUCAAUGAUCUCCUUCCACCGCCUUGUCGACCACAACCUGUCGCCCUCCUCCGGGUCGUUCUACCCUUUGCCGCGCUCACGACAGAACCUCACCGCCUUCCCGUCGCCUCUCCGCCGAAGGACAACCGCUCGACCACCCACGUCGCUGCACCACCCAGCGACUAGAUCGCCCGCUCCUCCUCGUCGUUGUACCACCCAACGACUAUAUGGCCCACCCCGAGGCGUUAGUCAGGUCGUCACCCCGGGGCAAGCGCGGCUACAAAUUGACCUAGCUCUAAUACCAAUUGUUGGAAAUUCUCCUACAGGAUCGAUCACAUCAAAUACGAUGAACACAAGCACACACAAAACUGAUAGCCAAGGGCCCUUGUCGUGCCAUCUUUUCUUCCUCUUUAUUUCUUUUGCUAUUUUCUCACGGUGUUUCAAAACUCACACAUCGCUGCAUAUAUAUAUGCAUAGACCUGGCUGGCUAGCAAGCCGACUCGAGAACAGCACUCCUAAGCCUAACACAACGUACUACACCAAAUCUACUACCAACCGGACACGAAGUCCUACUACAACUCCAAAUACCAUACGCCAGAGCUUGCUCUAACCGGACUGGCAAGCAUUCACACUUUCCUAAUUACCGGCCACGCUGUUCGCACUUUACUAAUCCUAAAACGACUCAAACACAACUAGCACCACAUAUGUGUCCACCUCCUAGUAGAACUACCAAAACUAAACUAGGUUUUGUUUGGAUUACCUAACAGGCUGGCUAGCAAUGCCUGUGUCCUUCUGAUGUUAAUAUUGCAGCCCAUGCGCUGAAACUUGAUCGCCAUUAACAUGCUUGUGUUGCUUCGGAACUGCAGAGGCUGCCAUGGCAGGAGCCAAGGCUGCGGUCGUCGGCACCGUCGCUGUCGCUGUCCCCACCGUGAGUACUUCCACUGGAACACAACCAUUCACCCUGCACUGUAAGUACAUUUAUCUCAUCCGUGCGAUUUGUCUGCCUUCCCUGCAGCUGGCAAGCGUGAGGAUGCUGCCGUGAGCCAAGGCACACCUCAACCCGACCGGCCAGGCGCUGAUCAUCUCCACCGUCGCCGGGAUGGCUUACCUCAUCGUCGCCGACAAGACCAUCCUCUCCAUGGCCAGGAAGCACUCCUUCGACGUUGCGCUGGAGCACCUCAAGAACACCUCCUUCCACUGAUUAGCCCAUAAUAGAUCCAUUAAUAGUGCGCAAUAAACUACAUGCCGGCCCGUACGGCCGUACGCGUCUGCUAAAUGAUACUAGUAUAAUGUUCAGCUAGAGAGGCGAUGCGAUGCAGAUCAGGCCUCGCGCUUCUAUUCGUGCAUGCACUUAUCUGAUGAAGUUACCAUGUAAUCCAGCCAGUAUUCUUGAAUAAAUGAAUACUACUAUUUGUACAACUCUUGUUCAUCACACAUAAAUUCAGAAAAUGCAGACACCAAUGUCAAAGUAUAAAAUUUGAAUCUUGGUGGACUAGGAUACCACCGUCCUCCUAACUAUCGAACCACAGGUUUAUUCGCUUCAACCUCUUCAUCUUAUCGAUGCACAUAUUACUUGAGUAUUGUUAUUAGAUUGAAAACAUAGGAUAGAGUAGGAAGUACUCUGACUUGUAUCUGUCAUCAUGAGCCAUGUAGUGGAAUUCUUCUCUUCCCUCGUCUCGGCCAAACCUAAUAUGGGCUUUAGGAUCUCCCUCUCCUUCUGGGACAACUGUGACAGGAUCACUAUGGAUGAAAAUGCUGCUCUCAUGCUGCCCUUGCCUGAAGAGGAAAUUUUUCUCUCCAUUAGUAAAGCAAAUGCCAACUCUGCUUCGGGUCCGGACGGCUUUUCCAUCCCUUUCUUAAGGAAAUUCAAGCCUCAACUAUGGGGUCUUAUCUGUGCGUUUAUCCAAGGUUUCUGUUUGGGGACGGUUGAUAUCUCUAGACUUAACUAUGUGGUCAGCUCCCUCAUACCUAAAAUUAAGGGCGCGGAACUCAUUUCUCAAUUUCGGCCUAUUGCCCUUAUCAAUAACUUUGCUAAAUUCCCAGCCAAAUGCUUCGCCAUGCGUCUUACCCCUGUUUCCCACCGUACCCUCUCUCCUACUCAAUCUGCCUUUGUUAAAGGCUGUUUUAUCCUUGAUGGAGUUUUAUGCCUCCACGAGAUCCAUGAUUUCAUAAAAACUGGCAGCAGGGCCGUGAUCCUUAAAUUGGAUUUUGAGAAAGCCUACGAUUCUGUGAGUGGGUUUUCUUUGGCAGGUCCUUUUAGCCAAAGGCUUUGAUGGUAGUUUUGUUCAUAGAAUCAUGCAGAUGGUCUCGGGGCGCCAUACUGCUAUCUCUAUUAAUGGUAGGAUUAGCAAUUUCUUCAAAAACUCUAGAAUCCUCACGCAAGGGGACCCGACCUCACUAGUAGAAAAAGGGCCUAUUGUCCCGGUUCGUAAGGGCCUUUUGUCCCGGUUCCUGAACCGGGACUAAAGGGUCGGUACUGAUGCCCUGUCCCUUUAGUCCCGGUUCAAUCCAGAACCGGGACAGAUGGGUGUAACACCCCGAAUGUAAUUUACCUAAUAUGUACUCCAACUCUUGCCGUUUCCGGCGCUAAGUUAUUUUAUUUCCUCGGGUUCGGGUUUUUGCCUCCGUGUGUUAUUGGCGUUGUCAUGCAUCUCAUAUCAUGUCAUCAUGUGUAUUGCAUUUGCAUACGUGUUCAUCUCAUGCAUCCGAGCAUUUUCCCCGUUGUCCGUUUUGCAUUCCGGCGCUCCUAUCUCCUCCGGUGGUCUUUUCUACCUUCUUUUCGUGUGUGGGGAUUAAACAUUUCCGGAUUGGACUGUGACUUGCCAAGCGGCCUUGGUUUACUACCGGUAGACCGCCUGUCAAGUUUCAUACCAUUUGGACUUCGUUUGAUACUCCAACGGUUAACCGAGGGACCGAGAAGGCCUCGUCUGUGUUGCAGCCCAACACCCUUCCAUUUUGGCCUAAAACCCACCAAAACCCUCCUCCAUCAUCUAGAGCAUUCGAUCACGAUCGCGUGGCCGAAAACCGCACAUCAUUUGGACUCUCCUACCUCCUCCUAUGUCUAUAUAUAGCCCCCCUCCGAAAUUCACGUCUCCUUCUUCACCCGAAACCCUAGAUCCACUCCACCCGCCGCCGCGGGACGAAAUCCCGCAGGCCAGACAUUGUCCGCCGCUCGCCCGGACCAAUCGCUGCUUGCCACGUGGCCCGCGCGCCCCACUUCACCGCCCCCGCGCCGUCGGCCCGCCCGGGCCCAGGCGGGGCNNNNNNNNNNNNNNNNNNNNNNNNNNNNNNNNNNNNNNNNNNNNNNNNNNNNNNNNNNNNNNNNNNNNNNNNNNNNNNNNNNNNNNNNNNNNNNNNNNNNNNNNNNNNNNNNNNNNNNNNNNNNNNNNNNNNNNNNNNNNNNNNNNNNNNNNNNNNNNNNNNNNNNNNNNNNNNNNNNNNNNNNNNNNNNNNNNNNNNNNNNNNNNNNNNNNNNNNNNNNNNNNNNNNNNNNNNNNNNNNNNNNNNNNNNNNNNNNNNNNNNNNNNNNNNNNNNNNNNNNNNNNNNNNNNNNNNNNNNNNNNNNNNNNNNNNNNNNNNNNNNNNNNNNNNNNNNNNNNNNNNNNNNNNNNNNNNNNNNNNNNNNNNNNNNNNNNNNNNNNNNNNGGUCCACCGCCCGAGCUCCGGCAGGGCUCCGGCGUCGUGCCGCUCCUGCCGGCCGACGCCGCCGCAACUCCGGCAACCGCACUCCGACGCCGACCUCCCUCACUGACCGGCCUCUCCUCCGCGGCAAGUCCACUCCGGCGAACGACUGACUCCGGCGAGCUCCCCCGGCGAACCUCGACUUCCGCGCCUCAGAUCUGAGAUCUGGAGUUUAGGGUUGACUUUAUCCCCGAAAACCCUAAUUAUUUCGCAAUGUUCAUCAUGCUAUAACUCCGCAUCCAUAGCUCCGUUUUGGGCGUGUAGCAUAUCAAAAUGUUCAACUCAGAGAGAACAUCAUUUCAUCUCAUUGCAUCAUUUUCAUUUGAGCUCGUCUUGAUGCCCGAAAUGUUGUUGGAAGAGAGCUAUUUGAGUUAAUUGUCAGAUCUGCUGCACCAAAAUUGUUAUUUGUCAUUUUUUCCAUGAUUAAUGGGUGCAUGAUAUGCUCAUGAGCUCUACAUGAGUUUUGUUUUAUGAUUUGUCAUCUUUCCAGAGGUGCUAUCCAUGUAUUUUUGUGAUAUGUGUGGUUACUAGCACAAUCUUGCAAAGUAGUGCAUUUGUUAAUGCUGAUUUUAGGGACUUGGAGAUUUCACCAAGUCCUUGAUCUGUUUUUAUCAAUAUGCCAUAUGUUCAUGUUGUUUCCUAGUGAUCCGUGCCUCUUUUGAGGAUGAUCAGUAAGGAUGAUUUGUUAAUCUUGUGGUGCUCUAUCCAUCCAUGUCUUUGUUUGCAUUUAUGGAGCAUACUAGCUUGAGUCAAUCGAGCUCUACUUUUACCAUUUCGUGAAUCUGGGCAGAUUGUCUACUUGUUAGCGAUUUUGCCGAGGAUGUUGUUGUUGAUCCGUGCAUGCUAUGUUGUUGUUCUUGUGAUGUAUAGCUUAUAUAAUGUGUAUUCUUGAUGGGUGUAUGCUUAGUUUGUCAUGUCUUGCCCUCUAGUGAGUGCAUCGAGCUCGUAAACAUGCCUACUCGCUAAGAUAUUUGCAUGCUCCAGUUUUUCACCAAGUCUGUGAUCUGAUUAUGUUUUUGCCAUGUUCACAUGCUUGCAAUUGUAUUUUCUGAUCUCUUUUGGCUCAAGGUCACUAAGGGACUUUUGUUAAGCUCUUUGAGUAGCUGCAUGUCAUGCUUUACUUUGCCAUGUUAAGUUCCUGUAGCAUAUAGUUUUCAUGCUGUAAAGUGUGCUACCUGAUCUGAAACCUGUUUACCAAUUGCACUUUUGCCAUGCUUGUUUGAACCUGUUAAUGGAUGAAUUGGCCGUAGCUUAGUGUUCAUCUUUUGUCAAGCAUCAUGACUGGAUCCCUGCCAUGUAUUUUGUUGUCAUGUUUGAGUGCUGUAGCAUAUUUAGGUUGAUGCAUUUAGAUGGCUACUUGCUGUUUAUCGCAGACCGGUGCCAUAUUUGUUUUGCUUGCCAUUUCCAAACCGUGUCUCCGAUUCCGGUGUUCUUUAUAUAGAUUUCAACCAAAAUCACCUCACCUUUCCAGUGGCACACUUGGAUUUCCAAGUUGAGGCCAGGUUCAAUCAUUCCUUGUCAAAUCUUGCAUAUGCAUCACAUAUCGCAUCCCGCAUAGCAUACCAUGUUUGCAUCAUGUUGUUCGAGCAUUUGCACGUGGUUGAUUGUGUUCCUUUUGCUUGUUUGUCUUGUUUGGGUAGAGCCGGGAGACGAGUUCUCUAACAAGGAGCCCGUUGAUUUUGCUUUCGAGGAUCUAGUCAACUCUGACAACUUUGCAGGCAAGAUGAUCAUACCCUCGAAAUCACUUCUAUCUUUGCUUUGCUAGAUGCUCGCUCUUUUUCUAUGCCUAUGCUACAAUGCCUACCACUUGCUUUUCAUGCCUCCCAAAUUGCCAUGUCAAACCUCUAACCCCCCAUGUCCUAGCAAACCGUUGAUUGGCUAUGUUACCGCUUUGCUCAGCCCCUCUUAUAGCAUUGCUAGUUGCAGGUGAAGAUUGGAGAUCAUUCCUUGUUGGAACAUUAUUUUCUUGUUGGGAUAUCAUUAUGUUACCUUGUUAUCUUAAUGCAUCUAUAUACUUGGUAAAGGGUGGAAGGCUCGGCCUUUUUCCUAGUGUUUUGUUCCACUCUUGCCGCCCUAGUUUCCGUCAUAUCGGUGUUAUGUUCCCGGAUGUUGCGUUCCUUACGCGGUUGGGUAAUAAUGGGAACCCCUUGAUAGUUCGCCUUGAUUAAAACUCCUCCAGCAAUGCCCAAUCUUGGUUUUACCAUUUGCCACCUAGGCUCUUUUUCCCUUGGGUUUCCGAAGCCCAAGGGUCAUCUUAUUUAAACCCCCCCCGGGCUAGUGCUCCUCUGAGUGUUGGUCCACCUCGUCAGCCGCCGGUGGCCACCAGGGGCAACUCUGGGCUGGCCUACCGGAAGUUUAGACAAUAUGAGUGUGCCCUGAGAACGAGAUAUGUGCAGCUCCUAUCGAGAUUUGUCGGCACAUUCGGGCGGUGUUGUUGGUUUAGUUUUACCUUGUCGAAAUGUCUUGUAACCGGGAUUCCGAGUCUGAUCGGGUCUUCCCGCUAGAAGGAAUAUCCUUCGUUGACCGUGAGAGCUUGUCAUGGGCUAAGUUGGGACUCCCCUGCAGGGAUUUGAACUUUCGAAAGCCGUGCCCGCGGUUAUGGGCAGAUGGGAAUUUGUUAAUGUACGGUUGUAGAUAACUUGAACCUUAACUUAAUUAAAAUGAAUCAACUGAGUGUGUUACCGUGAUGGUCUCUUCUCGACGGAGUUCGGGAAGUGAACACGGUGUUGGAGUAAUGUUUGCCGUAGGCUGUUCUCUAGUUCCUCGUUCGUGAUUUGCCUUCUGUUCUCGCUCUUAUUUGCGAACAGGUUAGCCACCAUAUAUGCUAGUCGCUUGCUGCAGCUCCACAUAUUACCUUACCUUUCCUAUAAGCUUAAAUAGUCUUGAUCGCGAGGGUACGAGAUUGCUGAGUCCCCGUGGCUCACAGAUUACUUCCAAACCAGAUGCAGGGCCCGAUGACUCCAUUCUAGAUGAUGCGCUUGAGCUCAAGUGGGAGUUCGACGAAGACUCACGUCGUUACUAUGUGUCCUUCCCUGAUGAUCAGUAGUGGUGCCCAGUUGGGGCGAUCGGGACCAUGUCGCUUGUUGGGGUUGUUCUUUUAUUUUGGUAUCGUAGUCGGACCAUGAUUGUAUUGGAUGAUGUAAUGCUAUUUAUGUACUUUGUGUGACGUGGCGAGUGUAAGCCAACUAUGUUCAUUUCCCCUUAUUAUGCAUUACAUGGGAUGUUGUGAAGAUUACCUUGCUUGCGACAUUGCUUUCAAUGCGGUUAUGCCUCUAAGUCGUGCUUCGACAUGUAGGAGAUAUAGCCGCAUCGAGGGUGUUACAAUGGGCCUCCACGUGGCCUGUGCACGGAGCCCAGGCAGGAGGUCCUUUGGUCCCGGUUGGUGGCACCAACCGGGACCAAUAGGCAUCCACGCGUCGGCAUUUCUGUGGCUGGGGUUUUUUUAAAAGGGGGGGUUGGGGGUUUUGGGGGGUUAAUUUAGGUGUUUCAUAUAUUGUGUUAGCUAGCUAUAAUUAGUAGAGAGAAGUGUCCUCUCUUAUGUCCGUGCUUGGUCAACGCUACGUACUAUACAUACGUAUAGAGAGAACUAGACACGCUAGCUAGAUAGUAAGCAAACGAAGGAAACAGAAGAUCGUCAUGAACAUAUAUGCAUACAGACAGAAGUGAUAUCGACCACCUCUCCUUCUCUGAGAGAUUGGUCGAACAACCAGUUCUCGUAUAUCUAUCCGACACUACCGGCUACAUAUAUACAAUAAUUAUCUCUUAAAAAUAUAAUCUCCUAACAUACGGACUCAUGGUCCACAUAGUAUUCUCCGUCUUCAGCGAUCACGUGGUCAAAAAAGAAUGCCGCCAAUUCCUCUUGAAUUGCUCGCAUGCGAGCUCGUGCUAGGAGUUCAUCCCGCUUCCGAAACAUCUAAUUUGAAGAAGGGGGUCAAUACACACACACACACACAUAUAUAUAUGAAUGAAUGAUACUCAACACAAAUGAUGGUAAUAAAAUAAAAUUGUGAAUGUUGUUAUUUACGCACUUCAUAUUGUUCGUCAGAGUAGCCCCGCUCACUGGCCGUGUGGCGGAUGGAAUCGCAAACGUAGUAUCCACAGAAAUCAUUCCCUUGUUCCUUCCACAACCACUUUACAAGAAAUAGAGGUCAAUCAAACUGAUAAGCAAGAAUGCCAAAUGGUAUUGAUGAAACUAGCGCUUGAAUCAAUAGGAGAUGCACGGAACAUGCUACUAUAGUACUUACUUUCGGGUGUCUAAAUUGCAGCUUCUUCGGUUGUCCUGGAGCUUUUUUGGUGAAUUUUUUCCAAACCCUGCCAGACAAAGAUAACAAUUACUUGAUAUAUCAAGAAAUGAACAAAGUUGCUGAUAUGGUGGAUAAUGAUCGAUUUAACUUACUUCUCGAGCAUUUGAGUCAUGUCUGCAUAGUCCUGGGGAUCUUUUCGUCUUGAGUCUAAGACGGUUACUAGUCCCUGAUCAAGCUUAAUCUCUAGGAGAAUAUAGUGGAAACUGCACACGCAUGCAUAACUCAUCAAUUACAUUACUAUAACCUUGACUAAUAUAUAAGGGAAACCGAAUAUGCACAAGACAGUAACACUCACUUGAAGUUGUAAGGAAAGAGUAUUAUAUCUUUGUUUUCAUUUAUUACCAACGAUCGUAGCAAGUUGGCCUCGGUAUCUGCGGCAUGAAAUUUAACCUGAGUUGCAUCUAUGAUAUUUGUGUUAAUGAACCCAAUAUCACCGAUUUGUCUUUUCUUCAAUUCGACGAUCUUCAAUAUGCAUAAUAUAGUGAGGAUAAUUAUAAAUACAUGCAAUGAAAGAGCUGAGCUAUAUAGAGAGACUUGAUGACAGAAGUAGUACUACUUACAAACAGUAUUAGGUGACCGUUGCUUUAUCGAGGGCCAAUUGAUUGAAAAACUGAAAGAACUCCUCAAAUGGAACAGGCAACAGAUCAAUUCCAACGAGGUCAUGCUCCUUUUUAACUCUCACAUACAAAGUAAUCCUCCCCCCAGACUAUCUAUAGAUUUUCAAGUACCAAUCAUGCAAUCUUCGCAUCAUCGUUGAUAGAGAUCUUUCAUCUUUGACGAGAGGCUUCUCGUACUCGUAUCUUUGUAUCUGCACCUCCAUGAAAUCAUAAAGUACAUCGUCGGGCAUGUAAUCUCCAAGAUUGCUAUAACCGGGCACCAUCCUCGGAUCAUUAGCGACGAUGUCGCUAGGCACCUUGAGCGGGGGGCAUGAUUGCUUCGCUUGUUCGCCGAGCUGGGCAAUUUGUUUCCCAGCUCGUCGUUCUUUCAGCCUUUGAUCACUGACGGUACUUCCCGACCGCUCCGCUUCGGCAAAUUCCUUUCCAAUAAUGCGCUCAUAGUUUCCUUUCGGCGGAGACAUGGUUGGUUUUGUCAGGGCAGCCAGAGUGCGCUUUGCUUUCACCGGAUCUACCUUCUCCUACGGAGGUGGAUGUUUCUUUGCUUUCACCCCUUCAAAGAACUUCCUCACUUCUUCUCGCGUGAUCUCGGCGUUCUCCUCCGGGAUCCUCUCGUAUGGUAACUUCUCUGGAGUCUUCAGAGAAGGACCGAAUCUGUAUGUCCUCCCGCCUCUGGCUGUACUGCUAGACGCCGGCAGAGCAGACGGAGCGGUUGUCUUCUUUACUUGCUUACGAGGCGGAGGAGAAGGACUACGACGCGCUGGAGUAGCCGGAGCGGCGGCAGGUCUCUUCCGCCCUUGCUGCCGAGGCGGAGAAGGAGGAGGCUGGCUGCUCGGGCGCGCCGGCGCAGGCGGAGAAGGAGGCGGAGUGCCGCCACGCACCGGAGAAGGAACCGGCCGAGUGCCCUGAUCGUCACUCGCCGGAGGAGGAGGCGGUGGAAGCCACGCUGCUUCUCCGCUGAGAUGGCGGGGUAGCUUCGGGGGAAGCUUCGGCAGUUCAUUUGCUGCGAUUUGCUUCUCGUUCCUCUAUUUGUACCCUAGCGUGCAGCGCCUGCAGUUGGGUCUGCUCCACUUUCUUCCUCCUCUCGUGGCAUUUGUAAGCGCCUGCGUCCGGAAACCCAGCCUUCCACGGAAUGGAGCCUGGCGUGCCUCGUGUCCGUCCAGGGUGCUCAGGAUUCCCGAGGGCCAUUGUGAGCUCGUCGUUCUCUUUGUCUGGAACGAACGUCCCUUGCUGAACUGCUUCAAUAUAGUGCUUAAGCCUCUUGACUGGUAUUUCCAUUUGCUCGUCCGUCCAAAUGCACUUCCCUGAUACAGGGUCCAAGGUUCCACCAGCCCCGAAGAACCCAGUCCAGCAACGAUCUGGCCAUUUAAUUGUCUCUGGUUCGAUCCCUUUAUCAACUAGAUCAUUCUCAAUCUUGGCCCACUUAGGCCGGGCUGUGAGGUAGCCACCUGACCCCGUGCGAUGGUGAUGCUUCUUCUUCGCGUCAUUUUGCUUGUUUGUCGCCGACAUCUUCUUACUCUUUUCCGAUGUCUUGUGGGCCACAAAUGCGGGCCAGUGUUCUCUGAUGUUCUCAUAUCUUCCCUUGAAUUCUGGUGUCUCUUUAUUUUCGACAAACUUAUUCAGCUCUUUCUUCCACCUCCUGAAUAGUUCUGCCAUCCUCUUAAGAGCAAAAGACUUGAUUAAUUGCUCUUUAACCGGCUUCUCCGGAUCAUCCUCUGGCGGUAGGGUGAAAUUUGACUUCAGCUCAGUCCAAAGAUCAUUUUUCUACAUAUCAUUGACAUAAGACACCUCAGGGUCUUCUGUAGCCGGCUUUAACCAUUCCUGGAUGCUGAUCGGGAUCUUGUCCCUAACCAAAACCCUGCACUGAGCAACAAAUGCGCUCUUUGUCCGGAAGGGUUCAAUCGGUUGGCCGUCGGGCGCGAUUGCUAUGAUCUCAAACUUUUCAUCCGAGCUCAACUCUCUUUUCGGGCCUCGUCUCUUUACCGAAGUUGUGCUCGAUCCGGAGGGCUAGAAAAAAGAACAAAGAAUUAAUUAAUAUGUGUACAUACCAAAACAAUGAAUACAUCAAUUAGCUAGUCAGCAGAAGCUGAACUAAUAUAUAUACCUGGCCGGACUCGGUUCGGUCACCGGAGACGUCAUCACGGUCUCCUUCUUGCACCAGCAUUGUGUCACCGGAGCCGUCCUCACGGUCUCCUUCUUGCACCGGCAUUAGGUCACCGGAGCCAUCAUAAUCAUAGCCAGCUGCUUCCAGACAAUCGGUGUCGUUGAGAAACAACGAGCAGACGGCAUCACUUCCUCGUGCGAUUAUGUCCCCCAACAACUCUUCUUGUACUUCGUCUCGGGCAGUGUCCAUAGUUUCUACAAACAUUUACAACAUGGCAAUUAUUAUUCAAACAUGACAGAUGGAUAUAUUAGUGGCAAACGUAGAACUAAUAUUAAUUAGUGGCCUCGACGCUGCUUCUCUAGGGUUUGGGCUAGCCUCGACGCUGCUUCUCUAGGGUUUGGAGUGGCCUCGACAACGCUUCAAGGAUAAAAAAGAAGAGGAAAGUGCUCCUCUAUUCUUUCUUCUCCUCUCUUUUUUUCUUCUUCUUCCUCUUUUUUUAUCGGGAACGAGGGUCGUCGCAGGUCGCCGAGUGGUAGAGGAAACCCUAAAUAGCAAGUAUCGUGGGUGUGAGAUACAUGUGGCCGUCGGUGUCGGACACUACAUCCACGUCCCACAAGUGACGUGGGCGUCGAAGCCCGCGUCACUUGUGGGAAGUGGAUGUAGUGUCCGACACUGACGGCCACAUGUAUCUCACAUGGACGAUACUUGCUAUUUAGGGUCCUUCUCCUCUCUUUUUUUCUUCUUCCUCUUUUUUAUCAGGAACGAGGGUCGUCGAGGGUCAGGGUCGCCGGGCGGUAGAGGAAACCCUAAAUAGCAAGUAUCGUGGGUGUGAGAUACAUGUGGUCAUCGGUGUCAGACACUACAUCCACGUCCCACAAGUGACGCGGGUCGAUGUACUGACACCGACGGCCACAUGUAUCUCACAUCGACGAUACUUGCUAUUUAGGGUAUAUCGACCCCUCUCGUGUUGAAGUUAUUGGGAGGUGUUAUAUAGAUCGACCCCCCCUCGUGUUGAAGUUAUCGGGAGGGGGUAUAUCGACCCCCCCUCGUGUUGAAGUUAUCGGGAGGGGGUAAUCGACCCCCCCCCCUCGUGUUGAAGUUAUCGGGAGGGGUAUAUCGACGACGACAGACCCGAUAAAACAUAACAAUACGAAGAGAAAUAAAAAGAGGAGAAGNNNNNNNNNNNNNNNNNNNNNNNNNNNNNNNNNNNNNNNNNNNNNNNNNNNNNNNNNNNNNNNNNNNNNNNNNNNNNNNNNNNNNNNNNNNNNNNNNNNNNNNNNNNNNNNNNNNNNNNNNNNNNNNNNNNNNNNNNNNNNNNNNNNNNNNNNNNNNNNNNNNNNNNNNNNNNNNNNNNNNNNNNNNNNNNNNNNNNNNNNNNNNNNNNNNNNNNNNNNNNNNNNNNNNNNNNNNNNNNNNNNNNNNNNNNNNNNNNNNNNNNNNNNNNNNNNNNNNGGCGGGGCAGGGGCAAGGCGAUGACGACGGGCGUGCCGGGGGCGACUACAGGGGCGGUGGGCGAGGGCACGGCCGACGGCGAGGCACGGGCAACGGCGCGGUCGGGGGCGACUGCAUGGGCGGCGGACGGCGUCGGGGCAGCCUGGCGGCGUCGAUGAGCUCGGCGUCGUCGGGGGCAAAUGGUCGAUGAGAAACUGAUUUUUUUCACAAGUCCUGGUUAUAUACCAAGAGCAUUGGUCCCGGUUCGUGGCACCAAGCGGGACCAAUGCCACCUUUAGUCCCGGUUGGUGCCACCAACCGAGACCAAAGGCCUCUUUUCAGCAGCCAAAGGGCGGGAAGCGGCGGCCUUUGGUCCCGGUUGGUGCCACCAACCGGGACCAAAUGCCUGCGCCUGCCAAAGCCGCGGUGCGGUGGGAUGUUUAGUCCCACCUCGCUAGCUGAGGAGCGGCCGCACCUGUUUAUAAGCGCUGCCCCGCCCUCUCCAUCGAACUCAUCAGAACUGCAGGCCUUUGGGCCUAAUCUCACACUGCUAUGCCUGUGGGCCUGCUGGGCCUUCUGCAGGCCUGAAUCCUGGCCCAUGGAUGGGCUUCUUGUCAGGACCCCGACUCGAGGUCACAUCGAUCUAGCCGGUAACACCUCAUAUCACUUUGCGGCCUCACGCACGGUAUCCCCACGGGUGUCGCCUUACCUUUGCCCGGGACCGUUUGCGCCUUUUGGCUCACGUAUAUGAUAGUGUCGCUAGCAUCCAUAUGAUAAAGAGCCCGGGCUGACAUGACUAGUCGUAAACCCAAAGUGGCACAGACUUACAGGGACAGGCAUCCAUGACCCAGCUUCGAACGUGUCGGUCAUCAGCAAGUGGGUCCGGGCUGUAGCACUGGGCUAGCAGGACUCCGGUAAACUGGGCUGUAGCGGGCUAACAGGACUCCGGUACUCAAAGCGUGACAUUUCCCCGAAGGGACAGACACAGGAACGAAGAAGGACACAUGUCGGCCAGCCUAAGUGUUCCGGAGCAGUAGCAAGCUACCAUGGCUCGGUGGAAACACUAGGAGACAUUUCCCGGUAAGAGAGGCUACUAAAGAUAACAACUAGAUGGUCAGAUCCCACACAUACCAAGCAUUUCAAUAGCAUACACACAAUAUGCUCGAUAUGUGCAGAUACAACAUGGCAUCACAACAUGACUCUACGACUCAAGUAAUUUAUUCAAUAGGCUCCGAGGAGCGAGACAUUACAAACAUGGGUCUCAUGACCCAACAAUCAGAGCAUACAAGUCGAGGCACAAACGGAAGCUAUCAUGUCUGAGUACAGACAUCUAUAAAUGAAAAAGGCUGAGAAGCCUGACUAUAUAUAUCAGAUCCUGCCGAGGGCACAAGAUCGUAGCUGAGGUAACCAGCUAAACGUCGAAGUCCACGCGAAACUACUAGUGAGAUCGAAGUCUCUCUGCAAAACAUAAAAUAGGCAAACGUGAGUACAAAUGUACCCAGCAAGACUUACAUCAGAUCUAUCUACAUAUGCAUCAUUAUCAACAAAGGGAUGGUGGGGUUUAACUGCAGCAAGCCAGCUUUGACUCGGUGGCUAACCUGAACUACGACUGCAAUGUAACUCUUUUGUGGUGGCGCACACGAGUCCACAUAUUCACCAUAUCAAUACACCACUAUGGAUCCGCUCCCGUCUCCCUACAAGAACACCAUCCAUAGCACUCACGCUUAUCUUGCGUAUUUUAGAGUAUCCACUUUCACUUGUCUAUGAACUAUGCAAGGGGUCCAAGUUUCCAUAUCCGAGGAAUCCGGCUAUUCGAAUAGAUGAUGUUAACCCUGCAGGGGUGUACUUCUUCACACACGCUCUCGCCACUUACCGCCCUGUACACGUCAUGUACCUCGGCAACCUUCAAGCGGAAGCCGGGCGAGGGAGUCGGCCACGACCUGACUAAUCGAACAAGUCUCUAGUCCAGGUUUAUCGCCUAUUCGGGUUCCAUCCGCAAGGAGAUCCGGCUGGGGUGUCGCUCACGGCCCCAAACGAUGUGAGCAGGGUUCCCAAGCCCACCAUCCGGGUGCCACUUGGUACACCGUGCCACUUUGCCUAGUCUGUCCCAAGCCCACCUGUACCGGGUGCCACUUGGUAGACUACUAACACUACCUACAAACACCAGAAACUAGUUGCAACUCCUGGACAGAGAUCAUGUUGAUUAAUAAGUCGAGAGGGGCACUUAAGCAUUCCAAUGUGUGGUAGUAGCUGGUCAUGGAUCACAAACACAGAACUCAGUUCCUGAGGACGGCUGCAAUGAGACAACCCACCAUGUACUCCUACAUGGCCUCUCACCGCUACCUUUACCAAAUCGUGUUCAUACACUUAGCUCACACACAGUAGGACAUGUUCACACGCCUCUGAUUCAUCCCCGAUGAAUCAGACCUGACUCAACUCUAAGCAAUAGCAGGCACGACAACAAACAUGAAUGAGUAGGCACAACAGGGCUCAAACAACUCCUACUCAUGCUAGUGGGUUUCAUCUAUUUACUGUGGCAAUGACAGGUCAUGCAAAGGAUAAAGGGGUUCAGCUACCGCAGCAAGUAACAAAUAUGCCGUUGUUGUCCUAAUGCAGUAAAAAAAAGAGCAGGAGCGAGAGAGUGGGAUUUUAUCGGAAUGAACAAGGGGGUUUUGCUUGCCUGGCACUUCUGAAGAUAACAUUGAGUCUUCAUCAGUGUCAACGAUCACAUCAUCGGUAUCACGUCUAUCGAGAGGGGACAAAUACCGGCAACACAGAAGGGAACACAAUCAAUGCAAUGCACAAUAUGAUGCAUGAUCAUGACAUGGCAAAAUGAAUGUGUUUUGAGCUAAUGCAACUAAAACCAGAUUAAAUGAAGUUGGUUUGAAUCCAAGAUUCAAAUUCAAACUCCAUAUGUGGUUAUUUAAAUGCCAUUUAUUCGAUUUGUGCUAAACAGUAGUGAUAAGUUGUUCUAACAUGCAUGAAAAUGGUACAGAUGGAUUCCUUGAAUUUUUCUGAUAAUUUUUCAUAUAUAAUUUAUUUAAUUUGGAGUUACGGUUGAAUUUCUAUGAAUUUUAGAAGUUUAUACAAUUUUCUGGAAUUAUUAAAUCAUUUAAGAUUUAUUUAAAUUCCAUAAAGGAAUUAUUGCAUCAGCACUAGGUCAUGCUGACCUCAGCAGAGUCAACAGGGGCUGGUCCGGGUCAAACCUGACCAGGGGGGCCCACUGGUCAGUGACACACCGCUGGCAUGAGUCACUGACGUGUGGGGCCGGUCAAAAGCCACGUCAGCAAGUCAAACUGACAUCGAGGCCCACAUGUCAGUGAGAUAGAGAGCUAACAGGGGGUUAUUUAACUUAACCCGUGUUUUUAACAGCGGCGGUCCCACAUGUCAUGCACAAGGGUUUAAUUAACUAAGUGAUUAGCACCUAACCUAAUGCUCCACGUCAGCUCUAAUCGGCGUUUAACCGCCGGCGUAACAGGGCACGGCGAGGUCGCUCGUCCGGCCAACUCCGGCGACGGGAGGUCGCGUGGCCGGGUGCGUUGGAACACCCGCAGCAGGGCGCGUACGAUGGUGGUGGUGGCUGGAGCUGAUGCGGGCUGUAGCGGCACCGGCGAUGAGCUCGGCGGCGGCGAUGCUCGGGCUCGGUCGGGGCGCGGGGCUGCAGCUUGCUAGCGAGCAGGUUGAGAGGCGCAAGAGCACCAGGGAGCUCCUGGAGCACUACCGCGUGCUUGGACGUGAGCAGAUCGAGCUCAGGCCACGGCGGCGAUGAGACACGACGGCAGAAGCUCUCGGCGAUGGCGGGAAUCGAGCUAGCGAACCAAAUCCACCACGGGGUAUGAGGGGAAAGGGAGAGGGGCUCACAGGGAGUCGUAUGAAGAAGACGGCGAGCUCAGGGAGGCCCUGUGGACGACGAAUCGGGCGGCGGCAUCCGGCGGCCGUGGACGGGGAAGAAGGGUCGCGGCGUCGUCUUGGGGUCCUCCGGCCUUGCGUGGGUCGGCGGAGAGGCGCUCGGGUUCUAGGCGGAGCUCCUGGGCUGGUCAGAGAAGCGAGGGGGCGGCGGUGGCCGCGGCAGCAGCAAGCGGCGGCGGCGGUCGCUCUCGGGUGCGUGCGAGAGAGAGAACAGAGGAGGAGAUGGGGACGAGGGAGUGAGCGGGAGGGUUCCAGGGGGUCGAGGCGGCACCGAGGAGAGAGCGCGAGGCGUCGUGGUGGCCUCAGUGACGCAGGCACGCACGGAGGUGCGUGGUGCCGCGGGCGCGGGCGCGUCGACACGCCUCUGCCUACUGGCAGAGGUUGAAGACGGUGGGGAGCUGGGUUGGGCCUCAGCCGCAUUGCUGGGCCAGGUGGGGCGCCAGAUGGGCUGCAGGUGAGUUAGGUAGGCUUCUGCUCUUUUUUUUUAUAUCUGUUCUGUUUCUUUUAUUUAAUAUCUUUUGCCAUUGUUUGAAUUUAAACAAAUUCAAACAAUGCCAAAAACUCCUCUGAAUAUUUUUAUUUUGCUAGAUGGACUUUUCCAAAAGCUUAUAAAAUAUUUCAGGGGUAUUUGAAAUUAUAUUCUAGUUAUAUGAAUAUAAUUCAAAUUCAAAUAGCUAAUGAUUUAAAUUCAAAGUCCCAAAAAUAAAUCCUUUUAAAAUGUUCAUUAUUUUUGGUUUGGAUCAAAACCCUUGCCAAAAAUAUCAAACAUCUAAGAGGAGCAUUUUGGAACAAUGAAUGAGAUUUUAGGGUUUUUGCCCUUCUUUAUUUAGGGUUUUGAGGCUUCUGACUUCCUCAGUUCAAGUUUUAAAAAUUUAAACAUGAUGCACAGAUGGAAGCAAGCACAGGACAGGUCAGAGCUAGGGAUGUGACAACUCACCCCCACUAAACAAGAAUCUCGUCUCGAGAUUCAAGCGUAGGGUAGGAUGAAAGGGAAACGCAAACUAGUACAAUCUUCACGAUCCAGGGUGCACUUCAGUUGAACGUUGAUUCAUUCACCAUCAUUGUCUUGAUGUCUUGUUCUGAGAACUCCAGCUAAUCAUGACAACGAGAGGAAAGGAAAGACCCUAAAAGAAUCGUUCUUCUCGAAGGUCGAACAACUCAGGAUUAACUCACGGAAUGGGACAUAGCAACAUCUCUCGAGCUGAGAGACGAAGCAUACCUCUGGAGGGAUGGAGUGGAGCAGGUGACGAGGUUCACUAGGUAGACAACAAUUCCAGACCUAAGAAGGUGGUAAACGAUUGUCAAGGUAGUGAGGAGUUGGAUUGCCAUGAUACCACAACGAGGUAUCUUAGGGAAGGUGACUCGUAGAGAUAUCCCCUUAAGUGGCAAAAAGAAUUACUUUUGAUUCAGAGAUCAUUGAAACUCUUUAAACCAGCCUAAGGCAAUUCUCGAGCGGUCGUUUGGAGGGGGUCGGUAGAAUGGCAUACUUGGACUUGGAUGAUGUGGAUUACCUUGUUGAAGACAACGUAAUGGAUGGAUUUGCUUAUCACCGGAGAUGGAAGAGACCCAUGGUAGAAGGGCACAUUGGCGGUGCAAGCUGGGAACAAAAUGCAAAUGUUGGGAAUGAUUCUGGUAACUGGGGAAGAACCCAACAAAAGAGAGUGGAUUCACUGUUUGAAAGGGUCAUAGCAUUGCCGAGGAACUGAGAGCAAACCCAGUUAGUGCCGAUGACAACACGUAGCGCUUGUGCGUGCUCUCAAGAACUUGAGCAUUUCCAUAUUCAUCAAGGUUUACCAACAUCCGUGUCAAGGAUGCUGACAACACGACAUACUACCAUGAUGAAUAACGAUGGACGAUGCAGAUGCAUAGGAAGAUAACAUCAACUCAGAUUUCACCCUAGCGAGGCCAAGGAAACAAAAUCUGGAUGAUCGACCGAGAGACAUUUAGCACUCCGCUUCUAAUGUUCUCCUUGACGUGCUAGUGUAACCCAUUCUUAGAUAUGGUUUGCUAACUAGAACAUCAAGUAAAGGUCGGAUUUCGGGAGCAAUAGAAUCCAUAAGGAACAGUUACGGAGGUAAAUCCUACGAAAUCCUUAUGGGGAGGUGGCCAACUUCUUCAAUCAAGAUAUUAUAAUAAUAGGUCUUCCGGUUGGGUGUGUUGGCCACGACAUCCACCUUACCAGUUAUCGAGGGACCAAUAUUAUAGUUCUUGGGAAAUAUUCCAACCAUCAUAUCUGCCUGAGACUCAGAUCUGGUUGGUGUCAGGAUAUUCCAGACUCAUCGAGUCUAGGAAGAAAAAUGAAAGUUUGCAACACAAAUCGACGAGAUGACGUUGCGAGAUUCUCAGGAAAUGAACUACGAUAGCAAGCUCCAAAACAUGAGUUGGUUCUGCUACAAACAUGUGAACACGUUGUUCCAGACAAGCAUGCCCACAUGGUAGUCUUACAAUAAAACACUACCGAGUUCUGGUUGGGAGCCAUCAUCGAGGAUAUCGAAGUCUUUACGCAAGUCCAUGGAUUAGAUCCCAAGCAUAGACUUCUUUUCCUUGAACAAGUCAAUCAGUGGCUUGGUGUGCUAGGAUAUACAUAUGGAAUGAAGAUGAUCAGUCUAACAGACCACAGAAUUCUUCGCACGUGCAUGACCGACUUGGGAUGAUUCCAAAGGAGCAAAAACAAACUUUCUCGAAUUCACGACGGCAACUUACAUCAAAAGCACGUGAAUCAAAGGAAGUCACUCCUUUCAUCAAACAAGUACUUCAUGAGCUAGCAUGAAGAAAAUGCUUUCAAAAGUUUCCAACACUAACUUAAUGUUCAACAACAUCAUGGAGGAGAUAAGGAUGUUGUCAAUGGGCUCAACAACAACUCAUCGAAAUUUCCAUAUCACUGGACUUCCACCAUCAUGUGAACACGGUGAUAGCAUUGAUCAGACCCAAAAGAUAUAAUGGUGUAUGCUCGAGGGAUCAACCACGAGUAAGACAACAUUACGAACAUCGUUGGUUCUGACUUGAUUUGACGAUAGCCCACACCCAAAUCAAAGGAUUGAUAAGACAAUAGGUCCAGCAACUGAUCACAGGGACCAAUCGAUGAAGAUAUCAUCUUUCUUCAAUACACACUACACAAGAAUAUCCUUUUGGGACGAACUAAGUCAGGCAAGCUUUUAUCUUCCAACUCUCCAAGUUGUUGUCUAGCUUAACCCACUAGCUCAGGGAUAUCCAACACAGACUCUCGGGGAAGGGGUGGUUUACAAGGAUAAACCAACUUGAUCACGAGCUCAACAUAGCGGUCAGGUGACAACCUGGUAAUACUUCUGAGAAGAUAUUCAGAAAAUCACGAACCACCGAUAUGUUACUAAGCUCGAGAACAAUCUCGCUUUUGAGGGCAAGACGAUAUGAUCAAAUGGGUGAGGACUUGACAAGAUCCUAACUCAUCAAUCGAAGGGUGCACCAAAAUAAGGACUAGGUAGCACGAUCAGUCUUAGAAUGAUGAUUCAAUAACCAACACACUAAGAAUGAAUUUAUUGUCCUUUAACUACCCAGCAACGAGGUUGCUAGGCGUAUUGAUUUCACACAUCACAAUUCAUUUGUCGGUAUUCCGGUUGCAUCAACACGAAGACCGAGGAAUGACUAAUGAUGGCAAGAAGUAUCACUGUACCAAGAGUUCAUAGGAUGGUGUGCAAUUCCUAUAACAAUCCCGAUAUAAAGAUGGUAAUACUCCAAGGUAGAACAGAACAAAAGCUGGAUUAGCAAUUUGAUCUGCGGAGCAGAGCUUCUUUGACCCAAUCCUGGAUAUGGAAGAGGUACUGGAGUUUGUUUCUCCUAGUCAUUCUGCGAUAGAACGGCUUGACGGACCACAAGAGUAAUAGGCAUCGAUAAACGAACGCACGCAUACUCUUGACUAUCAAUUGAUAGACGAGGGCCAGAAAACAACUAAAGAGGGACAACUCAAAAGAACAUAUGAUUUUCCAAGUUGUGGAUGCAUGGACUAGCAUGUCGAACGAAUUCAACAUAUUUCUUCCGGAUAACCCAUGCAGAAAGGUAGAACUGGCAGAGUCACAAUAUAGAAUCGAGAACCCAUCGAGAGCACUCUGAUUGUGAUCUUUCGAUCAGCGAGGAACAUCUGCCAUAAACGGUUCAUAGUAUUAGGAAGAAGGAAAUACCACGGACCUCGAGGACUAAUGCAAGGGUUACUAAUAUCCUGAAGGAACUAGCAACACUAUCAACAUGAUUUAAGUAGAGUGAAUCUCGGGUUCAAAAACCCAGGAAUAGAAUACCUACUACUAAGUAGCAUCACAGGAUGCUUUCGAGAAUGAUGGCCAGAAUCAUCACACUGGGAACACAAAUCAUGGCUAAAUUACUAGAUGAUCCCCUAAGACACCUAGGGUCAUAAUAAUAACUCCAACAUAAAGGUCGAGGCAUUAAAGUACCUCAACUCACUGAUUUGUGUGAUUAAUCUGACCAAAGACACAUCGGAAACAGGAGGAAGGGAUUUGCAAGUGCAUCAGACUAUUUGGAAACCUGGGAUGACUCGGACAGCAUAACGGCUGUAAAUGCUCAGAAAAGAUUUGAGACAUUCACAAAAAUGGUGGCAUAACCACUCAGAAGCACAAUAUCAAGGUUUCGAGAUCAACAAUUAACAUAUGGAAGUAGUAGAAACUGAACUCAAGCUUGAAUCAACAAUCUUAUAAGUCUGCGGAUUAGUAACACGUGAUCCUGAUAGAAAGAAGAGAAAGCCUAGUUCUUAAUCCUCGUAGAGGAGAAGAUGAUGACUCAGAUCAGAAGGCCAUAAGGUAUAAGGAGUAAAAAGAGCCUUACGUUCCAUCCCACAAUCAAUUCCCUUAUAUAACUAAAGAAUUUCUAGACUCAACUUCGACCAGUUUGGCUUGGUAAUCCUACAGGCAGUCAAGCUCUGAUACCAACGCUGUCAGGACCCCGACUCGAUGUCACAUCGAUCUAGCCGGUAACACCUCAUAUCACUUUGCGGCCUCACGCACGGUAUCCCCACGGGUGUCGCCUUACCUUUGCCCGGGACCAUUUGCGCCUUUUGGCUCACGUAUAUGAUAGUGUCGCUAGCAUCCAUAUGAUAAAGAGCCCGGGCUGACAUGACUAGUCGUAAACCCAAAGUGGCACAGACUUACAGGGACAGGCAUCCAUGACCCAGCUUCGAACGUGUCGGUCAUCAGCAAGUGGGUCCGGGCUGUAGCACUGGGCUAGCAGGACUCCGGUAAACCGGGCUGUAGCGGGCUAACAGGACUCCGGUACUCAAAGCGUGACAUUUCCCCGAAGGGACAGACACAGGAACGAAGAAGGACACAUGCCGGCCAGCCUAAGUGUUCCGGAGCAGUAGCAAGCUACCAUGGCUCGGUGGAAACACUAGGAGACAUUUCCCGGUAAGAGAGGCUACUAAAGAUAACAACUAGAUGGUCAGAUCCCACACAUACCAAGCAUUUCAAUAGCAUACACACAAUAUGCUCGAUAUGUGCAGAUACAACAUGGCAUCACAACAUGACUCUACGACUCAAGUAAUUUAUUCAAUAGGCUCCGAGGAGCGAGACAUUACAAACAUGGGUCUCAUGACCCAACAAUCAGAGCAUACAAGUCGAGGCACAAACGGAAGCUAUCAUGUCUGAGUACAGACAUCUAUAAAUGAAAAAGGCUGAGAAGCCUGACUAUAUAUAUCAGAUCCUGCCGAGGGCACAAGAUCGUAGCUGAGGUAACCAGCUAAACGUCGAAGUCCACGCGAAACUACUAGUGAGACCGAAGUCUCUCUGCAAAACAUAAAAUAGGCAAACGUGAGUACAAAUGUAGCCAGCAAGACUUACAUCAGAUCUAUCUACAUAUGCAUCAUUAUCAACAAAGGGAUGGUGGGGUUUAACUGCAGCAAGCCAGCUUUGACUCGGUGGCUAACCUGAACUACGACUGCAAUGUAACUCUUUUGUGCUGGCGCACACGAGUCCACAUAUUCACCAUAUCAAUACACCACUAUGGAUCCGCUCCCGUCUCCCUACGAGAACGCCAUCCAUAGCACUCACGCUUAUCUUGCGUAUUUUAGAGUAUCCACUUUCACUUGUCUAUGAACUAUGCAAGGGGUCCAAGUUUCCAUAUCCGAGGAAUCCGGCUAUUCGAAUAGAUGAUGUUAACCCUACAGGGGUGUACUUCUUCACACACGCUCUCGCCACUUACCGCCCUGUACACGUCAUGUACCUCGGCAACCUUCAAGCGGAAGCCGGGCGAGGGAGUCGGCCACGACCUGACUAAUCGAACAAGUCUCUAGUCCAGGUUUAUCGCCUAUUCGGGUUCCAUCCGCAAGGAGAUCCGGCCGGGGUGUCGCUCACGGCCCCAAACGAUGUGAGCAGGGUUCCCAAGCCCACCAUCCGGGUGCCACUUGGUACACCGUGCCACUGUGCCUAGUCUGUCCCAAGCCCACCUGUACCGGGUGCCACUUGGUAGACUACUAACACUACCUACAAACACCAGAAACUAGUUGCAACUCCUGGACAGAGAUCAUGUUGAUUAAUAAGUCGAGAGGGGCACUUAAGCAUUCCAAUGUGUGGUAGUAGCUGGUCAUGGAUCACAAACACAGAACUCAGUUCCUGAGGACGGCUGCAAUGAGACAACCCACCAUGUACUCCUACAUGGCCUCUCACCGCUACCUUUACCAAAUCGUGUUCAUACACUUAGCUCACACACAGUAGGACAUGUUCACACGCCUCUGAUUCAUCCCCGAUGAAUCAGACCUGACUCAACUCUAAGCAAUAGCAGGCACGACAACAAACAUGAAUGAGUAGGCACAACAGGGCUCAAACAACUCCUACUCAUGCUAGUGGGUUUCAUCUAUUUACUGUGGCAAUGACAGGUCAUGCAAAGGAUAAAGGGGUUCAGCUACCGCAGCAAGUAACAAAUAUGCCGUUGUUGUCCUAAUGCAGUAAAAAAAGAGCAGGAGCGAGAGAGUGGGAUUUUAUCGGAAUGAACAAGGGGGUUUUGCUUGCCUGGCACUUCUGAAGAUAACAUUGAGUCUUCAUCAGUGUCAACGAUCACAUCAUCGGUAUCACGUCUAUCGAGAGGGGACAAAUACCGGCAACACAGAAGGGAACACAAUCAAUGCAAUGCACAAUAUGAUGCAUGAUCAUGACAUGGCAAAAUGAAUGUGUUUUGAGCUAAUGCAACUAAAACCAGAUUAAAUGAAGUUGGUUUGAAUCCAAGAUUCAAAUUCAAACUCCAUAUGUGGUUAUUUAAAUGCCAUUUAUUCGAUUUGUGCUAAACAGUAGUGAUAAGUUGUUCUAACAUGCAUGAAAAUGGUACAGGUGGAUUCCUUGAAUUUUUCUGAUAAUUUUUCAUAUAUAAUUUAUUUAAUUUGGAGUUACGGUUGAAUUUCUAUGAAUUUUAGAAGUUUAUACAAUUUUCUGGAAUUAUUAAAUCAUUUAAGAUUUAUUUAAAUUCCAUAAAGGAAUUAUUGCGUCAGCACUAGGUCAUGCUGACCUCAGCAGAGUCAACAGGGGCUGGUCCGGGUCAAACCUGACCAGGGGGGCCCACUGGUCAGUGACACACCGCUGGCAUGAGUCACUGACGUGUGGGGCCGGUCAAAAGCCACGUCAGCAAGUCAAACUGACAUCGAGGCCCACAUGUCAGUGAGAUAGAGAGCUAACAGGGGGUUAUUUAACUUAACCCGUGUUUUUAACAGCGGCGGUCCCACAUGUCAUGCACAAGGGUUUAAUUAACUGAGUGAUUAGCACCUAACCUAAUGCUCCACGUCAGCUCUAAUCGGCGUUUAACCGCCAGCGUAAUAGGGCACGGCGAGGUCGCUCGUCCGGCCAACUCCGGCGACGGGAGGUCGCGUGGCCGGGUGCGUUGGAACACCCGCAGCAGGGCGCGUACGAUGGUGGUGGUGGCUGGAGCUGAUGCGGGCUGUAGCGGCACCGGCGAUGAGCUCGGCGGCGGCGAUGCUUGGGCUCGGUCGGGGCGCGGGGCUGCAGCUUGCUAGCGAGCAGGUUGAGAGGCGCAAGAGCACCAGGGAGCUCCUGGAGCACUACCGCGUGCUUGGACGUGAGCAGAUCGAGCUCAGGCCACGGCGGCGAUGAGACACGACGGCAGAAGCUCUCGGCGAUGGCGGGAAUCGAGCUAGCGAACCAAAUCCACCACGGGGUAUGAGGGGAAAGGGAGAGGGGCUCACAGGGAGUCGUAUGAAGAAGACGGCGAGCUCAGGGAGGCCCUGUGGACGACGAAUCGGGCGGCGGCAUCCGGCGGCCGUGGACGGGGAAGAAGGGUCGCGGCGUCGUCUUGGGGUCCUCCGGCCUUGCGUGGGUCGGCGGAGAGGCGCUCGGGUUCUAGGCGGAGCUCCUGGGCUGGUCAGAGAAGCGAGGGGGCGGCGGUGGCCGCGGCAGCAGCAAGCGGCGGCGGCGGUCGCUCUCGGGUGCGUGCGAGAGAGAGAACAGAGGAGGAGAUGGGGACGAGGGAGUGAGCGGGAGGGUUCCAGGGGGUCGAGGCGGCGCCGAGGAGAGAGCGCGAGGCGUCGUGGUGGCCUCAGUGACGCAGGCACGCAGGGAGGUGCGUGGCGCCGCGGGCGCGGGCGCGUCGACACGCCUCUGCCUACUGGCAGAGGUUGAAGACGGUGGGGAGCUGGGUUGGGCCUCAGCCGCAUUGCUGGGCUAGGUGGGGCGCCAGAUGGGCUGCAGGUGAGUUAGGUAGGCUUCUGCUCUUUUUUUUUAUAUCUGUUCUGUUUCUUUUAUUUAAUAUCUUUUGCCAUUGUUUGAAUUUAAACAAAUUCAAACAAUGCCAAAAACUCCUCUGAAUAUUUUUAUUUUGCUAGAUGGACUUUUCCAAAAGCUUAUAAAAUAUUUCAGGGGUAUUUGAAAUUAUAUUCUAGUUAUAUGAAUAUAAUUCAAAUUCAAAUAGCUAAUGAUUUAAAUUCAAAGUCCCAAAAAUAAAUCCUUUUAAAAUGUUCAUUAUUUUUGGUUUGGAUCAAAACCCUUGCCAAAAAUAUCAAACAUCUAAGAGGAGCAUUUUGGAACAAUGAAUGAGAUUUUAGGGGUUUUGCCCUUCUUUAUUUAGGGUUUUGAGGCUUCUGACUUCCUCAGUUCAAGUUUUAAAAAUUUAAACAUGAUGCACAGAUGGAAGCAAGCACAGGACAGGUCAGAGCUAGGGAUGUGACACUUCUAGUCGUAUUCAGGCCGUGAUGGCCUAGUAGGUGGCAUUUUUUUACAAUUCAUUUUUUCAUUUCUACUUAGAACUAAAUACUUAUAGUUUUUUAGUGAUUUUUUUCUUUUAGGUCACAAAAAUUAUAAACUUUCUGUUAGUGCCAUUAGUUAUAAAAUUUGAAUAGUUUAAAUGUGAAUUUUUUAAAAUUUGUGUGAAUCACUAGUUUAUGAAUAACUUUACUACAAAAAUUGAUUUUUGAGUCAUUCUUUUUCCUGCUAUUUAAUAUUACUGUGCUUUAUCAUUAUACUCAAUUUGGUAAUUUUAGUUAGUCAUAACAAAUGUUAUAGGCAUUUUUUUCUUUUUGCUAUUUAUUUUUUCAUUUCUACUUAGAACAAAAUACUUAUAGUUUUUUAGUGAUUUAUUUUUUCUUUUAGGUCACAAAAAUUAUAAACUUUCUGUUAGUGUCAUUAGUUUUCAAAUUUGAAAACACUUUUUUUGUUUUUUUGCUUUUAGUGCCUAUUUUUUUCCAGUUUUUUUGUUUUGUUUUCUGCAUUAUUUAUUUUCUUUUGUUUUUUGAUUUACUUUUUAAUUCCUUUUGCUUUCAGUUUUAGAAAAAUUAUAAACUUUCUGUUAGUGCCAUUAGUUUUCGAAUUUGAAAACACUUUUUUAGUUUUUUUGUUUUCAUUGCUGCUUUAUUUAUUUUAUUUUGNNNNNNNNNNNNNNNNNNNNNNNNNNNNNNNNNNNNNNNNNNNNNNNNNNNNNNNNNNNNNNNNNNNNNNNNNNNNNNNNNNNNNNNNNNNNNNNNNNNNNNNNNNNNNNNNNNNNNNNNNNNUAUUGCUGCUAUUUUUAUUUUUUUAGUUUUUUUGUUUUGUUUUUUGUAUUAUUUAUUUUCUUUUGUUUUUUGCUUUAUUUUUUAAUUCUUUUUGAUUUUAGGUCAGCAAAAUUAUAAACUUUCUGUUAGUGCCAUUAGUUUUAGAAAAAUUAUAAACUUUCUGUUAGUGCCAUUAGUUUUCAAAUUUGAAUAGUUAAAAUUUGAAUUCUUUGAAAUUUGUGUGAAUCACAAGUUUGUGAUUAACUUUACUAAAAAAGGAACAUAGAUGCACCUAUAGAGAAAAUUCGACCUAAAUUCAUAGUUUUCAAAUGAACUCUGAAAAAGUUGGCAUAGCAUACUCGUGUGUUACAAAGUUGGCUUGGUAUCAUCAUAAUAGUUGCGGGAGAAAGUCUUCACUUUUUCUUCGCUUGUGUCAUUUGCUUAUUGCGCCGUAACCAUGGAUAAUCUUCAUCGUUUAUCAGGAUGCUUGGGUCAGCCUUGACAUUGAAGGGAGGAAUUUCAUGAAACUUUUCAUAAUCUUCAGACAUGUCUGUCUUGCCCUCCACUCCCAGGAUAUCCCUUUUUCCUGAAAGAACUAUGUGGCGCUUUGGCUCAUCGUAUGAUGUGUUCGCUUCCUUAUCUUUUCUUUUUCUCGGUUUGGUAGACAUGUCCUUCACAUAGAUAACCUGUGCCACAUCAUGGGCUAGGAUGAACAGUUUGUCAGUGUACCCAAGAUUUUUCAGAUCCACUGUUGUCAUUCCAUACUGUGGGUCUACCUGUUCCCCGCCGCCUGACAGAUUGACCCAUUUGCACUUAAUCAAAGGGACCUUAAAAUCAUGUCCGUAGUCAAGUUCCCAUAUGUCCACUAUGUAACCAUAAUAUGUGUCCUUUCCGCUCUCGGUUGCUGCAUCAAAGUGGACACCGCUGUUUUGGUUGGUGCUCUUUUGAUCUUGGGCGAUCGUGUAAAAUGUAUUCCCAUUUAUCUCAUAUCCUUUGAAGUCAAUACAGUCAAAGAUGGUCCCCUGGACAACAAGUACAGCUCAUCACAAAUAGUGUUGUCACCUCUGAGAUGUGUUUCCAACUAACUGUUGAAAGUCCUGAUGUGUUCACAUGUAAUCCAGUCGUCGCACUGCUCCGGGUGUUUGGAGCGUAGACUGUUCUUGUAUUCAUCGACAUACAGGGUCACCAAGGUAGAGUUCUGUAGAACUGUGUAGUGUUCUUGAGACCAAGAAUAUCCGUCCUUGCAUAUUAUUGAGUCACUUUCAAGAGUGCCUUUUCCAGUCAGUCUCCCCUGAUACCGCGAUUUAGGGAGACCUAUCUUCUUAAGACCAGGAAUGAAGUCAACACAAAACCCGAUAACAUCCUCUGUUUGAUGGCCCAUGGAGAUGCUUCCUUCUGGCCUGGCGCGGUUACGGACAUAUUUCUUUAGGACUCCCAUGAACCUCUGAAAGGGGAACAUAUUGUGUAGAAAUACGAGCCCCAGGAUGACAAUCUCGUCGACUAGAUGAACUAGGACGUGCGUCAUGAUAUUGAAGAAGGAUGCUGGGAACACCAGCUCGAAACUGACAAGACAUUGUGCCACAUCACUCCUUAGCCUCGGUACGAUUUCUGGAUUGAUCACCUUCUGAGAGAUUGCAUUGAGGAAUGCACAUAGCUUCACAAUGGCUAAUCGGACGUUUUCCGGCAGAAGCCCCCUCAAUGCAACCGGAAGCAGUUGCGCCAUAAUCAGGUGGCAGUCAUGAGACUUUAGGUUCUGAAACUUUUUCUCUGGCAUAUUUAUUAUUCCCUUUAUAUUCGACGAGAAGCCAGUCGUGUCCUUCAUACUGAGCAGGCAUUCAAAGAAGAUUUCUUUCUCUUCUUUCGUAAGAGCGUAGCUGGCAGGACCUUUAUACUGCUUCGGAGGCAUGCCGUCUUUUUCGUGCAAACGUUGCAGGUCCUCCCGUGCCUCAGGUGUAUCUGUUGUCUUCCCAUACACGCCCAAGAAGCCUAGCAGGUUCACGCAAAGGUUCUUCGUCACGUGUAUCACGUCGAUUGAAGAGCGGACCUCUAGGUCUUUCCACUAGGGUAGGUCCCAAAAUAUAGAUUUCUUCUUCCACAUGGGUGUGUGUCCCUCAGCGUCAUUCGGAACAGCUAGUCCGCCGGGACCCUUUCCAAAGAUUACGUGUAAAUCAUUGACCAUAGCAAGUACGUGAUCACCAUUACACAUGGCGGGCUUCUUCCGGUGAUCUUCCUCGCCAUUGAAAUGCUUGCCUUUCUUUUGACAUUGAUGGUUGGUCAGAAGAAAUCGAUGAUGGCCCAGAUACACAUUCUUCCCGCAUUUUUCCAGGUAUAUACUUUCAGUUUCAAUAGUGCGUGCAUGCAAAAAUCUUUUGUUUGUUUGUCCUGAAAGGUUACUGAGAGCGGGCCAAUCGUUGAUGGUCAUGAACAGCAACGCCUUUAGGUUAAAUUCCUCCUGUCUGUGCUCAUCCCACGUACGUACACCGUUUCCAUUCCACAGCUGUAAAAGUUCUUCAACUAAUGGCCUUAGGUACACAUCAAUGUCGUUGCCGGGUUGCUUAGGGCCUUGGAUGAGAACUGGCAUCAUAAUGAACUUCCGCUUCAUGCACAUCCAAGGAGGAAGGUUAUACAUACAUAGAGUCACGAGCCAGGUGUUGUGAUUGCUGCUCUGCUCCCCGAAAGGAUUAAUGACAUCCACGCUUAAAGCAAACCAUAAAUUCCUUGGGUCCUUUGCAAACUCAUCCCAGUACUUUCUCUCGAUUUUUCUCCAAUGCGACCCGUCAGCGGGUGCUCGCACCUUCCCGUCUUUCUUCCGGUCCUCACUGUGCCAUCGCAUCAACUUGGCAUGCUCUUUGUUUCUGAACAGACGUUUCAACCAUGGUAUUAUAGGAGCAUACCACAUCACCUUCGCAGGAACCCUCUUCCUGGGGGGCUCACCGUCAACAUCACCAGGGUCAUCUCGUCUGAUCUUAUACCGCAAUGGACCGCAUACCGGGCAUGCGUUCAGAUCCUUGUAUGCACCGCGGUAGAGGAUGCAGUCAUUAGGGCAUGCAUGUAUCUUCUCCACCUCCAAUCCUAGAGGGCAUACGAUCUUCUUUGCUGCGUAUGUACUGUCGGGCAAUUCGUUAUCCUUUGGAAGCUUCUUCUUCAAUAUUUUAAGUAGCUUCUCAAAUCCUUUGUCAGCCACAGCAUUCUCUGCCUUCCACUGCAGCAGUUCCAGUACGGUACCGAGCUUUGUGUUGCCAUCUUCGCAAAUGGGGUACAACCCUUUUUUAUGAUCCUCUAACAUGCAAUCGAACUUCAGCUUCUCCUUUUGACUUUCGCAUUGCGUCCUUGCAUCGACAAUGACCCGGCGGAGAUCAUCAUCAUCGGGCACAUCGUCUAGUUCCUCUUGAUCUUCAACAGCUUCACCCAUUGCAGCAUCAUUGGGCACAUCGUCUGGUUCCUCUUGAUCUUCACCAGCUCCCCCUGUUGCAGCAUCACCGUAUUCAGGGUGCACAUAGUUGUCAUCGUACUCUUCCUCUUUGCCGUCUUCCAUCAUAACCCCUAUUUCUCCGUGCCUUGUCCAAACAUUAUAGUGUGGCAUGAAACCCUUUUAAAGCAGGUGGGAGUGAAGGAUUUUCCGGUUAGAGUAAGACCUCGUAUUCCCACAUUCAGUGCAUGGACAACGCAUAAAACCAUUAUGCUUGUUUGCCUCAGCCGCAUCAAGAAACUCAUGCACGCCCUUAAUGUACUCGGAGGUGUGUAUGUCACCGUACAUCCAUUGCCGGUUCAUCUGCGUGCAUUAUAUAUAAUUAAGUGUCCAAAUUAAUAGAAGUUCAUCAUCACAUUAAAACCAAAGUACAUACAUAGUUCUCAUCUAACAACAUAUAGCUCUCCAGAGCAUCUAAUUAAUUUAACCAUACAUUGAAACUAUGUAAAACAUUUCAAUGCGAAAACAAAUGCGAUCAUAAUCGCAACCAAGGUAACAAUUGAUCCAACGGCAUAAUGAUACCAAGCCUCGGUAUGAAUGGCAUAUUUUCUAAUCUUUCUAAUCUUCAAGCACAUUGCAUCCAUCUUGAUCUUGUGAUCAUCGACGACAUCCGCAACAUGCAACUCCAAUAUCAUCUUCUCCUCCUCAUUUUUUUAUUUUUUCCUUCAACAAAUUGUUUUCUUCUUCAACUAAAUUUAACCUCUCGACAAUAGGGUCGGUUGGAAUUUCCGAUUCACAUACAUCCUACAUAAAUAAAAUCUAUGUCACGUUGGUCGGCAUAAUUUUCAUAAACAAUAAAUGAACCAAUAGUUAUAAAGAUAAUAUAUAUACCACAUCCGAAUCAUAGACAUGACGAGGGCCGACGGGGGCGGAUACCAAAACCAUCGCACUAUAUAAGAUGCAAUAAUAAAAGUAAGAAAAUAAUACAAGUAUCUAUGUAAACAUACAAGUAAGAAUAUUUUUCCUUUCAGAAAGAAGAUAAGAACAAGAGGCUGACCACGGUGGUGCCGGCGAUGACCUCGGCGUGGGUGAUCGACGGCGGUGAAGACGGGGACGGUGCGUGAUGGACCGCUAAACCUAGACAAAUAUUGAGGAAAAUGGAGCUUGGAGGUUGAGCUUGGAGAGGAGAAAGCUUAAGUAGUGUGGCUCGGGCAUUCCAUCGAACACCUUGUGUGCAUAGGAGGUGAGCUAGAGCGCCACCAAGCCCUCUCCCCCUCGGCCAGAAAAAAACAGAGCAGUGUGCUCUGCUCUUAUGCGAGUCGAUAUAUAUAGGCACCUCAUUGGCCCCGGUUGGUGGCAUGAACCGGGACUAAAGGGGAGCCUUUGGUCCCGGUUCAAGCCACCAACCGGGACCAAUGGUGGUGGGCCAGGCGCGAGGCCCAUUGGUCCCGGUUCGUCCCACCAACCGGGACCAAAAGGUCCAGAUGAAUCGGGACCAAUGGCCCACGUGGCCCGGCCGGCCCCCUGGGCUCACGAACCAGGUCCAAUGCCCCCAUUGGUCCCGGUUCUGGACUGAACCGGGACUAAUGGGCAGACCCGGCCUGGACCGUUGCCCCCUUUUCUACUAGUGCCUCUCCCAUUCUCUUUAAUUUUGUCGCGGAUGCCCUCUUGAACAUCCUAUCCAAUGUUGCGUUAGCCGGGCACAUAUCCCCUAUAAGCUCUCAUCUCAUUCCUGAGGGCAUUACCCAUCUACAAUAUGCUAACGACCCGAUUAUCAUGGUGGAACUUAAUGAUCCCUGUCUCUCACAUCUUAAGUUUCUUCUCCUAUGCUUCGAGGCAUUGUCAGGCCUGAAAAUUAAUUUUGCUAAGAGUGAAGUAAUAGUCACUAGGGUAUCGGAUGCUGAGGCCCUACGUGUUGCAUAUCUGCUCAACUGCUCUCUAGGUUCCUUUCCUCUGAAAUAUCUUGGGCUACCUAUUUCAUGCGACAAACUUCUGGCCAAAGAUUUCGCUCCCACGAUGGCCAAGGUGGGCAACCGAGUCAUGCCAUGGAGGGGCAGAUAUAAUACUCAAGCUGGAAAGGUCCCCAUGAUUAAUGCGUGUCUCUCUUCCCUCCCUAUGUUUGUGAUGGGGUUUUGUCUCCUUACUAAUGGCACUCAUGCUGGUUUUGACAAACACAGAGGUGCCUUUUAUUGGAAUGCGGCAGAUAACAAGUGCAAAUGCCGUAUGGUCAAGUGGGACCAAAUUUGUCGACCCAAAAGCCUUGGGGGAUGGGCAUUAUUAAUACCUUAGUCAUGAACAAGUGUCUGAUCAUCAAGUGGUGGUGGAAGAUCAUGACAACCUCGGAUAAACCACUUUGGUAUAACAUUCUUAAGGCCAAAUACUUCCCUUCUUCCAGCCCCAUGUUUGCCCCCGCUUCUGGUGCCUCUCAGUUCUGGAAGGACCUCGUCAAACUCAGGCUAGUGUUUCAAGGCUUAGUCAAGUUCGUUGUGCAUAAUGGCAGAUCUACGAGGUUUUGGCUCGACUAGUGGUACGGUCCUACAACCCUUGUUGUUUCUUUCCCGGUGUUGUUUUCAUACUAUCCUGACUGAGAGAUCUCGAUAUUUGAGCUCUCUGACAAUAAUUGGGACCUUUAGCUACGGCGUUCUCUAUCUCCCGGAGAGUUGGUUGAUUGGCACCGUCUUGUUGCCCACUUCCAUUUGCUCUCGGAGUAGGAGGACUCACUUGUGUGGCCUCAUUCUUCUUUUGGGCAGGUUUCUGUUAAAUCUUUAUAUAGCAAGCUGAUCUCUGGCUUGACUACUUCCAAAUUCAAGUGGAUCUGGAGGGCCCGCAUCCCUCCAAGAUUAAGUUUUUUUUGCGGCAGGCCUCCCACGGGCGCCUGCCGGCUGGUGACAAAAUUCGCAAGCAUAAUGGCCCUGGCUCUGAUUGCUGUGCAUUAUGUGGUCAGUGAGAGGACACGGCUCAUAUAUUUUUCAAUUGUGUCUUGGCUAAACUCUUUUGGUCAUGUAUCAGAUCGUGGCUUCAUGUCUCUUGGAUACCGAACUCCUUCUCUGAGCUUCGUCUUUUGGCCUCUAACCUGGUUGGGGCCUAGAGAAGAAUGUUUUGGGUGGGAUUUGCAGCUGUUUGUUGGACUCUCUGAAUGACUAGGAAUAAGUUUGCCAUUGAACAUACCUUUCCUACUAAUCCUGCUGAUUGCUUAUUUAAAACUUGCAUAUUCUUGCAACAGUGGAGAUUAUUGACUAAGGAGGAAGAUCGGGAUGCUUUUGUUGAGAUGACGUCCAAAAUUUGGGUUACAGCUACCUCCCUCCCUCGCACUCAAGCUGGCAGUUAGGAGUUGUUGGCCCUGAUAGCGUCGUUCUUGAGUCUCCGGCCUAUGUGUCGUGUACUGGCCUGGGAGCAAUGUACAUUAAACCUCUGUUUGUUCGUUGUGGCACAGAUACAAUGAUGUCCUAGUGGAUGCUGGUUGGUUUCGUUUGUUAUGACUCUGUGUGACGCCACCGAUUUGAACAUACACUAAUCAUGCACGUAAAUGUGUACGAUCAAGAUCAAGGACUCACGGGAAGAUAUCACAACACAACUCUAGACACAAAUUAAAAUAAUACAAGCUUUAUAUUACAAGCCAGGGGCCUCGAGGGCUCGAAUACAUAGCUUGAAUACACAAGAGUCGGCGGAAGCAACAAUAUCUGAGUACAGACAUAAGUUAAACAAGUUUGCCUUUAAAGGCUAGCACAAAGGUAGCAACGAUCAAAAAGGCAAGGCCUCCUGCCUGGGACCGGAAGACUUAGUGGUACAAUCGACAACAAUUUGAUUGGUUGAUACCCAGCACAUGUUUUGAUGUCUGAGCCAGAAGGAUGAAUCCUAGGAUUUGAUUGAGGAUUGCGAGCAUUCGCAACAUUUUGAAUCAACAGACUCAAAAUGAUAAUGACAAAGGAUACUAAUUGAAUAUUGCUGGUCUUAAGGAACGCAACCAAAAUGCAAGCACACAAUUGUAGAGCAAUAGCUGGAAGAGGAUUACCGGAAGAUCGAAUAGUAUUUCGACGUAUCUUAUGGAUCAUAAGAACAAUGGGGAAAGAACGGAUCUAUGUAAGCGUGAGGAAUUAUCCGUAGGGGGUAUUCAUGUGGCAAGACUGCAAGGCAGUAGGUACCAAGUAUCCUCGAAACAAUAGUGAGAAUUUUGGGGUAUCUUACAAUAACAAGAUCAACGGGGAAUGAUUGUACCAAUGGCAAGUGCACAUGGUUAUCCAUAGGGGUUUAUCGAUGGAAGGGAAUUGCUAUAGCCAUGGCACAAAGUCUCGAGAGAACAUCGCAGAGUAUCUUCGGGAACCUUCGGUGCACCGAGCAAUCAUAUUGAGUGUGGGGCUCUCCGGGAGGAAGUGGUUACGAGAACCUAGAGUCAGAGUUUAGUAAAAUCAUUUAACCCGAAUAGAAGAGAUAUUAGAGUCCCAGAGUAUAGGUCGAGGAAUAAAAGAUCCUAAUACCACCCAAUGGCGACUUGGGCCCGUAAGACACACAGGCAUGUUAGUAAAAGUUUUGCAAUGUAUAGACUUGACUUCGACCAAGGAGUGUGGACGCCCCCGAUUUGACCGUACACUAAUCAUGCACGCAAAUAUGUACGAUCAAGAUCAAGGAUUCACGGGACGAUAUCACAACACAACUCUAGACACAAAUUAAAAUAAUACAAGCUUUAUAUUACAAGCCAGGGGCCUCGAGGGCUCGAAUACACAAGAGUCAGCGGAAGCAACAAUAUCUGAGUACAUACAUGGCACAAAUGUAGCAACGAUCAAAAAGGCAAGGCCUCCUGCCUGGGACCUCCUAAACUACUCCUGGUCGUCGUUAGCGGCCUGCACGUAGUAGUAGGCACCUCCAGUGUAGUAGGAGUCGUCGUGGACGGUGGCGUCAGGCUCCUGGGCUCCAUCGUCUUGUCGCAAUAACCGAGUAUAGAAAGGGGAAAAGGGGGAGCAAAUCAACCGUGAGUAUUCAUCCAAAGUACUCACAAGCAAGGAACUACACUACAUAUGUAUGCAUUGGUAUCAAAUGGAAAAGGGGUAGCAUAUGUGGACUGAACUGCAGAAUGCCGGAAUAAGAUGGGGAUAGCGAGUCCUAUCGAAGACUACGCUUCUGGCAAGCUCCAUCUUGCAGCAUGUAGAAGAUAGUAGAUGGUAAGUUCACCAAGUAUCAUCACAUAGCAUAAUCCUACCCAGUGAUCCUCCCCUCGUCGCCCUGUGAGAGAGCAAUCACCGGUUAUAUCUGGCACUUGGAAGGGUGUGUUUUAUUAAUUAUCCAGUUCUAGUUGUCAUAAGGUCAAGGUACAACUCCGAGUCGUCCUUUUACCGAGGUACACAGCUAUUCGAAUAGAUCAACUUCCCUGCAAGGGUGCACCACAUUUCCCAACACGCUCGAUCCCCUUUGUCCGGACACACUUUCCUGGGUCAUGCCCGGCCUUGGAAGAUCAACACGUCACAGCCCUACCUAGGCACAACAGAGAGGUCAGCACGCCGAUCUAAAUCCUAUGGCGUAGGGGUCUCGUCCCAUCGCCCAUUGCACACCUGCAUGUUGCGUAUGCGGCCGGCGAGCAGACCUAGCCUCCCUUAUACAACAGCAGGCAUUCCAGUCUAACCCGGCGCGCGUCGCUCAGUCGCUGACGUCACGAAGGCUUCGGCUGAUACCACGACAUCGAGUGCCCGUAACUGUUCCCGCGUAGUUGGUUAGUGCGUAUAGGCCAGUGGCCAGACUCAGAUCAAAUACCAAGAUCUCGUUAAGCAUGUUAUUUUGAAAUAACCACGGGCGCCGACCAGGGCCAGGCCCACCUCUCUCCUAGGCGGUGUCAACCUGCCCUGUCGCUCCGCCACAAAGAUCCACUCAGAGGGCCGUCGGGACAGACGUCCUUUCGGACCCAAUCCGUGAAUCACUCGCGGGUACUCUACAAGCCGACCUGACUUUAGUCACCACAAGUAUCAUAUAAUAUGUAUAUAAGUAUAUACCCGUGAGCACCUCCCGAGUGAUCACGACCCAAUAGUAUAGCAUGGCAGACGGACAAGAAUGUAGGGCCACUGAUGAUAAACUAGCAUCCUAUACUAAGCAUUUAGGAAUGCAGGUAAGGUAUCAACAAUUGUAGCAACAAUGACAGGCUAUGCAACAGAGUAGGAUUAACGGUAAGUAGUAACAUGCUACACUACUCUAAUGCAAGCAGUAGAGAGAAGAAUAUGCGAUAUCUGGUGAUCAAGGGGGGAGGGCUUGCCUGGUUGCUCAGGCAAGAAUGAGGGGUCGUCAUCGAUAUAGUCGAUCACGGGACUAUCGGCAGCAGUCUCGAGGUCUACCGAAAAGAGGUAACGGACGGGGAACACAAUAAGUAACAGAGCAAUCAAAGGCAUCACAAAGCAUAACACAACAAUAUGCGGUGCUAGGAGUGGUCUAACACGAUGCUAUACGUUAUAGACAGAGCGGGAAAAUAUCUGAGGACAUUUCCUAGGUUUUGGGCAUUUACUGGACAGACGAAAGAGAGGGGACGGUUCCAUGUUUAGCAUGCUAGGGGCAUGUGACAGAUGAACAGAUCGCGUAUUUGGAUUUGUUGGAUUUUUCUGAGCAACUUUCAUAUAUAAAUUUUUUUAAUCCGAGUUACGGUUUAUUUUCUAUGAAUUUUCAAAGUCUUAAACAUAUACCAGAAUUCCUAGAAUUAAUAUUAAUUCGAAAAUAUAAGGAUAAAAUUCUAUGGGUACACAAAGAGUGUACUCGGCUAUUUGCAUAUGUGGCUAACAGUGGGCCCUGUUGACUGCUGAGUCAGCAGUCAAUGGUCAAUUGGUUGACUGGUCAAACUGACCAGGGGACCCACAUGUAAUAGGCUAUUUACCUAAAAAAAUAAACAAUCCUAACUUAUUUAAAUGGGGGCCUACAUGUCAUUGCCACAUAUAUUUAACAAUUGUUUAACUUGAUCUAAUUAGUGGUAGGGCCCGCUGUCAGUGCCUAAUUAGUGGGGAAAUUAGCACUAAUAGGAUUAGCCGCUAAUUAAGCAAAAGAAAAGGGGGGCGGACCCCACUAGCAGAGAGCCAACCAGCCACCAGGGUUGUGACCGCUGCACGCACGAGCAAAAGGCUCGCCCAUGGCCAGCAGCCCCGACGGCAAGCGGCGACCGGUGACUGGAGCGGCAACAAUUGCGGCCGGUGGCGGGCGGGGCUAGGCGGAAGAGGGCGGCGAGGCGCACGCGAGGGGCGAGCAACGGCUGCGCGGGACGCGGACGGCAGAGGGGGAGCCAAGCGCGGGUGAGGCCAUGGCCUCGGCGAGGCUCACCGUCCGGCCACGGCGGGCGAAGGCGGAUGCAGGGGCAGCGAGCGAGACUGCAGGCGGCGGCCGCGGGGAGGCUGGGGGCGUGGGGAUGGGACGCCGCCAGCAGGCAGAGGCGGGGCGGGAAAGACGACGGGCGUGGUCGGGAGGAGCCGGCGGAGGUGGGACGCAGGGAGCCAGCGGAAGCGACGGCAGUGGGUGCGGGGGUGAGCACGGCCACGGCACCGACGGUGCACGUAAGGAGCAAGCUAUGGGUUGGGGAGCAGCUAGGGGCGAUGGGCACCCAACGACACGGCUGUGCAUUGGCAGGCGUGACGAGCUGCAGACAAUGGCGGCAGCUAAAGCAGCAGUGCAGCAGAAGCAACUAGCGGCAAGGUGGGGUGCGAGCACGCGGGCGGCGCACGGUCGGGCACGCACGGGGCUCAUGUAGGUGGCUCCAGGGUUUGGCUGAAGGUGGUUGGGCCACGCGGGCGCGAACGCCGAGCUUCGGCCAGGGCGGAAACAUCGUGAGAGCGAGCUACGGGGGAGAAAGAGAUGUGCGAGGGGAGGGGAAAGGAGCCGGAGCUCACCGGGAAGGCACAAGGAGGCCGGGCGUGGGCUUAGGAGCAGCAGAGGUGUGGGAAUCGUCGGGGAUCACCGGCAGCCGUCGAGGAAGAAGAUGGUCGGAUCCGGCGGGGUGGUGGUUCCCGACUCCGAUGGCUUGGCGUAGAGGACGUAGUCGAGGGAAGCGCAUCUCCUGGGCAUGGCCUCGCGGUGCAGGUCGGGCAGAGACCACGUGGACGACGACGUUCAUGGUGGCGGCGGCGGGAGGCGGUGCGUGGAAUAAAGCGGCACGAGGGGGAAGAAGUGGAGAGGCUAGGGUUUGUAGAGCGGUCCGAGGGUGUCCAGUAGGAGGCCAGGGAAGGCGACGGGGAGGCGCGGAUGGCCGGCGGGUGUCCUCCCGUGGCCACGGACGGCGCACAUGCGUCCACCGCUCCAUGGUGAACAGGGGAGGGUGAUGACCACGGUGUGGGCUAAGCCACACCGUGCACCAGAGGCCCAAGUGUACAGUGUGGGCCCCUUUUACUUUCUUUCCUUUUUUAAGUUCCUUUUUAUUUUCUUUUUUCAAUUAUAACCAUUGUUUUGCAUUUGUUAUGCUGUUAAACUAUUUUUUUAAAUUGAUAAAGUUGCCUCAAUAAAUGUUAUGCAACAUCCAACACUGUCAUAAAAAGUUUGAACCUCACUUGAAUUUUGGUUUGAAUUUAAAUGCGAUGAAUGAGUGCUGCUGGGUCAUUCAAAAACAGCUAUGGGCAUUUUGGAGUUUCAAAUAAUUUUGGUUUUACUUUUUUUUAAUUGCUUUGGAAAAAUUUGCAAUAAUAUGAACACUUUUGUUUUACCGUUGGAAGAAAUAAUAUAUUUGACUUUAUUUUAAAUAUGAAUUUGGGGCUGAAAUAUUUCUUCAUUGUUUUUCUUACGGCAUUAUGAUGAUGACUUGGCAUCCUUAGUGUGGAGUUACUGUAGCUUAAUUAUCCGGACGUCACACUCUGCCUGGUGGCUUUAUUUAUAAAGUCGGGCUCUUGCUUUUUCUCUAAAAAAAGUACUCUUACUUGUCUUGUACUUCAAAAAGAUCAUGUAUUCCUAUAUAUAUGCCCACGAGGCUCAAGCAAUAAACAUCGAUCUCACCAAUCCCUCUAUAUAUUCCUCUAACAUGGUAUCAGCCUAACGAUCCAACCCUAGCCGCCGUCGCCGCUUCUGCUCCACACCACCAUCGAGGCAGUCGGUCUCCAUGAUCACCGUCGGAGGCCGCGCCGCUCGUACCUAGGGUUCUUCCGCUGAUCAUGUUUACCGGCUGCCCUAGAGAGUUCUUUUCCCCAUCCUUUGAUCAGAGUUUUUCUCUCUCUAGCCGGUCAUCUUAAUCGGCAUUUUUAUUUUUGGUUUACCAAUUUAUGAUCGGUUUACAUCACCCGCCGCCAUCGCCAACCCCCGCGCAUCUACUCUAACAUCGGCACAGACUCUACACCGGCCAUGACAUCAUCAGUGUGGCACGGCUGGACGCGUUGCCCAAGGGACGCCUUCGUGUGUAGCUGUCGGCCGCUCAUCCGCAUGGUCUCCAUUGCCGGUCCGUCUUAGUCUUCAUCGUCUGGGACAUCACCAACAAACGGCACCAUCGACUUCAAUCUGCGCAUCGUACCAGCCAUGGCGCGUACAUCGCCGCUGUUGGUCUGAUCAAAAGAUCACAUGCGUGACUUUGCCAAGCCCGUCCCCGAGCACGCGCCUACCACCGAUCGAGCCACAUGUUGUCGUCAUGUCGUCCCUUCGGACCGCUCCGUCGCCGCCCUAAGGCCCUACCGCCGGCUGCCCUAACUGCCCACUACUCCCAUCGAUGCACGUUCAGGUCGUCGUGCUACAACAGGGGGUCCAUGCCACACCCCUCCCGAGAUCCUCCCAACGGCUACCCUGGUAGUUGUUGCCUUUGUGUCACCCCUUCGGGUUGUCGCGCCGCGGCACGCGGUCCAGGCCGCUGCUGUUGUGCUGUCGCCACUGGCCAGUGGUUCUCCCAUCGUCUUCCCCAACCCGCAAGCUGCCGCUACAUCACCGCUUCGGGCUGUAGGGCUAUGGUACGCGGUCCCCGCCGCUGCCAGAGGCCGUCACCAUGGCUGCACCGACCCGCGCUCCGCCACUGCAUCGCCCCUUUGAACCGUAGCGACACGGCCUGCGAUCCACUCCGCCACCCCUGCGCGUCGACUUCCCAUGGUAUGUGCCGCGUCACCUCCCUCGGCGCGAGAACACUGAAGGAAAUAUGCCCUAGAGGCAAUAAUAAAGUUGCUAUUUAUAUUUCCUUAUAUCAUGAUAAAUGCUUAUUAUUCAUGCUAGAAUUGUAUUAACGGGAAACUUAGUACAUGUGUGAAUACAUAGACAAACAGAGUGUCCCUAGUAUGCCUCUACUUGACUAGCUCGUUAACCAAAGAUGGUUAAGUUUCCUGACCAUAGACAUGUGUUGUCAUUUGAUGAAUGGGAUCACAUCAUUAGAGAAUGAUGUGAUGACCAUAGACAUUUCUUAUGAGUUAUGUGUUUUGGUGACCGAAGUUUGUUCGGAGUCCCGGAUGAUAUCACGGACAUGACGAGGAGUCUCGAAAUGGUCGAGAGGUAAAGGUUCAUAUAGAAUGGUUCCGAAGAGGUUCAAGGAUUUUUCGAAGUUGGACAAGGGGAGGGGGCGCGGCCCCCCUUUCCUAUUUCCCCUCUCCGUUGGAAGGAAGCGCGGGGGGGGGGGGGCGAAUCCUACUAGGGGUAGGACUCCCCCCUAGGCGCGCCUCUCCCUGGCCAGCCACCUCCACCCCCUCUCCUUUAUAUACGGGGGCGGGGGGCACCCCAAAGGCACACCAAGAUUUCUAUUAGCCAUGUGUGGUGCUCCCCUCCACAGUUUACUCCUCCGGUCAUAGCGUCGUAGUGCUUAGGCGAAGCCCUGCAUGGAUCACAUCACCAUCAUCGUCACCACGCUGUUGUGCUGUCGGAACUCUCCCUCAACCCUCUACUAGAUCCAGAGCUUGAGGGACGUCAUCGAGUUGAACGUGUGUUGAACACGAAGGUGCCGUAUGUUUGGUAUUUGGAUCAGAUGGAUUGUGAGGACGUUUGACUAAAUCAACCGCGUUAACCUAACGCUUCCGCUUUCGGUCUACGAGGGUACAUGGACACAUCCCCCCUCUUGUUGCUAUGCAUCUCCUAGAUAGAUCUUGCAUAAUCGUAGGAAAUUGUUUGAAAUUGCAUGCUACGUUCCCCGAAAAUGGCAUCAGAGCCAGGUCUAUGCAUAGAUGAUAUGCACGAGUAGAACCUAAAGAGUUGUGGGCGAUAAUAGUCAUACUGCUUACCACCAACUCCUUGCUUUGAUUCGGCGGUAUUGUUGGAUGAAGCGGCCCAGACCGACAUUACAUGACCCCGUUCAUGAGACUAGUUCUACUGACGUGCUUGGGUUAAACUUGAGGAGCCUAGCAUAUGCAGAUAUGGCCUCGGAACACUAAGAACGAAUGGUAGAGCGUGAAUCAUAUAGUAGAUAUGAUCAACAUAGUGAUGUUCACCAUUGAAAACUACUCCAUCUCACGUGAUAAUCGUACAGGGUUUACUUGAUAUGGAUCACGUGAUCAUUUAGAUGACUAGAGAGAUGUCUAUCUAAGUGGGAGUUCUUAAGUAAUAUGAUUAAUUGAACUGUAAUUUAUCAUGAACAUAGUACCUGAUAGUAUUUUGCAUGUCUAAGUUGUUGUAGAUCAAUAGCCUGUGCUACCGUUCCUUUGAAUUUUAAUGCGCUCCUAGUGAAAGCUAAGUUGAAAUAUGAUGGUAGCAACUACACGGACUGGGUCCAUAACUUGAGGAUUAUCAUCAUUGAUGCACAGAAGAAUUAUGUCCUGGAAGCAUUGCUAAGUGCAAAACCCGCUACAGGAGCAACACCGGACGUUAUGAACGUCUGGCAAAGCAAAGUUGAUGACUACCCGAUAGUACAGUGUGCCAUGCUUUACGGCUAAGAACCAGGACUUCAACGACGUUUUGAACGUCAUCGAGCAUAUGAGAUGUUCCAGGAGUUGAAGUUAAUAUUUCAAGCAAAUGCCCGGAUUGAGAGAUAUGAAGUCUCCAAUAAGUUCUACAGCUGCAAAAUGGAACAUAAUACUUGGGUUAAAAUUGAGGAGCGUAGCAUAUGCAGAUAUGGCCUCGGAACACUGAGACCGAAAGGUCGAGCGUGAAUCAUAUAGUAGAUAUGAUCAACAUAGUGAUGUUCACCAUUGAAAACUACUCCAUCUCAUGUGAUGAUUGGACAUGGUUUAGUUGAUAUGGAUCACGUGAUCAUUUAGAUGACUCGAGAGAUGUCUAGCUAUGUGGGAGUUCUUAAGUAAUAUGAUAAAUUGAACUUUAAUUUAUCAUGAACUUACUACCUGAUAGUAUUUUGCAUGUCUAUGUUGUUGUAGACCAAUGGCACGUGCAACCGUUCCUUUGAAUUUUAAUGUGUUCCUAGAGAAAGCCAAGUUGAAAGAUGAUGCUAGCAACUACACGGACUGGGUCCGUAACUUGAGGAUUGUCCUCAUUGCUGCACAGAAGAAUUACGUCCUGAAAGCACCGCUAAGUGCAAAACCCGCUGCAGGAGCAACUCCGGACGUUAUGAACGUCUGCCAAAGCAAAGCUAAUGACUACUCAAUAGUUCAGUGUGCCAUGCUUUACGGCUUAGAACCGGGACUUCAACGAUGUUUUGAAUGUCAUGGAGCAUAUGAGAUGUUCCAGGAGUUGAACUUCAUAUUUCAAGAAAAUGCCCGGAUUGAGAGAUAUGAAGUCUCCAAUAAGUUCUACGGCUGCAAAAUGGAGGAGAAUGGUUCUGUAAGUGAACAUAUACUCAGAAUGUCUGGGUACCACGACCACUUCACUCAACUAGGAGUUAAUCUUCUUGAUGAUAGUGUCAUUGAUAGAGUUCUUCAAUCACUGCCACCAAGCUACAAAAGCUUCGUGAUGAACUAUAAUAUGCAAGGUAUGGAUAAGACAAUUCUCAAGCUCUUCGCAAUGCUAAAGGCUGCGGAGGUAGAAAUCAAGAAGGAGCAUCAAGUGUGAUGGUCAACAAGACCACUAGUUUCAAGAAGAAGGGCAAAGGGAAGAAGGGGAACUUCAAGAAGAACGGCAAGCAAGUUGAUGCUCAAGUGAAGAAGCCCAAGUCUGGACCUAAGCCUGAGACUGAGUAAUUCUACUGCAAAGGGACUGGUCACUGGAAGCGGAACUGCCUCAAGUAUUUGACGGAUAAGAAGGAUGGCAAAGUGAAAGGUAUAUUUGAUAUACAUGUUAUUUAUGUGUACCUUACUAAUGCUUGUAGUAGCGUCUGGGUAUUUGAUACUGGUUCUCUUGCUCAUAUUUGCAACUCGAAACAAGGGCUGCGGAUUAAACGAAGAUUGGCUAAGGACGAGGUGACGAUGUGCAUGGGAAAUGGUUGCAAAGUCGAUGUAAUUGCCGUCGGCACACUACCUCUAGAUCUACCUUCGGGAUUGGUUUUAGACCUAGAUAAUUGUUUUUUGUAGCCAGCGUUAAGCGUGAACAUUAUAUCUAGAUCUUGUUUGAUGCGAGACGGUUAUUCAUAUAAAUCAGAGAAUAAUUGUUGUUCUAUUUAUAUGAGUAAUAUCUUUUAUGGCCAUGCACCCUUGAUGACUGGUCUAUUUUUAUUGAAUUUCGAUAUUAGUGAUACACAUAUUCAUAGUAUUGAAGCCAAAAGAUACAAGUUUAAUAAUGAUAGUGCAACUUAUUUGUGGCACUUCCAUUUAGGUCAUAUCGGUGUAAAGCGCAUGAAGAAACUCCAUGCUGAUGGACUUUUGGAAUCACUUGAUUAUGAAUCACUUCAUGCUUGCAAACCAUGCCUCAUGGGCAAGAUGACUAAGACUCCAUUUUCCGGAACAAUGAAGCGAGUAACGAACUUAUUGGAAAUAAUACAUACUGAUGUAUGUGGUCCGAUGAGUGUUGAGGCUCGCGACAGGUAUCAUUAUUUUCUGACCUUCAUAGAUGAUUUGAGCAGAUAUGGGUAUAUCUACUUGAUGACAUAAGUCUGAAACAUUUGAAAACUUUAAAGAAUUUCAUAGUGAAGUUGAAAAUCAUCGUAACAAGAAAAUAAAGUUUCUACGAUCUGAUCGUGGAGGAGAAUAUUUGAGUUACGAGUUUGGUCUUCAUUUGAAACAAUGUGGAAUAGUUUCAUAACUCACGCCACCUGGAACACCACAGUGUAAUGGUGCGUCAGAACGUCAUAAUUGUACUUUAUUAGAUAUGGUGCAAUCUAUGAUUUGAGACUACCAUUGUAUUUUUAGAUAAAUAUUGUGCCAUCCUCAUGGACAUUGGAUUCUGUGGCUAUAAUCGGAGUUAUAGACAACUAAUGUUUAUGUUAACACCAUGUGUAACUUUUCUGACUUUGUCAUACUUCCUAUGUUCCUACUUUUUGAUCCCCUGAGCGAAUCUACAUUCAUUACAUGAUUUUUGUAAUAUCUCUUAAAUCUUUCUUGAAGCAUGCCAUCAUAGUGUACAGAUAUUUCUAUUCUCUUGAAAAUAAUAGAGUCUACUAAACAAAGUUAGGUCAAAUGCGAAUCAACUUGUGGUUGGAUGGUUAGAAGGACAAUGGUAUUUUCAGUCCACUAGGUUUAAGUCUUAGACUUGACCCUAGUACUCGCCAUUUUCUGGAUUUAUUUCAAGCCGUUCGGCGAUGCGUGUUUAAUGAGAGAAGGGGUGUGCGUGCAUGUGCUCGUAGGGGUGAGCGUAUGUGCGUAUGUACGAGCGUCGUCGUGUGUACCUUGUGCGAAAAAAUGUAAGAUCAAAUUAAUUAUUCUGACAUGAUUAAAGAAAUGGCUAAUGAAACAAGAUAAAUUAUGCAGUUGACUUAAAGCUAUUGGAACUUGGUUUGCAAUAUUGGUUUGAUCAGAUUCCAUGACAUUAUUUUCCUCCGUUGUGGUGGUAAAUAUAAUGCAUAUGAUCCUUCGGUAAUACCGGGGCGUGAUUAGAUUGGACGCCCAAUAAUAGAAGCCGAAUAUAAGAAACGAAUAUCCAAGGAAAAUACUGUGUGUGUUUGAAUUGGGGUGGAGGGAGGGUGAUUGUGAGCCGAAUGCGUCAUUGGCAAAGAUGAUAAAUUUGAAUUAGGUAGGCGGAGACAUGAAGGCAAUGGCUGAAAAAUAAGACGUGAUUAUUAUUAAACCACAAGAAUAUUAUGCCCCGUUGCAACGCACGGCCAUUUACCUAUGAAAUAAGAAAAGAAUGACAUGAGGGGUGUUUUGGCUAUCGGGAGCAUUUGCUCCUAAAUGAACUGUACCGGAGAAAAGUUGUAAAAUGUUUUCAAAUUUUUUUGAUUUUUUUUGUGGAUGUUCAUGUUUGUGUCGCAGGCAUGCUUGAUAAUUUUCAUGUGAAACGGAGCUGUAGUGUUUAGUCGGUGAAAAUAUAUAUUUGGGGUGACAUUUUGAGGCAACAUGUGAUGUUCAAUUUUUUUAAUCCAAAAAUGCACUAUGCUCGGGCCGACCCCGCCAACGCGCUCGCCGAAUUGGAUUGCCGAUGGGUUGGCCGAAAACUGGGAGCGCGAGGACUAGACAGAUCGCCAACAAAACGCUCCUACUCCUACGCACGCCAACCCCGAUCGAUGCCUCCUCUUAUCCAGUUGCAGUGUAGUGGAUCGCCGGUCACCAGAAAGGAGAGCCGAGGCACGUGAGACCAACGAAGCGCUGCCAUCUAUGCUCUGCCGCCCGCCGGUACCAACGCUCGUCUCAAAACCACAUUCUUGCUUCCCACCGUAUCAAAUAACGUUUCUCCCCGCGCGUUGGUUGCGCGGUUUCCCGCAACCUAUAAAUCCGGCCGAACCACCUUGUCCGCUGCCCAUCUCAUCUCACUCGCAUUCACUCUGUACUGAUAGUACUAGCUUGCUUCGGAUCUCGAGCCACCAAGCUCUGCUCCCGCGAAUAUGUCUACGGUGACCCCUGCCUACCUCGACCAGAGGCUCCCGCCGCCAACCGCUACUUCAGAGGUAACGGUUCCGGCCUCAGGCAGCACUGCUCUGCUUUAUACUCCCUUCGUUUCAAAAUAUAAGUCUUUUUAAAUAUUUCAGUACAUGAUUACAUACGAAGCAAAAUAAGUGAAUCUGCACUUUAAAAUAUGUCUACGUACAUUCGUAUGUUGUAGUCUAUUUGAAAUGUCUAAAAAGAUUUAUAUUUCGGAACGGAAUAGAGUAUAUCCCAUUCAUUGCAGCUUAUGUAUCUGCUGAAACUUGAUCUUAAAUUCUUAAUUAACACUCCUACGUUGAUCCGAGACUGCAGAGGCUGCCAUCGCGGGAGCCAAAGCCGCAGCCGUCGCUGCCGCAGUACCCACCGUAAGUAGCCAGCUAGCCAUUCAUUCAGUUCCAGAGUUCAUAGCACACAUCUCAUGAAUCAAUGCGUUACCUGUAAUGUAAUUUCAGCUGGCGAGUGUGAAGAUGCUGCCGUGGGCCAAGGCACAGCUGAACCCAACCGGGCAGGCCCUCAUCAUUUCCACCGUCGCCGGGAUGGCCUACUUCAUUGUCGCCGACAAGACCAUCCUCUCCAUGGCCAGGAAGCACUCCUUCGAGGACGCACCGGAGCACCUCAGGAACACCUCCUUUGACUAAUUAGACCAUAACAGAUCCAUUAUUAGUGCGCAAUAAACCGUGUACGCCGGUCGCCGGUCGGCUUGUACCUGUCUGCUGAAGCCUGAAAGAUGCUCUGCUCUGAAUGAUACACUAGUAUAAUGUUCAGCGAGAGGGGCGAGGCGAUGCAGAUCAGGCCUUGCGCUUCUAUCCGUGCAAGCACUUAUCGGAUGAUGAAGUUACCAUGUAAUCCAGCCAGUAUUUUCUUGAAUUAAUGAAUACCAGUAUUUGUAUAACUCUGGUUCAUCUGCCAUCACUCAUCUUACAUGUGCCAGAGCAUGCAAAAAAGACCAAACCAGUGUCAUCUCCAACCCUGACCCCUAAAACGGUCACAAUAUCCGUUUAUGAGCUGGCCAUCCACGCUAAUCCAUCAAACGCCCAGACACAGUUUAAAUAGACUUUAAACAAACUAGAUAAAGUUCAUACAAACUGAACGAUUUUCAUUCAAACCGGAUCAAAUCCGUGCCCCACCUCCUACUCUUACGGCCAGAGUCCGUCAUGUGGAUGUUGCCGGACAUGGACGGAUCGGCCUCGUCGCCAUUGCAGUUGGGCACUAACUUUGCUAGCGACACGACCAACGCGGAACUGCCAACAUCUGUGAUGUUUGUGCCCCCUCUUUUUUCGUCUCCGCCUCGAUCUCCGUGAGCAGGGCGUCAGUCUCCAUCUGCAAGACACACUGCUGCCAUCGCUCGUGAGGGAUGUCGCGAACUGCAGCCGACGAGCAUGAGGCUUGUCCAUCCGACAUUUCUGACACGGAGGUUGUCUCAUCUCCAACGACAAGAAGAACUUGGAUAGUUUGAUCUAUGUAUGAUAUAGUACGUGGUUUAAUUUUACAUUCCAUCAUGCAGUAUCAAAAAAGUAGAUGGUGAGACUUGAGGUUUGUGGUUGCAGCGAGAGAUAAAUAAAGGGUGACCGGACUCUGUCCGCGGAUGCAUCCGGACGCAUCUGCGAACAUAUGGGGUCACUUUUGAAUAUGCAGCUGUAUAUGGUAAAACACAUGAACAAUGCCUUUUUAAAUUAAGUAAAACAAUAUUUUUUGAGAUAUUUAAAAUAUAUAUUAUAUCUAUGUUUGGGCUUAUUUCAGGCUUUUGGGCUGGGUUUCGGACGGAGAAGCUGAGCCCAAGCCCGGCCCAAAUGUCGGGGUUUCGGGUCGGGCUGUCCAUGCCGGGGCCUAUUUUGGGUCGAGCCGCCGGUGGAAUUGGCCUGAUCGAUUGCCGACGCGGCUAGCCGAACUAGCUAGGCCAAAAACUGGGAGCGGCCAGCCACAUACAGAUCUGAACUGAAACGGAGUGCACUCCACUCACGCACAUGCUCCUAUGUUCCUACACACGCUCCCUGCCAACCCCAGCCGCAUGCUGGUUGCGCGGUUUCCUGCAACCUAUAAGGUCAUAUUCACCGCGCGACCUUAAACGAACGUUCAAUUUAGCCGGAUUUUGUUCCUUUGGGGCGCCGAUGGAUUCGUCCAUGUCCGCGUUUGUCCGAUGGGUCGUGGGUGCGUCUAACGCGCGUUCGCAUUCUAAAACCUUUCUGGGAUGGAUGUGAAUAAAAAAAUAAAAAAACUUAAAUGAAAUGACUAAAAAAGUAAAUAAACGAAGUUAAAAAAAGAUAAAACAUAUAUAUAAGAGUUACGGCGACAAAACGGUCCAGUUUAUUAGUCCACUUAAAUGGCCCAGUUCAUAAUUAACAUAAAACCAAAAUAAAAAAACACCUUCCACGCGCUCCUAUGCUGUCCGGCCCCGACGAGCCGCGGCGGUGUCCCGAUGAGGAACCAGCCUCGCGGUCGUGCUUGCCUUUGCGGCCGUAGUUCCAGAUUCCCAUGGCUGCGGGCGGCCGGCCAGCGAGUUCUUGGCUAGGGUUUCGGUUCGGCGCUGUCGGGUUUCAAGGAGGCCGCAGGGUGGCGUGGGGGCAGUGUGGAUGACGACUCGUCCACGCUUCCCACUUAAAGAAGCACGGCGACCUUUCGAUGUGCGGAUGAAAGAUGGGGGCCGCCCGCUCGGGCGCAUUGAUGUUGGCGGGUGGGAGGUAGGUGGCCGCCUGCCACGCGGCCCCGACGCGGACGAGGCGCGCGUCCGUUUGGUUUCCGUCGUGAUCCAAACCCGGCGCAAGUUUGCGCUCGAAAUGGAUCGGCCCGGACACAAAACGGACAAGAUGGGUCUGGCGUUCACGCGCUAGGCCGCCUCGUUUGUCCGUUUUACCCCAAACGGACGUGGCCGGACAGGAUAGGUUCACGCGGUGGAGUUGGCCUAAAUCCCACCAGAGCACCUUGCUGUGCCCAUCUCAUCUCAUCUCACUCGCACUGCUAACUGAUCUCACCUACUCCUACUUGAGUUCACUUGCUACUGGUUCAAUUCCUUAGGGCAUCUCCAGCCGUUCGGCCCCCCAGGGCGCCUAAAUAGAGCGGCCUGGGGCGUGCCGGCGCUAGUUCGGCCCCUGGGGGCGACCUAGCUCCCAGUCACGCCCCCACGCGCUGGCCCCGGGAUGCGGGAAAUUUAAACUUGGUCGUUCCCGCUCUCAAAAGACGCCGCAAAUCCGGCGAUCGGACAUAGUCUGGCGUUACAAAAAAUAGAGCGCCGCCGCCGCAAGUUCGCAUGUGCAAUGAUUCACUCGGCGGGGUCGGCUCCAGGCGUUGGCGGAGUCGACGUGCGCGGGCUCGGCGGUGUCGGAGCUGCUUCGGCACUGCUGGGCGGCGAUGUAGAGGCGUCGCUCGGGCUUGGCGUCCGUGUGUUCGUGGGCGUCGUCGGCGUCGUCGGCGUUGCCGUCGGCAGCUCGCUCAGGAUGAGGCCGCGCUGCACCAGGUCCCACGCCUUGAGCUUCUCGUCGUUGCUCUGGAGCAUGUCCGCCCCGUCCAUCAGAAAAGCCAUGUCGGUGUUCCUCUUCUUCGCGGUGACGUUCGUCCGGAGCAGGUCGAGCUUGAUGGCAUUGUUCUUCAUCAGCGACGACCACCGCGCCUCGGUCUUCUCUUCGCGUAGGAUGGCCCGGGCCUGGGCGUCGGCGAGGCAAUGCUCGAUGGACUCCUGCACUCGCGCGGUUGCCGCGUCGGCAUUUUUCCCCUUCUUUGCCAAUUUGUGGCCGUCCGGCCGCCUCUUUGACGCGCCCGGAGUCGUCGCGUCCGGCUUGUAUGUCUCCUUGGCCUUGUCGAGGGCACGUGGAACUUCCGCCCACUUCUCGCACUUGUCAAUGCGUUUGUAGACGUGGAGGUGCUUGAAGUCGGCGUCUUGGUUGUCGCCCCGAUACAUGGCGAACAUACGCAGCAGCUGCGCAGAGGGACGAACAGUUGGCGGGCGGCGGGCGUAGACGACGAAGAUAUGCGGGCGAACGGCGUGCGUACCUGAUCCUCAACGCCGGCGCCGCUCUCCGGGCGAGCCACGACCUCCUCGAUGAUUCCAUGCCAUUUGUUGCACGCCAACUGGAUACGCUCCCAAUGGUUCGCCAUCGCCUUGGAGUCGCGCUGCAUGUAGACGCUUUUGAAAUAGGGGUCGACGAGCUUCCGCUCGUCGAACUCGGCCUUGAUGCGGUCCCAGUACGUCUCCAAGCUCUGGUCCGCGCCGGUGGUCGGGUCGAGGCAGACGACUUUCAAUGCUACGGCGAGGCAUUCCUCCUCCUUGGACGUCCACUUGAUGCGCUGUUCGCCUGACCUGGCCGCCCUCUUCUUCUUCUUCUGGCGCCCCUUUGUCGGAACAGGAGCCGGCUCCUCCUCCUCCUCCUCGUCGUCCUCCUCCUCCUCCUCGGGUUCCUGCGCGUCCUUGCCGUAGACGUAGCCGAGCUCGGCCUCCAUGUCGCCGCUGAGAUCCACUACCUCGUCCUGGGUGGCGAACCCGGGAGACGCGGCAGCCGCGGUCGAUCCUGUCGCGAUGAUGUCGUCCAUGUCGGCUUCCGUGUCGUCGGCGUCGCCGAGGUGCGAGAAGGGCAGCGGUCCACGGUAGAGAUGGGGCAUCGGUGUGGACGCGUAGGCGACGGACGGCGAGUAGUUGUAUGGAGGGUACUGCACGCCGACGAAGGCGGGCGAGGGCGUGCGUGUAGCGGGGUGACCAUGAGGGAAGGUCACGUUUGGGUUGAACCCACCGUGCGCGUCGCCGUCGGCGUAGCCGGGCGACGAUGAACCCCAUGGAGAUCCGACGCCUUGCUGUCCCCAGGGCGCGUACUGGGCAUGGCUGAUGACGGGAGGAUUCAUCCCCACCUGGUCGACCGAUGAGGAAGACGCCGCCGUGCGCGCCGCGUUGUCGCGGGCCUUCUUGGCUAUGGCCCUGUUCCGCUGGUCGGCGGUGACUGCUUCUCGCCGCUGAACUUUCACCCUCCAUUCGGCGUUCGACAGGCCCGGUGGCUUCGAUUGCGGCAACCUCGGCUUCCUCUGCUUCGGCUGGGCCACGGUGCCAGUAGCGGCUGCCGCCGCGCGCGGAAUGGCAUACUUCUUCGGCGGCAUGGCGGCGACUGGGAGGCGAGCGGGAGGAGGUUUGGCGGGAGAAAGGCAGAGAAUGGCGGGAGGAAGGCGAGCGAGCGGGAGAGAUGCGAGGGAAAAACGUCAAGAAACGGCGGGAAAAGGCCCUCGAGUCGCCUCCAGGGCGGGCCCACGCGCCUUUUUCGCUUGUGCCGGCUCCCCAAGCGCCCCCCAGGGCGCCGGGUUCGGCCUGGGUCCGCCGGUACCAGUUUUGGCCCGAGCCGGCGAAAAACGGGCUUCUGGGGGCGCGACUGGGGCCUUUUUUGGCACCGGCGCGGCAAAAUCGCCUGUUAAGGGCCUGUUGGGGCGCGGCUGGAGAUGCCCUUAGGACUCUCAUGCCACCAAGAUGUCUACGGUGACCCGCGCCUACCUCGACCAGAGGCUCGCCGCCGCCAACCGCUGCUCCAAAGGUAACCAAAACUAUGGCAGGCUAGCAAUGCUCGUGUCCUUCUACUGUUAACAUUGCAGCCUAUGCGCUAGUAGUUAAAGGGCCUUUAGUUCCGAUUCAUAAGGGCAUUUAGUCCCAGCCUUUAGUCCCGGUUCUUAUACGAACCGGAACUAAAGGCCCUCCACGUGGCCGCUGCCUGGAGGUCCACCUUUAGUCCCGGUUGGUAACACCAACCUAUACUAAAGAAAAUUUUAUGAUUUUUUUUAUUUUUUUUGCUUUUCAAAUUUCUAAAUUAUUUUAACCUCUAAUCUCUAAUCACCCCUCAUCACUGCUCAAUUUAACCUUUAAUCUCUAAUCACCCCUCAUCACUUCUCGAACGGUCACCCAUCCUCUCACUACUCCAGCCUGAGCACGCUUAAUUUUCGGGUUCUAUUCUCCCUUGUUUCCAAGUCUGCACUUGUUGUUUUCCUGACAAUAGUAAGAUGUCAAUCCUAUUAACCCUCAGAAAUUUAGCUUGAACAUGUAGUCACACAUUUCACUGUUUGAGUUUGAAACUAUUUUUCUAAAAGACAAUAAUUAUUUAGUAACACUAAUAUUUCUUGAAUAAGUAGUUUGACCACAGUUUGACCCUAGUUUGACCAUAGUUUGACCAGAUUUGACCAAAAUUCAAAAAACUGAAAUAAUUAUUUAGUAACACUAAUAUUUCUUGAAUAAGUAGUUUGACCAUUGUUUGACCACAGUUUGACCAUAUUUGACCAAAAUUCAAAAAAACUAAAAUAAUUAUUUAGUAAAACUAAUAUUCUUCAAUAAUUAUUUAGUAACACUAAUACUUCUUAAAUAAGUAGUUUGACCAUAAUCUGACUAGAUUUAACAAAAAUUCAAAAAAAACUGAAAUUUGAGCAUAACUUUUUUUCCUUUUAGAAUUUCAGGAUUCUAAAAAAUUUCAAACAUGUCGUAGGCCGUCAAAAUUGGAAGCGGAUUUUUGUUCUGAACAUUUUGAUAUAUUAUACGUUUUUUUCCGACAUCGUAUGCAAAAGUUAUAGCCGUUUUACAUUUUCCCUACAUUUUUUUUGCAAAACAUGUUCAAAUUUAUGUUUUUAAAUUUUCCUAACUAGUAGAUGUAGUAAUAUAACUACCUCUCGAAGGAUUUUAUUUUUUUGAAGUUUUUAUCAUUUUCUUUUGAUUUUUUCUAAACAAAAAAGGCGAUCCAGGGAGGUUGAGUUUGAAAAUGGGACCUUUAGUCCUGGUUUGACACAAAAACCAAAACUAAAGGGCAUUGCACCCUUUAGUCCCGGUUUGUGUCUCAAACCGGAACCGGGACUAAAGGGCAUCGCACCCUUUAGUCUCGGUUCGACGUGCCUCAAAACGGGACUAAAGGGCUCAGGUGAACCAGGACUAAUGCCUUAGCCGCACGAAUCGGGACCAAUGCUUACAUUAGUCCCGGUUCGUGACUGAACCGGGACUAAUGGGCUGACCCGUCCAAGACCUUUGCCCCCUUUUUUACUAGUAAGACUUGAUGGUGACUAAAAUGUCUCUGUUGCUCCGGAACUGCAGAGGCUACCAUGGCUGGAACCAAGGCCGCGGCCGUCGCCACCGUCGCUGCCGCAGUCCCCACCAUAAGUAGCCGUUCAGAUCCUCGACGAGAAUCCUACCAGAGCUCAUUGCAUGUCUUAAUGUGUUACCUUUUUUUUCGGGUGUCUUAGUGCGUUACCUCUAACGUAAUUUCAGCUGGCGAGCGUGAGGAUGCUGCCGUGGGCAAAGGCACACCUGAACCCAACCGGGCAAGCCCUCAUCAUCUCCACGGUCGCCGGGAUGGCCUACUUCAUCGUUGCCGACAAGACCAUCGUCUCCCUGGCCAGGAAGCAUUCGUACGAGACGGCGCCGCCGCACCACAAGAACACCUCCUUUCAUUAGUUUGACUGUAAUAGAUCCAUUAGUAGUGUGCAAUAAACUACAGGCCGGCCCGUACGUACGUGUGUGCUGAAUUAUACUGUAGUAUAAUGUUCAGCGAGUGAGGCCAGGCGAUGCAGAGCACUUAUCUGAUGAAGUUAUCAUGUAAUCCAGCCAGUAUUUUUGAAUAAAUGAAUAAUAGUAUUUGUACAACUCCCAUCACUCAUCUUACAUGUGCCAGAGCAUAAAAAGAAAGAGGGCAUCUUCAACACUGGCCCCUAAAACCGUCACAAUAUCCGUUUGCGAGCUGGUCAUCCAACGCUAAUCCAUCAAGCGUCCAGACACAUUUCAAAUAGACUUUAAACAAACUAGAUAAAGUUCAUACAAACUGACCGAUUUUCAUUCAAAACGGGUCAAAUUCAUUACAUUUUAGAUAUAUUUGAACUAAACAAAAGCGGACGACGGCACUUUUUAACCCAGUCUAAAUAUUCAUCAGUCGUGGAGGCCUUCGUGUUCCGCAUCAUGUCUUUGCCAUGACUGGCAAGUUCAGUGACAACAAGCUUUUGUGAAGUGAAGUUACCCGAGGGGAAGAAUGUGACAUGGGACACGACUCACAUGGGACCCGAGACUUGCCCACAUCCGUGUCCCACCUCCUACUCUUCCUGGCCAAAGUCCUCGCGUGGACGUUGUCGGACAUGGAUGGAUCGGCCUCGUCGCCGUUGUGGUUGGGCACGAACCGUGAUAGCGGCGCGACCAAUGCGGAACUAGCGACGUCCGUAAUGUUUGUGCCCCCUCUUCGUCCGCCUCUGCCUGCAGGACGCACUGCCCCCAUCGCUCGCGAGGGAUGUCAUGAACUGCGGCCAACGACCAUGAGGCCGGUCCAUCCGGCAUUUCCGAUGCGGAGGUUGUCUCAUCUCCAAUGACAAGUAGAACUAGGAUAGUUUGAUCUAUGUAUGAUCUCUACUAUUAAAGGGGGAUCGAAACUUCAGUAUGUUACUUGUCCGGUUACUUGUCCGAGAUUUGAUCGUCAGUAUCUCAAUACCUUUUACGUAAAUCUCGGACAAGUAAAACUUUUCAGGUACCAUUUGGACAUGACUAUAAACACAUAAAAAGAAAUUGCAAACUUUUUGACAUUUUAAAAAUUAUUUUUCGCACGCAGGAGCAUGUGCUCCCGAGAGCCAAAUUAAAUUUUCGAAGAAUAUUUAGGCAUAAUUUUGGUCUUAUAUGAUUUUGCUAUUUGCCGGCCGGUUAUAUUUUUGUGUGUGAAGGUUGGUGUUGCUGUGUAUCUUAACUGAGCAGAGGCUGCAUGUGUGCUCAUUUUUAUUGUAUUCAUUUGAUAUUUUAUUUUGAGUAAUAAAAUUCAUCCUUUAUUGAAAAAGGCACUAUGUUGAUGGCCGACCCCGGCAAACAAAGGAUCUGUACUGAGGCGCUCGCGGAAUUGGACAGCCGACGGGUUGGCCGUAAACUGAGAGCGCCCACACGUCGCCAACAAAAUGGAGUGCACGCUGACAGACACUGCUCUCACGGACAUGCUCCUACGUGUUAUCCUAAACAGGAACACGCUCCCGGCCAACCCCGAUGGAUCGAUCCAUGCCUCCUCUUAUCCGGUGCAGAGUCCGCCACCCGUGCACCGCCCGCCGGUACCAAAACCACGGUCUGGUAUUGCUUGCUUCCCACCGUAUCAGGUCGUCUUCUUGCCCGGCCGCACGCUGGUUGCGCGGUUUCCUGCAACCUAUAAAUUCCGCCGGAGGCCGGAGCACCUCGCCCUGCCCCUCUCAUUCUCGUAUCAUUUCACUGCUAAUACUAGCUCACUUCCUUCGGAUCUCGCUCGUUCCACCAAGCUACUAGUCCCUCGAAGAUGUCGACGGUGACCCGUGCCUACCUCGACCAGAGGCUUGCCGCCGCCAAGCGCUGCUCCAGAGGUAACAACCGACGACCGGUUCCGGCCCAGGACCAGCACUACUCUGCUCCUAUAUCUCAACCAUCCAUUGCAGCUCAUGUGUCUCCUGAAACUUGAUCUUUGAUUAACAUUCCUGCGUUGAUCUGAAACUGCAGAGGCUGCCGUGGCGGGAGCCAAGGCCGCGGCCGUCGCCACCGUCGCUGCCGCAGUCCCCACCGUAAGUAACCGUUCAGUUCUUCAGUUCCAGAGUUCAUAGCACAUAUCUCAUGAUUGCGUUACCUGUAAUUUCAGCUGGCGAGCGUGAGGAUGCUGCCGUGGGCGAAGGCACACAUCAACCCAACUGGCCAGGCCCUCAUCAUCUCCACUGUCGCCGGGAUGGCCUACUUCAUCGUCGCCGACAAGACCAUCCUCUCCAUGGCAAGGAAGCACUCCUUCGAUGAGGCGCCGGACCACCUCAAGAACACCUCCUUCCACUGAUUUUAGACUAUAAUAGACCCAUUAGUAGUGCGCAAUAAGCUGUGUGCGCUAGCCCGUACGUGUCUGCAGAAAGAUAGUGUAUAACGUUCAGCACUUACCCGAGAUCAGGCGAGGCUUGCAGACAGUUAGUGGUGUGGGUGCAAUUAGCACUUAUCUGAUCAAGUAAUCAUCAUGUAUCCAGCCAGUAAUCUUGAAUUAGUAAUAACUUGCAUUUGUACAGAUCAGAUUCACCUGCCAUCACCCAUCUUACAUUUUCAUGUUUGUGGUUAUCAUUUGUCAUGUGGCCAGUGGCAGAUCCUGCACAAGACCCAAAUAACUCUGCAUUCUUCGACCCCUAUCCCCCCUGCUUUGCGACGCACACCAGGACCAUGCCGCCUCACUUGUUAAAUCUUUUGAUAAGGUUUAGUAGAUGGCGUGGCAAAUAUGGAAAGUUUUUAAAGGAAAAAGGAAAAUAAUCCUCAGAGCAUACGUGCAUUUCAACAAAGGACAGAACGACAAUCCAUCUUGUGCCUGAAGCAGAGACCAGUACCUCCACUACCACACCGUAGAAUAAGGGUUUGCGCAAACGACAAAAAAUGUUUCAGGGAAUGUUGGUCCGGGUUGAAAGUAGUUCUAAAUAGAGCAGUCGCCGCCAGCGACCCUAUAUCAGUUUAGAACUCUCUUCCCGUUGGUCAUACGUUUGAAGUUCAGGAUAUGCUCCACCGCCAUCUCCAAACCGGACUACUAAUCACACGGCAACCUAGACUUGCGACUAACUCAAGAUUAUUUCUAACACUCGUUGCCGCGGUACAUCCCACUCCUCCCGUCAUACACCUUGCUCUCUAUGUGUUCAAUAAUGUCUGGUCAGUUUUUUUUAGGAUUCUUGCAAAACGAUUGAUUCGUCAAAUGAGGAGUAUAAAGAAUAGGAGCUUGAUGAAUUCAUGCAAAAAGAGUUCAUCGAUUCAUCGAAAUCGGAAGACAAAGAUACGGAGUUGAUGAUGAUGAUCAACAUCCAGGAUGAUCAACAUCCAGCGACCCUAUAGGCAAGUGUCCAUAUUUUGUACGAGGACCAGUACAUGAUGAAAAGCUAGUUUGUACAGGGAAAAGGACUUGUGUCUAGUAGUAGUCCGCGUAGGUAAAGGAGGUCAAGCUUGAGUCGAUUUGCUAGUAGUCCGCGUAGAAAUAAUCUUGAGUUAGUCACAAGUCUAGGUUGCCGUGUGAUUAGUAGUCCGGUUUGGACUACGCUAGUUAUUUAGCUAUAGGCAAGUGUCCAUAUUUUNNNNNNNNNNNNNNNNNNNNNNNNNNNNNNNNNNNNNNNNNNNNNNNNNNNNNNNNNNNNNNNNNNNNNNNNNNNNNNNNNNNNNNNNNNNNNNNNNNNNNNNNNNNNNNNNNNNNNNNNNNNNNNNNNNNNNNNNNNNNNNNNNNNNNNNNNNNNNNNNNNNNNNNNNNNNNNNNNNNNNNNNNNNNNNNNNNNNNNNNNNNNNNNNNNNNNNNNNNNNNNNNNNNNNNNNNNNNNNNNNNNNNNNNNNNNNNNNNNNNNNNNNNNNNNNNNNNNNNNNNNNNNNNNNNNNNNNNNNNNNNNNNNNNNNNNNNNNNNNNNNNNNNNNNNNNNNNNNNNNNNNNNNNNNNNNNNNNNNNNNNNNNNNNNNNNNNNNNNNNGGAGAAAAUAGAAAAUAAAAAGAGGAGAAACAAAAGGCACGACAAGAAUCCUUGGCUAUAAAAGUUUUUUGUGCGCGCCUCUGUCGUGAUUUGAUGUGAUCGAUCCUGUGGGCGAGUUCCAACAACGAGAAUGGCGAGGAGCAGAUUUGUGGUGGUGUUGCCGGCGUUAUGGGUUCAAGAUGGUGGGUAAGCUACGGUGACGAUGAAGCUAGGGAAGGGCCUUCGCAGACGAGGGAGAAAAGAGGAGAGCAAAAGGGCAAGACCGGCUAGGUCGAGGUGGUUUGAUGAAAUUUGGGGUGCUUCGUGUCUGUCGGAUCUGACGUGGCGGACACGUCCGAGCCUCCCCAUACCCGUCCUAGAUAUGAUUGGAUAUGAGCGGUGCCGGUUGAUCCGGACGUAUAUGACCAAUAUGAGGGAGCCUGUUGGCUUGCUAUUUCUUGAGCGGUCAAUGACUGAAUCGUCCGUCCAGACAUACAAAGCCGACAUAAAGGGUCUGGUUGUAGAUGCUCUAACAUUCAAUGCUAAGGUCUCCCUUCGCCGAAGUGCACAAAAAUAACCACUGAGAUGCUAGCAAAUUCCCAACUAAAAUGAGUAUAGCACAAAUAAAUUUGAAUUUGAAAAUUUUGAACGGUGUCUAGUUGGUAUUUGUCGGUAAAUGCGUUUCUCGCCUCCUCUUGGUAAUUUUUUUAGGUAUUGCCAAAUCCUUGGUGAGGGUCGAGAUUCGUGACGACGGGAGAUCUACGGUGGCGGCGCGAGCGGUGAAGGGGAGAUUCCCAUCGAUUGUGUUGUUUUCUUUUUCUUUUUGUCAUGUUAGUUGAUACUGUAUAUGUUUUAGACCUAUUUAUUUUAUUUUAAUAAAGAUGGUUGUGUGGAUGAUGCAGAGGUCGAGGUCUUCACCCUUUUCGGGAAAAAAAUGUAUCAUGCCAAAAAUCGGUGUUACAUGUCCGCUGCUUAUUGUCGGUGAUGUCCCAUGAAUAUAUCGUUGUUUAACUAUCAAUAAACUAGUCCACGCAACUGAAUCAUUAUUUUGGUGUUUAAUUUGCUAUUCCCCAUGAAUCACAUAUCUUGCUUUGAAAAAUGCAUAUGCGAUGUAUAUAUGUUUUUUGGAUGAACACAAUGACAUUGGUGUGGAAGUGACCGCAAUUUAGUUUACUGAACUUUUGUUAUUAAUUAGUGUAAAUAUUUGUACGGUACCGAAUUAUUUCAGAUCUCACCAACAAAUAUUCAAAAUUUAAUAUAGAAUCAGUUCGUCUAAAAUUCUUGGAUUUGAAAAACAUUAUUCCAAUUAUGAAUACAAAUUAACUUCGGUUUAGGUGUAGGCCAAAAAGAAUUAGGGUAAAAUCUACUUCAGUGACCAGUAAAAUUACCAAAGUUUUGUUGUAGUUAUUUUCUUUAGUUGGAUUGUUGAAGUAGUUGAUUAGCGCUAAUUGUUUAUAUUUGCAAGAUGAGCUAGUUCCCAUAGAAGUUAUCCUUUACAUGUCUUCCUUUAUGAUUUCAUCCCGAAGGUUUGGACGCACUUCGCUGCGUCGAUGGUGGUGUUCGGAUUUCAAAAAGAUAAUUUUAUUUUUACUUGUGAGAAUUAUGAUGUAGUGUUUUUUUAAUACAGUGUUUUAGUGGGUUUUCUUGGCGGUGUUAUCAAGUGUCCUCUAUAUCUAAAUAUAAAAUGUCUUACAUUUUUAUACAAAAGAAGUAUAUCUAAUCAAUCUAUACUUAUUUGGGGAAGUUUUUUUUGUUGUGUUGAUAGCCGCAUUUAUUAUAUUGAUGUUACAGUGUCACAUGUUGGCGCUUCUUUUUUAGAUGGCGAGAGCGUGAACAACACAGGACAAAUGUGUUUUUACAGGCUGGUUUGGUUGCUGCCGAUUAAUUUAAGUAAUCAUCGGCCUAGUCAAAAUCAUGAAUCAAAUUCAAAAUUUAAUACCCAACCGAAUAAGAGAGCUUAGUUGAGAAAUAGUUGACCUACUCAAAAUUAUAAAUCAAAUUCAAAUUUGAACACUUCAAUUCAAUAGGAGGGCUUUAAAACUAGGAAGCAUAGUUGUCUCAUAAUGUAAUGUUGGAAAUAUGAGCAAUUUACCAAAUGAUUUUAUUAGCAGAAAUAUUAGAUAAAGCAUGACUAAUAUAACAGUGACAAAACAAGCCAUGCGAUUUGACAAAGAGAAGGUAAACAACAUCUUCAUAUAUGGACUAUAACUGAACACAUUUAGAGCAGCCAGUAUAGCAAGUUGCAUAUAUGAAAUAGAGUCUAACCUAUGUAGGGCAAAUACUAGAACAAGAAACUGCAGCAGGACCUCUAACAGAAAAGAGAAUAACACGUACGGGACAGUAGCAGCAGAAGCGCUGGACUUGGGGUCGAUGUCCUCGUCUGCGAUGUCGUCGAGGAGGUCGUGGACGUCGGGGAAGAAGUCGUCGUCGGGGAAGUAGUCAUCGGAGUCCGUGAUGAAGAAGCCAGUAGUCGCGCGGAGCGCUCCCCAAAAACCUUAUCACCCUUCCCCCGUACAUGACUCAAUAGGUGCGGUUUCGGAGGCCUAUUGUCCCGACUUGCGGUGCACGCCGCAAGAUGGGAUGGAGAAGAACGUAGUAGCAGCGCAGUGGUCGGAACUUUGUGGCAAGAGAAAGAGGAGCUUCUGUUGUGUCUCUCUAGAGAGGAGCGACCUCUCUUAUAUAGGCACAGGAGAAGGAUGCGAAGAGGCUGCGGCGGGCGGUGAAGCAAUGAAGGGAGACGAAGCGAACAGGCAGCGACCGAAGAGGCGCGCCGUUCGAAUUCAGUGUCCACUACAGAAAACGUUUCAACUCCCACAUGACCUUUCGUAUACCCGUCGUGCGUGGCAAAAAUUUAGACAUCGGCUCGGCUCAUUCCCGCAACCCGUAACCCGCAACCCGCGGCGUGUCGUGACGAGGCGUGGCGUGGCGAAGCGGGCGGCGGAGGAGGAGCGCGCGUGGAUGUCCCUCUUGUUCUCAUGCUCAUACUUGUGGGGAAAGAACCUCCCUUAUAAACAGGUUCAACUCCAUCUAAACUAGCAAUGUGGGACUGAACUUUUGUUCCACCUCUUGCCUUGCACAAAUGGGCUGCGUGGGCCUCUAAGAUUUAUUAAGAAUUUCUGAAACUGCUAUUGGGCUAGGCCCAAAACAGACAAAAUUCCAGCAAUCCCCCACCAGAUCACAGAGGCACACAAAAAUUUGUCUUUGAUUCUAAAACACUGUUUUAUAUACCGGUACUGGAGUGGAGACUGUUAAGUUGAACUUCCACCUAAAACUCUAUGCUACACUAGUAAGCAACUUGAACAGUGGACUGGGCCUUGAACUGCAAGUUUUCUGCGAAUCUAGCUUCACAUAAAGCCUUGACCGAUACGUGGCUACCGUGGGUCUUCCCCGCGGGUGGAGCUUAUGCGUCAUACUCCGUGACCUUUCAUGAGUUUACUAGAGAGAACCCUACUCUCAUAGAUUGCGACGUUUGACAAUCAGACUCAUAUAGGUGUGUUCUUCAAAAGAUGUUCUGCAGGAUAACAUCUCUGCUUUAAUGAGCCACUUAGAACACAUUAAGAUAUAUAUCAACCUGCCAUGCAGAUUAGGAGAGUAUUGCAUCUUCAUAGAGUGGUAUUGUGAAUAGUAAGGAUACUCUCCUCUCAGUUGACCAACAGCUUGUCUUUCACAUCUAAUUCACGGGAUCUCCGAUCACAAAGAAUAGGUUCCCACUGUGAACAACUCAUAUUGUGGGUCUCAUACCCAUCUCCCUUGAUGCAUUAUCUAUCACAUUACGUGAUAGACCCUUAGUAAAAGGAUCUGCCAGAUUUUUAGACGUUUGGAUAUAAUGCAAUGCAAUAACUCCGGAGUUUUUCAUUUUCCUGACAGACUUAAACCUUCUCUGAACGUGUCUUGAUGACUUCAUGUUAUCCUUUGAGCUGCUCACUUUCGUGAUCACAGUUUGAUUGUCGCAUUUCAUAAGGACACCUGGUACAGGUUUCUCAACAACCGGCAAGUCAUUCAAGAGCCGGCGAAGCCAAUCUGCUUCAACCAUAGUUGUAUCUAGUGCUGUGAGUUCUGCUUCCAUUAUUGACCUUGUUAAGAUGGUCUGCUUGCAAGACUUCCAAGAAACAGCGCCACCUCCAUGAGUGAAUACAUAACCACUCGUGGCCUUUAUCUCACCAGCAUCUGAGAUCCAGUUUGAGUCAUUAUACCCUUCAAGCACCUUUGGAUGCCCGGUGUAGUGAAUUCCAUAAUUUGCAGUGCCUUUCAAAUAGCGCAAAACUCUCUCUAGAGCUUUGCAAUGCACAUCUCCUGGUUUUGAGACAAACCGACUCAGUUUGCUAACAGCAAAAGAGAUGUCAGGCCUUGUAGCACUUGCUAAGUACAUAAGCGAGCCAAUAAUCUGAGAAUAUUUCAAUUGAUCUCUAGCAAUUCUUCGAUUCUUUCGAAGCAACACACUAGCAUCAUAUGGUGUUGGAGAGGGCUUACUGUCACUAUAACCAAAGCGACUCAAGAUCUUUUCCACAUAGUGAGAUUGAAGCAAUGUAAUCCCACUAUCAUCGUCUCUCAACAACUUGAUGUUUAGAAUGACAUCAGCCACUCCUAAAUCCUUCAUCUCAAAACAAUGAGAUAGGAAAUCCUUGACCUCCUUAAUAACAUUCAGAUUUGUUCCGAAAAUCAGUAUGUCAUCAACAUACAAGCAAAGGAUAACUCCCUCGCCCCCACCAUGGCGAUAGUACACACAUUUGUCAGCUCCGUUUACAACAAAGCCUGCAGCUGUUAAAGUUCUUUCAAACUUCUCAUGCCACUGUUUGGGUGCUUGCUUAAGUCCGUACAAAGACUUCAGCAACUUGCACACUUUCCCUUCCUGACCAUCUAGUACAAACCCAUCUGGUUGUUCCAUAUAAAUUUCCUCGUCCAACUCUCCAUUUAGGAAAGCAGUCUUAACAUCCAUUUGAUGAACGAGAAGACCAUGCGAGGCAGCUAGUGAAAGUAGAACUCGAAUAGUGGUCAGUCGAGCCACAGGUGAGUAAGUAUCAAAGAAGUCUUCACCUUCCUUUUGGGUAUAACCCUUAGCCACGAGCCGAGCCUUGUACUUCUCAGUAGUACCAUCAGGCCUAAGCUUCUUCUUGAAUACCCAUUUGCAUCCUAUAGGUUUGCACCCAUAAGGACGAUCGGUUAUCUCCCAGGUUUCAUUCGCCAAGAUGGAAUCCAUCUCGCUACGAAUCACUUCCUUUCAGUAGUCAGCAUCUUUAGAUGCAUGGGCCUCUGAAAUAUAACUAGGAGUGUCAUCUAUGAGAUACACAAGAAAAUCAUCACCAAAGGACUUUGCGGUCCUCUGUCUCUUUCUCCUAGUAGGAACUUCAUUGUUCUCCUCCACAGGACUUUCAAAGUGUUCUAACGAAAUGGCAGGUUUGGUAAUUGUAACUGGUUCCUGAUUUGAUGAACUAGGCAUCUCCUGAUUAGAUGAGGUAGCCAUAUCCUUCAUGGGAAAGAUAUCUUCAAAGAAAGUCGCAUCAUUCGACUCCAUGAUCGUACCGACAUGCAUGUCAGGUACCUCAGAUUUUACAACCAAGAAUAUAUAGCCAAUGCUAUGAAAAGCAUAUCCCAGGAAAACACAAUCCAUAGUCUUUGGUCCAAGCUUCCGCUUCUUUGAAAUUGGAGCAUUGACUUUCGCCAAACAACCCCAUGUUUGCAGAUAAGAGAGUUUUGACCUUUUCUUGUUCCAUUCCUCGAAUGGAGUUAUCUCUUUGUUCUUUGUGGGGACUCGGUUCAGGAUAUGACAUGAUGUCAAUAUCGCCUCCCCCCACCAUGCCUUGGAAAGACCCGAUGUGUCUAAAAUGGCGUUAACCAAAUCAGUUAGAGUACGGUUCUUUCUUUCGGCCACCCCAUUUGACUGAGGUGAGUAGGCAGGCGUCCUCUCAUGGAUUAUACCAUGUUCAACACAAAAAGCAUCAAACUCAUUGGAAAAAUACUCUCCACCACAGUCGGACCUAAGCCUCUUGAUUUUUCGAUCAAGUUGGUUUUCCACUUCAGCUUUAUAGAUCUUGAAAAAGAUCAAAGCCUCAUCCUUAUAUUUCAGAAGAUACACACGGCAGUAUCUAGUGGAGUCAUCAAUUAACGUCAUGAAAUAUUUAUUUCCACCUUUUGUCAACACACCAUUCAUUUCACAUAGAUCUGAAUGUAUGAGCUCUAGUGGUGCAAGAUUUCUUAUUUCCGCAGUCGUGUGAGACUUACGAGGUUGCUUAGCUUGCAUACACACUUGACACUUAGAUCCCUUGACGGUGGUGAAACUAGGGAUUAAGUUCAACUUCGCUAGUCGCGACAUGCAACCAAAGUUAACAUGACAAAUACGUGAAUGCCACACAUUGGAUUCACUACUGUUGCAAAUAUGAUUAACAACUUUAUUGCAAACGUCUGAUAAGGAUAAACGAAACAAGCCUCCUGACUCAUAGCCUUUACCAACAAAGGUUCCAUACUUGGAUAUUACAAAUUUAUUCGACUCAAAGACAAGCUUGUAGCUAUCUUGACACAGAAGAGAUCCGCUAACAAGAUUUUUAUUGACGGAGGGGACAUAAUGCACGUUCUUCAGCCGCACGAUCUUCCCCGAAGUAAACUUCAGAUCGACCAUGCCAACACCACGAACAGAAGCACUUAAACCGUUGCCCAUCAGCACGGUUGAAGUCCCUGCGGUCUGAUAAGACGUAAACAUGGAAAUAUCACCGCAUACAUGCACAUUAGCACCUGUGUCAAUCAACCAGUCAGGAGAAUGAGAUACCGAAAGAAUAAUGGGAAAUAUACCAUACCCAACAUCCUUCAUGUCAGUGGCUCCAAUGACAACAUUAGCGGUCUUGCCGCCUUUCCCAGGAUGAGGCUUGUCAUAGAGAUUAGGGCAACUAGGAGCCCAAUGAUCAGGAUCCCCACACACAUGACAAGCACCUUUCUUCUUGCUGUUCUUCUUCUUGAAGUUCGUGUGUUGCACAGCCUUGUCCUUUCCAUCAAACUUUGCUUUUCCAUCAAACUUGCCCUUGUUCUUGAACUUGUGGGACUGGAAGUUCUGCUUCUGUACCACAUUGGCACUAGAUCCUCCCUCAAUACCUCGAGCACGUGUGUCCUUUGCUCUCGCCUUUUCUUCCACAUCAAGAGUGCCAAUGAGAUCCGGGACGGAAAACUCCUGCCUCUUAAUCUUCAGCAAGGUAGCAAAGUUCCUCCAUGAAGGAGGAAGCUUAGUGAUGAUACCUCCGACAACAAACUUGUCCGGUAGCAUACAAUUGAAGUGCUCAAGUUCUCUAGCAAAUGACUGUAUCUAAUGAGCUUGCUCAACCACGGAGCGCUCUUCAGUCAUCAUGUAAUCAUAGAAUUGCUCCAUGAUGUAUAGCUCAGUGCCAGCAUCCGAGACCCCAAACUUGGCCUCGAGUGCGUCCCACAUAUCUUUUCCAUUAUCAAUUGACGCAUAAGCAUCAACUAUGUUCUCACCAAGAACACUCAAGAGAGCAGCCUUAAACAGAGUAUCCAUUUUCUGAAAGGCUUGUGACUGUUGAGCAUCAAGCUCCCCUUCAGGUUUGCCGAGAGUGGCGUCAUAGCAACUCAUGGUUUGAAACCAUAAGACUGCUCUCAUGCGCCACCUCUUAUAGGGGAUACCCUCAAACAUAGGAGGUCUCAUGGAAGAAGCAAAACCACUUGGGGUAAAUUGCCUAUAAUAAGGUUUUUGGAUUGUUGGAAAUAUGAGCAAUUUACCAAAUGAUUUUAUUAGCAGAAAUAUUAGACAAAGCAUGACUAAUAUAACAGUGACAAAACAAACAAAGCGAUUUGACAAAGAGAAGGUAAACAACAUCUUCAUAUAUGGACUGUAACUGAACACAUUUAGAGCAGCCAAUAUAGCAAGUUGCAUAUAUGAAAUAGAGUCUAACAUAUGUAGGGCAAAUACUAGAACAAGAAACUGCAGCAGGACCUCUAACAGAAAGGAGAAUAACACGUACGUGACAGUAGCAACAGAAGCGCUGGACUUGGGGUUGGUGUCCUUGCCUGCCAUGUUUGUCGAGGAGGUCGUGGAUGUCGGGGAAGAAGUCGUUGUCGGGGAAGUAGUCGUCGGAGUCCGUGAUGAAGAAGCCAGUAGUCGCGCGGAGCGCUCCCCAAAAACCUUAUCACCCUUCUCCCGUAUAGGACUCAAAAGGUGCGGUUUUGGAGGCCUACUGUCCCGACCUGCGGUGCACGCCGCAAGACGGGAUGGAGAAGAACUAGUAGCAGUGCAGCGGUCGGAACUUUGUGGCGAGAGAAACAGGAGCUUCUAUUGUGUCUCUCUGGAGAGGAGCGACCUCUCUUAUAUAGGCACAGGAGAAGGACGCGAAGAGGCCGUGGCGGGCGAUGAAGCAAAGAAGGGAGACGAAGCGAACAAGCAGCGACCGAAGAGGCGCGCCGUUCGAAUUCAGUGUACCCGUCAUGCGUGGCAAAAAUUUAGACAUCGGCUCAGCUCAUUCCCACAACCCGCGGCUCGGCGUGUCGUGGCGAGGCGAGGCGAGGCGUGGCGUGGCGAGGCGGGCGGCGGAGGAGGAGCGCGCGUGGAUGUCCCUCUUGUUCUCAUGCUCAUACAUGUGGGGAAAGAACCUCCCUUAUAAACAGGUCCAACUCCAUCUAAACUAGCAAUGUGGGACUAAGCUUUUGUUCCACCUCUUGCCUUGCACAAAUGGGCUGCGUGGGCCUCUAGGAUUUAUUAGGAAUUUCUGAAACUGCUAUUGGGCUAGGCCCAAAAUAGACAAAAUUCCAACAAUCCCCCAGCAGAUCCCAGAGGCACACAAAAAUUUGCCUUUGGUUCCAAAAUACUGUUUUAUAUACCGGUACUGCAGUGGAGACUGUUAAGUUGAACUUCCAUCUAGAACUCUAUGCUACACUAGUAAGCAACUUGAACAGUGGACUGGGCCUUGAACUGCAAGUUUUCUGCGAAUCUAGCUUCACAUAAAGCCUUGACCGAUACGUGGCUACCGUGGGUCUUCCCCGCGGGUGGAGCUUAUGCGUCAUACCCCGUGACCUUUCAUGAGUUUACUAGAGAGAACCCUACUCUCAUAGAUUGCGACGUUUGACAAUCAGACUCAUAUAGGUGUGUUCUUCAAAAGAUGUUCUGCAGGAUAACAUCUCUGCUUUAAUGAGCCACUUAGAACACAUUAAGAUAUAUAUCAACCUGCCAUGCAGAUUAGGAGAGUAUUGCAUCUUCAUGGAGUGGUAUUGUGAAUAGUAAGGAUACUCUCCUCUUAGUUGACCAACAGCUUGUCUUUCACAUCUAAUUCACGGGAUCUCCGAUCACAAAGAAUAGGUUCCCACUGUGAACAACUCAUAUUGUGGGUCUCAUACCCAUCUCUCUUGAUGCAUUAUCUAUCACAUUACGUGAUAGACCCUUAGUAAAAGGAUCUGUCAGAUUUUUAGACGUUUGGAUAUAAUCCUAUGCAAUAACUCCGAAGUUUUUCAAUUUCCUGACAGACUUAAACCUUCUCUGAACGUGUCUUGACGACUUCAUGUUAUCCUUUGAGUUGCUCACUUUCGUGAUCACAGUUUGAUUGUCGCAAUUCAUAAGGACACCCAGUACAGGUUUCUCAACAACCGGCAAGUCAUUCAAGAGCCGGCGAAGCCAAUCUGCUUCAACCGUAGCUGUAUCUAGUGCUGUGAGUUCUGCUUCCAUUGUUGACCUUGUUAAGAUGGUCUGCUUGCAAGACUUCCAAGAAACAGCGCCACCUCCAUGAGUGAAUACAUAACCACUCGUGGCCUUUAUCUCAUCAGCAUCUGAGAUCCAGUUUGAGUCACUAUACACUUCAAGCACCUUUGGAUGCCCGGUGUAGGGAAUUCCAUAAUUUGUAGUGCCUUUCAAAUAGCGCAAAACUCUCUCUAGAGCUUUCCAAUGCACAUCUCCUGGUUUUGAGACAAACCGACUCAGUUUGCUAACAGCAAAAGAGAUGUCAGGCCUUGUAGCACUUGCUAAGUACAUAAGCGAGCCAAUAAUCUGAGAAUAUUUCAAUUGAUCUCUAGCAAUUCUUUGAUUCUUUCGAAGCAACACACUAGCACUAGUAGAAAAGGGGGCUUUGGUCCAAGCCAGGUAAGCCCAUUAGUCCCGGUUCAGUCCAGAACCGGGACCAAUGGGUGCAUUUAUCCCGGUUCGUGCGGCUAAGGCAUUAGUCCCGGUUCACCUGGGCCUGCGAUGCCCAUUGGUCCCGGUUGGUGGCACCAACCGGUACUAAAGGUUAGACCUUUAGUCCCGGUUGGUGCCACCAACCGGGACUAAUGGGCUUUGAGGCAUUAGUACCGGUUCAUGGCACGAACCGGUACUAAAGGUCCCAUUUUCAAACUCCCCCUCGGUGGACCGCCUUUUCAGUUUUAGAAAAAACAAAAGAAAAUGAUGGAAAUGUCAAUAAAAAAAAAAAUAAGUUUCCCAUGUGAUAUGUGGUCUAGUUGUUGGGAAAAUUUACAAAUAUGAAUUUCGACUUUAUUUACAAAAUCUCUCUGGAAUUUGUAAAAUGGGCAUAACUUUUGCAUACGAACUCGGAUUAAAAAGUUUUUUAUAUGAAAAAUCAUCUACUCGAAAAGUUACAUUCGAUGGAGACGGCCUACGGCCUGUUUGCAAAUUUGUAGAAUCCUCAAAUUCCAAAAGGAAAAAAAGUUAUGCUCAAAUUUCAGUUUUUUUAAAUUUUCAGUAAAUCUGGUCAAACUAUGGUCAAACUACUUAUUCAAGAAGUAUUAGUGUUACUAAAUAAUUAUUCAAGAAUAUUAGUGUUAUUAAAUAAUUAUUUCACCUUUUUGAAUUUUGGUCAAAUCUGGUCAAACUAUGGUCAAACUGUGGUCAAACAAUGGUCAAACUACUUAUUCAAGAAAUAUUAGUGUUACUAAAAAAUUAUUAUUUUUUAGAACAAUAGUUUUAAACUCAAAUAGUGAAAUAUGUGACUUCAUGCUCAAGCUAAAUUCCUGAGGGUUAAUAGGAUUGACAUCUUACUAUUGUCACGAAAACAACAAGUGCAGACUUGGAAACGAGGGAGAAUAGAACCCGGAAGUUAAGCGUGCUCAGGCUGGAGUAGUGAGAGGAUGGGUCACCGUUCGGGAAGUUAGAUGAUUUGGAAUGAUGAGGGGUGAUUAGAGAUUAAAUUGAGCAGUGAUGAGGGGUGAUUAGAUAUUAGAGGUUAAAAUAAUUCAAAAUUUUGAAAAUAAAAAAAUUUCAAAAAAAAUUUCAAAAAAAAUUUCAAAAAAAAUCAGAAAAUUUCCUUUAGUAUCGGUUGGUGUUACCAACCGGGACUAAAGAUGGACCGGCCACGUGGAGGGCCUUUAGUCCCGGUUCUGGAUUGAACCGGGACUAAAGGGUCAGGGCAUUAGUACCGACCCUUUAGUCCCGGUUCCAGAACCGGGACUAAAGGCCCUUUUUCUACCAGUGUAGCAUCAUAUGGUGUUGGAGAGGGCUUACUGUCACUGUAGCCAAAGCGACUCAAGAUCUUUUCCACAUAGUGAGAUUGAAGCAAUGUAAUCCCACCAUCAUCGUCUCUCAACAACUUAAUGUUUAGAAUGACAUCAGCCACUCCUAAAUCCUUCAUCUCAAAACAACGAGAUAGGGAAUCCUUGACCUCCUUAAUAACAUUCAGAUUUGUUCCGAAAAUCAGUAUGUCAUCAACAUACAAGCAAAGGAUAACUCCCUCGCCCCCACCAUGGCGAUAGUACACACAUUUGUCAGCUUCGUUUACAACAAAGCCUCUAGAUGUUAAAGUUCUUUCAAACUUCUCAUGCCACUGUUUGGGUGCUUGCUUAAGUCCGUACAAAGACUUCAGCAACUUGCACACUUUCCCUUCCUGACCAUCUAUUACAAACCCAUCUGGUUGUUCCAUAUAAAUUUCCUCGUCCAACUCUCCAUUUAGGAAAGCAGUCUUAACAUCCAUUUGAUGAACGAGAAGACCAUGCGAGGCAGCUAGUGAAAGUAGAACUCGAAUAGUGGUCAGUCGAGCCACAGGUGAGUAAGUAUCAAAGAAGUCUUCACCUUCCUUUUGGGUAUAACCCUUAGCCACGAGCCGAGCCUUGUACUUUUCAAUAGUACCAUCAGGCCUAAACUUCUUCUUGAAUACCCAUUUGCAUCCUAUAGGUUUGCACCCAUAAGGAUGAUCAGUUAUCUCCCAGGUUUCAUUCGCCAAGAUGGAAUCCAUCUCGCUAUGAAUCACUUCCUUCCAGUAGUCAGCAUCUUCAGAUGCACAGGCCUCUGAAAUAGAACUGGGAGUGUCAUCUAUGAGAUACACAAGAAAAUCAUCACCAAAGGACUUUGCGGUCCUCUGUCUCUUGCUCCUAGUAGGAACUUCAUUGUUCUCCUCCACAGGACUUUCAUUGUGUUCUAUCGAAAUGGCAGGUUUUGUAAUUUUAACUGGUUCCUGAUUCGGUGAACUAGGCAUCUCCUGAUUAGAUGUGGUAGCCCUAUCCUUCAUGCGAAAGAUAUCUUCAAAGAAAGUCGCAUCAUUCGACUCCACGAUCAUACCGACAUACAUGUCACGCACCUUAGAUUUUACAACCAAGAAUCUAUAGCCAAUGUUAUGAAAAGCAUAUCCCAGGAAAACACAAUCCACAGUCUCUGGUCCAAGCUUCCGCUUCUUUGAAAUUGGAGCAUUGAAUUUGGCCAAACAACCCCAUGUUCGCAGAUAAGAGAGUUUUGACCUUUUCUUCUCCCAUUCCUCGAAUGGAGUUAUCUCUUUGUUCUUUGUGGGGACUCGGUUCAGGACAUGACAUGCUGUCAAUAUCGCCUCCCCCCACCAUGCCUUGGAAAGACCCGAUGUGUCUAACAUGGCGUUAACCAAAUCAGUUAGAGUAUGGUACUUUUUUUCGGCCACCCCAUUUGACUGAGGUGAGUAGGGAGGCGUCCUCUCAUGGAUUAUACCAUGUUCCGCACAAAAAGCAUCAAACUCAUUGGAAAAAUACUCUCCACCACGGUAGGACCUAAACCUCUUGAUAUUUCAAUCAAGUUGGUUUUCCACUUCAGCUUUAUAGAUCUUGAAAAAAUUCAAAGCCUCAUCCUUCGAUUUCAGAAGAUACACACGACAGUAUCUAGUGGAGUCAUCAAUUAACGUCAUGAAAUAUUUCUUUCCACCUUUUGUCAACAUGCCAUUCAUUUCACAUAGAUCUGAAUGUAUGAGCUCUAGUGGUGCAAGAUUUCUUAUUUUCGCAGUCGUGUGAGACUUACGAGGUUGCUUAGCUUGCACACACACUUGACACUUAGAUCCCUUAACGGUGGUGAAACUAGGGAUUGAGUUCAACUUCGCUAGUCGCGACAUGCAACCAAAGUUAACAUGACAAAGACAUGAAUGCCACACAUUGGAUUCACUAUUGUUGCAAAUAUGAUUAACAACUUUAUUGCAAACGUCUGAUAAGGAUAAACGAAACAAGCCUCCUGACUCAUAGCCUAUACCAACAAAGGUUCCAUACUUGGAUAUUACAAAUUUAUUCGACUCAAAGACAAGCUUGUAGCCAUCUCUACACAGAAGAGAUCCGCUAACAAGAUUUUUAUUGGCGGAGGGGACAUAAUGCAUGUUCUUCAGCCGCACGAUCUUCCCCGAAGUAAACUUCAGAUCGACCGUGCCAACACCACGAACAGAAGCACUUGAACCGUUGCCCAUCAGCACGGUUGAAGUCCCUGCGGUCUGAUAAGACGAAAACAUGGAAAUAUCACCGCAUACAUGCACAUUAGCACCUGUGUCAAUCAACCAGUCAGGAGAAUGACAUACUGAAAGAAUAGUGGGAAAUAUACCAUACCUAACAUCCUUCAUGUCAGUGUCUCCAAUGGCAACAUUAGCGGUCUUGCCGCCUUUCCCAGGAUAACGCUUGUCAUAGCGAUUAGGGCAACUAGGAGCCCAAUGAUCAGGAUCCCCACACACAUGACAAGCACCUUUCUUCUUGCCAUUCUUCUUCCUGAAGUUCGUGUGUUGCACAACCUUGUUCUUUCCAUCAAAGUUUGCUUUUCCAUCAAACUUGCCCUUGUUCUCGAACUUGUGGGGCUGGAAGUUCUGCUUCUGUACCAUAUUGGCACUAGAUCCUCCCUCAAUACCUCGAGCACAUGUGUCCUUUGCUCUCGCCUUUUCUUCCACAUCAAGAGUGCCAAUGAGAUCCGGGACGGAAAACUUCUGCCUCUUAUGCUUCAGCAAGGUAGCAAAGUUCCUCCAUGAAGGAGGAAGCUUAGUGAUGAUACCUUCGGCAACAAACUUGUCCGGUAGCAUACAACUGAAGUGCUCAAGUUCUCUAGCAAAUGACUGUAUCUCAUGAGCUUGCUCAAUCACGGAGCGCUCUUCAGUCAUCAUGUAACCAUAGAAUUGCUCCAUGAUGUACAGCUCAGUGCCAGCAUCCGAGACCCCAAACUUGGCCUCGAGUGCGUCCCACAUAUCUUUUCCAUUAUCAAUUGACGCAUAAGCAUCAACUAUGUUCUCACCAAGAACACUCAAGAGAGCAGCCUUAAAUAGAGUAUCCAUUUUCUGAAAGGCUUGUGACUGUUGAGCAUCAAGCUCCCCUUCAGGUUUGCCGAGAGUGGCGUCAUAGCAACUCAUUGUUUGAAACCAUAAGACUGCUCUCACGCGCCACCUCUUAUAGUGGAUACCCUCAAACAUAGGAGGUCUCAUGGAAGAAGCAAAACCACUUGGGGUAAAUUGCCUAUAAUAAGGUUUUUGGAUUGUUGAAAAUAUGCGCAAUUUACCAAAUGAUUUUAUUAGCAAAAAUAUUAGAUAAAGCAUGACUAAUAUAACAGUGACAAAACAAGCCAUGCGAUUUGACAAAGAGAAGGUAAACAACAUCUUCAUAUAUGGACUGUAACUGAACACAUUUAGAGCAGCCAGUAUAGCAAGUUGCAUAUAUGAAAUAGAGUCUAACAUAUGUAGGGCAAAUACUAGAAGAAGAAACUGCAGCUGGACCUCUAACAGAAAGGAGAAUAACACGUACGGGACAGUAGCAGCAGAAGCGCUGGACUUGGGGUCGGUGUCCUCCCCUGCCAUGUUGUCGAGGAGGUCGUGGACGUCGGGGAAGAAGUCGUCGUCGGGGAAGUAGUCGUCGGAGUCCGUGAUGAAGAAGCCAGUAGUCGCGCGGAGCGCUCCCCAAAAACCUUAUCACCCUUCUCCCAUACAGGACUCAAAAGGUGCGGUUUCGGAGGCCUACUGUCCCGACCUGCGGUGCACGGCGCAAGACGGGAUGGAGAAGAACGUAGUAGCAGCGCAGUGGUCGAAACUUUGUGGCGAGAGGAAGAGGAGCUUCUGUUGUGUGGCGAGAGGAAGAGGAGCUUUGUUGUGUCUCUCUGGAGAGGAGCGACCUCUCUUAUAUAGGCACAGGAGAAGGACGCGAAGAGGCUGCGGCGGGGACAUCGGCUCGGCUCAAUCCCGCAACCCGCGGCACGUCGUGGCGAGGCGUGGCGAGGCGGGCGGCGGAGGAGGAGCGUGCGUGGAUGUCCCUCUUGUUCUCAUGCUCAUACAUGUGGGGAAAGAACCUCCCUUAUAAACAGGUCCAACUCCCUCUAAACUAGAAAUGUGGGACUAAAUUUUUGUUCCACCUCUUGCCUUGCACAAAUGGGCUGCGUGGCCCUCUAGGAUUUAUUAGGAAUUUCUGAAACUGCUAUUGAGUUAGGUCCAAAAUAGACAAAAUUCCAGCAUGUAAGGCGUUUUUUGACACUACUAAUAAAAAAACCUUUAGAUUAUUUGAAUAAGCGAUCAACUUUAUAUUACCUCACAAAAAGGCUAGCACGUACACCGGGGAACGAUACCAGCCAAAAAAAGGAUUAGCAGCGAACCGCUGUCGGAAUUGGAUUGUCCGGAGACUGGGAGCGCCAACCGCUGCUUUUUUUAUUGCAGCAACUACGCACGAACACGCUCCCCGCCAACCCCGAUCGAUCUCAAUGCCUUAUGUUUAUCCAGUUGCAGUGCAGUGGUCAUCAAAAUGUAACAGAGGCGAGUCACGUGGGAUUGUUUUUAUAUGCGGACCAUCUGUGCUGUGCCGCGUCGCGCCCGCCCGCCGCUCGUCUCGAAACCUUCCUCUCUGUUCUUAGUACAGAUGGUCUCGCUUCCCACCGUCUCAGCUCGCCUUCCUCUCGGCACGCCGGUUUCGCGGUUUCUUGCAUGCAGCCUAUAAAUCCGGCCGGAGCACCCAGCUCUGCCCCAUCUCAUCUCACACACCACUACUCAUCUUGCCUCACACACUUCACUGCUAGCUACUAGUUCAUUUGCUUGCGUUCUCGUGCCACCAACCUCGAUCGCCAAGAUGUCUACGGUGAGCCGCGCCUACCUCGACCAGAGGCUCGCCGCCGCCAACCGCUGCUCCAGAGGUAGCCAAAACAAUAUGAUGCAUGGCCCGUCGGUUCACCACGCCGGCGAUGCUCUUGCCGCUCUGUUCUUAGUGCAUUGUACUAGCUUUCUGUACUGUCUGUGCUGAAACUUAGUCGUCAUUAACAUCCCUCUGUUCAUUCCGAACUGCAGAGGGUGCCAUGGCCGGAGCCAAGGCCGCGGCCGUCGCCACCGUCGCUGCCGCAGUGCCCACCAUAAGUACUUCAUUAGAAGCAACCAUUCACUCUGCACGGCAAGUAGAGAAUACCGUCUGAUGUCGUCCGUGCGAUUUGUCUGCAGCCGGCAAGCGUGAGGAUGCUUCCGUGGGCGAGGGCGCACCUGAACCCAACCGGACAGGCGCUCAUCAUCUCCACCGUCGCCGGGAUGGCCUACUUCAUCGUCGCGGACAAGACCAUCCUGUCCAUGGCCAGGAAGCACUCCUUCAAGGACGCGCCGGACCACCUUAAAAACACCUCCUUCAACUAAUGAGCCUAUAAUAGAUCCAUUAGUAGUACUGUAAUGUUCGGGCAGCACUUACGUGGUAUCAGGCGAGGCUUGCAGACAGCCAGUGGUGUAGUAGUGCGCUUCUCUGCGCGCAAGAACUUAUCUGAUGAAGUGAUCUUGAAUUAAUAAUGACUAGCAUUUGUAAACUCGGCUUCACCUGCCAUCACCCAUCUUACAUUUUCUUUUUGGUGAUUAUCGUCUGAAAUGUGGCGUCAGGAUGAUGCCACCCACUUUGUUAAUAAAUCUUUUGCGGACCGGGCUGCGGGAGGCAGGUGGCUCUGUAGGGUGGCCCCAGUAAUCUUUCAUUUCAAAUGUUGUGUACUGCUAUUUUGAACAUUUGUGAUGAUAAAUGUGAGUUUAAAUCGCCACUUUUCAUAUACAAUAGUAACCUACAUUUAGUAUUUUCUUUGACUUUUUAGUUGAAAAACACCUCCGUUUCUAAAUAUAAGCCCUUUUAAAGAUUUUAAUACGAACUAUGUUUGGAUGUACUAUAUGGACAUAUUUUAGAGUGUAAAUUCAUUCAUUUUGCUUUAUAUGUAGUCAGUAUUGAAACCUCCAAAAGGGCUUAUAUUUAGGAACGGAUGGAGUAAUAAUAAGUAAAAGUUUUCAAAAGGUUAAAAUUUGACACGGUGUCCUAAUAUUGGUACAUGAACUUGUCAUGGAAAUCUCACACGAUUUCUCAAAAAGUGGAAAAAUCAUUUGACUAGAAAUAACCUCUUUAGGCACGACAUCCAAAUAUUGGUACAUGCUUAGUAGUUUCAAACCUUGGGCAGAUUUUGCUAAUAUAGGCCAAAAUGUCUCCAAAAAUAUAUAUUUUAUAAAUUCAUGGGAACAACUAGGCAGAGGCGGCGGCGGCGGCCGCCGCCGCGGAAAAGUGGGAGAACGUGACUGGAAGUGGUGGGAAGAAGAUUGCCCAACCCGCCAAAAUUUAGGAACAUGCCACUAUCGACGGCUGUAGGUGGCCCACAACAGACGAAGUCGUCAGGUUGGCAAAAUGGAGAUUAUGGCCUCAACUGCAUUCCCCCACAUCGGCCAGAAUGGUCAAAGAGGCUCCUUACCAAUAUUGGUGGCACAAUGUCAAAGUGGAAAAAUGGAAAUUAUUGCCUCAACGGUGUGUCACCAUAUCGGCCGGAAGGGUCGAGUCUUCUCGUCGCUGCGGUUGUCAUGGCGAAGUAGUGGGUCCCAGAUGGAAUGAGAUGGCGCGUGGGGCAUAUAUCUAAUUCCUUUGCAAUCGCUAGUGGCGUGGACUAAAAUAUGAAAGUUCGAGUGACAAGACUUGAAUUUGCAACUUUGGCAGCGGCAUCGACCGAUUUUUCCAUAAAUAUAAUACUAAAAAAUCCCUGAUAGGUUUGAUGAUAUUGAUUGGAAAUGCAUAUGUUAAUAUUUCUUUCCUAUAAACUAGAUCAAAGCAUAAUCAGACGAAACUAAUAUACACUCUAUUUUGAAAUGCAGGGAGUAUGCCAUAUCUAUAAAAUAUCAUGACAAUGGCUAUUGAUGAUUUCUCUAUACUACUCAUGACAUUUAAUAGGAUUUAUUGGCAUUUAUUAGGAUAAGGAUAACCUUUUGGUGUGGGUCGGAUAAGGAUAAGCUUGAUGCAAAAGAAACUGAAACAUGUCAUUUAACAACAUUAAUUGGAUAAGGACAACCUUAAUGCAACCACAUCUAUAUAAGACGACUGAAUGGUAUCAGUCAUGACCACAAAAACCAUAGCGAUUGACAGACUAUUGCAUAACUACAUAUUCCAUGUUGUUCUGUGUUCUUAGGCAAUGGCGAAAAAUAGCAUCUUCCAAGUGAUCAUAGUUUUUCUCAUAGUGCAAGUCUGCUUGCUCAUGAUGAUGGCAGCACCGGCAGCACAUGCAGCUGCUAGACCAGUGGGGUACAAUCCAGUGUGCUGCCCUAGGAACAUUUACUGUUGCGGGUUCGGUGGCGCAUUGGCCAAUGCACCCACGCCAUCCAUUGAGCCUUGAUGUGUGGUUUUAUUCUCCUCGAGGUAGGAAGCUCAUCAUAUAAAUGAUAUAUGUAGUUUUAUUGUCUCAUUUGUUACCUACUCUCGAAUAUUUGUGAUGCUAUUUUCAAGAAGAUAUUGUACUAGCUACUUACCUAAUAGAAUGAGAGGAGAUUAUUAUAUAUAUAUUGUGUUAAAAAAACUACAAAGAGAUUCAAAUUUAUGUUUUUAUUCCUUUUGGAAACAAGAUUACUUGGACACAUUCAUUUAUGGCAAAAAGCAAGUGGUGAGGUGUGUGCCUUUGGGAAUUUCCGUUUUAUCAUUCCGUUGGUCCUCCAUUUUUCGAGAUUGUCUGGGUCGUGGCAACACGCUUUAUUUUUUACAGAGGUCAUUACUUUUUGUAGCAUUUAUUGAGUGAUGGAGUACAUCACCAAUUAGUAGAAACCAACUACUGUUGGUGAUGCUUGUUUAUGAAUCAAGGGAUCCACACUCCCUUCCUUUUUUGCAAGAAGGCCAAGGCCAUGUAUUAAAAUUGUCCAACCCUUACAACACCAUCCUUACAAAAGAAGAAAAAUAGUAAACAUAUUCUGGGUUAUAUCAAGGGCGUCUUCCUUCUGGACUUGUACGGCGUGAGCAAAGCUCGAUGUUGCCUUUGGAUUUCC
rnacentral:lncRNA from 1 species